UGCACAACCCCACAAACCACCAAGAAAUGGCCGCUCAAACUCACCUGUUUCAUCCACUCCACUCCUUAUCUCUGCCACUGAAAACCCGAUGUAAAUCACCUGACUUUAAACCCAAGCUAAAACCCUCCACAUUCAUCAUCUCCAGCAAGCUCCGGGCAGCGGUGGUAGGAGGAGGUCCAGCUGGAUCCUCUGCAGCUGAAGCACUUGCUGCUGGUGGCAUAGAGACCUUCCUCUUCGAACGCAGCCCCUCUACUGCCAAACCCUGUGGUGGAGCAAUCCCACUUUGUAUGCUAGAUGAGUUCUCCAUCCCUCCUCACCUCAUUGAUCGGAAAGUCACCCGCAUGAAGAUAAUAUCUCCGUCCAAUCUGGCCGUUGAUUUUGGUAAAACUCUGAAGCCCCAUGAGUUCAUCUCCAUGCUCCGCCGAGAAGUGCUUGAUGACUUCCUACGCCGCCGUGCUGAGUCUUGUGGCGCCGCACUUAUCAAAGGACUUGUCACAAAUGUGGAGGUUCCCCUAACAAGCAGCUCUUCAUAUGUUAUUCACUAUAAUAAGAAUAAUUCACAGAAAUCUCUUGCUGUUGAUGUUGUUAUUGGUGCUGAUGGAGCCAACAGUAAGGUGGCUAAGGCCAUAAAAGCAGGAGAUUACACUUGUGCUAUUGCUUUUCAAGAAAGGAUUAAGUUGCCUGAGGAGAAAAUGGAAUAUUAUGAAAAUUUGGCUGAAAUGUAUGUCGGAAAUGAUGUUUCACCUGAUUUUUAUGCGUGGGUUUUCCCCAAGUGCGAUCAUGUGGCAGUGGGAACGGGGACAGUAUGCUCAAAGAAGGAUAUCAAGAUGUUUCAACAUGGCAUAAGAGCAAGAGUUAGGCCAAAAACUCAUGGCGGUCAAGUAAUUAAAGUUGAGGCUCAUCCAAUCCCUGAGCAUCCACGUCCAGUUAGAGUCAGGGGACGAGUGGCUCUGGUGGGGGAUGCAGCAGGAUAUGUGACGAAAUGUUCUGGUGAGGGAAUUUACUUUGCUGCCAAGAGUGGGAGGAUGUGCGGGGAAGCAAUUGUCAAGGCAUCAGAAGGAGGUGAAAGAAUGAUUAGUGAAGAAGAUUUAAAGAGGGAGUAUUUGAAGAAGUGGGAUGAGAUGUAUUUAACUACAUUCAGGUUUUUGGAUUUGUUGCAAAGGGUGUUUUAUGGUAGCAAUGCUGCUAGGGAGGCAUUAGUGGAGUUGUGUGGGGAUGAGUACGUGCAGAGGAUGACAUUUGAGAGCUAUCUGUAUAAGAAGUUGGCCCGGGGGAACGGAUGGGAUGACAUUAAGAUGGUCAUGAAUACAAUUGGGAGUCUAAUUAGGUGUGAUAUUGUAGGCAGAGGGAUUGAAAUGUUUGACAAACGAGUUCUUGCACAGUUGUAGUGUAUCAGGGAACUAGUUAAAUGAAAGAGAAUCAAAUGAAACUUCAUCAGUACUUCCCAGAGAAGUACAGAUCCAGGAAGUUUUAGCUUUAAAUCACCUAAAAACCUUUUGGUAUGAACAAAUGGUUGUGCCAUUACUCUAUUUCAGUUCUUCAUAAAGCAGAUUCAAAUUGUUGUUUCCAAGAAAAUCUUUGCUGCGGUGGUCAAUUUAGCCUUUCAUCAUUGCCUUAAGUAUCAUCCUGUAAAGUAAUGAAUAAUUAAGAACUUGACUACAUUAUUAUAACUUCUGGGUGCAUAAAUACAGCUUUACAGUGGAAAGAAGUGAAACAUUUAAGCAAGCUAUAACUUUUCAGCAAAGCUUCAAGUUGAAUUAACAGUUUCCUACCAUACACACACUAUUUACCUUGAUCCUAACAUUAUAGCCCAGUCGAGCUAAGAGUUUCUUACCCACUUUGUACCUCGAUUCUAACAUUAGCCAGCUCCUGUUUUUGCCUCUACUGAUACCACAAUUUAUUUGUACAACUUAUUCGCUAUAUGCAUAGAGUUCAAGUGUUUCAAGAGAAAAUCAAAUCCCAUUUUCACACCAUUCUGUAUCCAUCCUUUCUUGACCCCUCCGCCCUCCGCCACAACCAAUUUCUUUCUUCAUGUAGUGCACAUUGUGUUUGAAUCUUUUGCGACAAGGUUUUGAAAAUAAAAAAAACCCAAGUGCCUAGUGAUGAAAAAGUAAUUAGAGCAGUAAAAGGGUUAAAGCUUGAUAUAUUUCCACAUAUAAUAGGACCCAAAUAACAACCUAAUAGUUGAAUAGGUGGCUAUGCAGCCACCAAUCAUCCCUCUUGGUUAAAGACAUACAAGCAUAGAGGAUAUAGGCUCUGAUUUAGUAGACGUAGUUUGCAGAACUUGGAGGAAUAUGUGCUUUGCUGCCUGUGUUAUGCAGCAUUUCUGGGACUUAAUUUAGUCAAGGGAGAAGAUUUUGAAAGCAAUGCAAGGCAGAGAUGGAGUUGAGGAUUGAAAAGAAUGAACAGGAGAAGAGCGUGCAUGAAAAACAUAGGCAGGGGGGAGGGGACUAGCCAAGGUAAGCCCCUUAAUUAUGACAGAGAAAAGACAAAUAUGCAAAGAGGAAAUUACAGAAUAUUAAGGAAAAGAAUUCACCUUAUACUUAGAAUCUCUCUUGAUGAAGUGCAUAAGAUGCCAUAUUCUAGGCCAAAGAAGUUAAUUCUUAAAAAUGCAGAGAACCAAAGCUUCAAAAUAGAAUGAAAAAAAUCAGUUUAUGAUGCUAACUAGCCUUUUUGAUUUUAAUAACUAUUAAUAUACUACGAAUAGAACUAUAUAUGUUUACACAUACAUAUACAGUACGGCCUUCAACCCGCACUUGUCUCCGAGACUCAUACCUGACUCCACUCAAAGUGCCCUUAGCUAAAGGUUUUCUCAAAAGAUUAAUGUUUCUUCUAAAUGUGUUUCAAUUUUAGGUAGCCAUGUAAAUACUAUAUGUAUGCCUCUGUGAUUUAUGUCAAUUUCACUCUAAACAUUUUAAAGCUUGGGAUCCUCCUCAAAACACCAGAGUAUCUUAAUCUAUAACUAACAUGGUCUUAAUUUGGUUGGGCAGAAAACAAUCACAAGCAUAAAAUGUAAUUAUCCUACUCAUGUUAGGGUUAGCAUUUUUGUAUUUUCAGAGACCCUAUCCAACAUUACUCCCCCAAUUCAAAGAAUUCAGACUCUCUUGCAAUUAUUCAUGCACUGUUAAGCUGCAUCUGUAUAUUAGCAUAACACCAGAGAAGCCUAAGCAGUAUGUCUCUCAUAAUAUAACAUAAAAAGGUUUGCUGAUACACAACAAAGUCACUUAAUACCUGCAAUUCACUAAAACUUUUGCACAAAGGGUACUUUAAAGUAUCAAGAUGUCACUAAUUUCACCAAUGAUCCACUUAAGGUCCUCUUUAAACCAUAUGCUUCAAAUUCUUAUUUGGCUAGAAAAGUCCAGAUAACUUGCACCUCAACUGCAAUUUCUCAUAUUAAAUCUCUAGCACAAAGUAGCUUCAUAUAACUACUUUUUUUAUAUUAACCAAAAAAAAAAAAAAAAACAGCAAUACAAGAACCCAGAAGAACCAAACCGAUGAAAUCCUUUUAUUGUUCUAUUCUUAAUAACAACAAGAUAACAUGAAAAAAGGUUGCUGCACCAUUUUUAAUAAGCAUUGCAAUCAGACCAUCAAAAUGAAGUGCAAAAGGUCGAAGUUGAAAGAAUGUGAGCUGUGAAACUAAUAGACAUGAAAAAUACAAAAUGAUCUUAAUAAAAGCUACCAUAAAUUAAGGAAUCAAAACUGUGAGCAUAAGCGAAAAGAGUUCAUGGAAGAUAAAAAGAGUUAAAAAGCAGAGGAUCUUACGGUUUUUUUUUUUAAACCUUUUGUCAUUCAGAUCAGAUAGAGCCAGCAAGAUUCUUGGAUGCUGACUUUUCCAAAUAAUUCCUUUAAGGUAAAAGCCCUUUUUUUUUGGUGGGGGGGCAUCGCAUGUCAAAGUCUCUUUCAUGUUUACAUAGAUUAUAUCGGAUAAUUAUGAUACACUAUUUCUUUGCUCCAAAGUUCUCAACGUUUUGUAGAACCUCUUCAUUCUUGACAUUGUACAAGCCUCUAUCAUGUUUACAUAGAUUAUGUCGGACAAUUAUGAUACACUAAUUCUUUGCUCCAAAGUUCUCAACUUUUUGUAGAACUUCUUCAUUCUAUCAUGUUUACAUGAUUAUAUCAUGUUCACUUGACAUUGUACAAGUCUCUAUAAUGUUUACAUAGAUUAUAUCAGAUAAUCAUGAUACACUAAUUCUUUGCUCCAGAGUUCUCACUUUUUGUAGAACUUCAUUCUUGACAUUGUACAACCACUAAAGCACUGAUACACAAGGCUGUACAAUCUUCGAAACCGUAUAGCCCUAGGCGAAGCUUAUUGGGGUAAAUUGCUUAUAGAGGAGAUAAAGGUUCUUAAUAUUCUUCCUAAAUUUUGUUAUGAGAUAACUCAACUGUGGUCCUGAUUUCUGAAGAUAAUUUUCCAUAGACAGAAUGUCAAUGAUCUUCGCUAUUUGAAAUGAAUGAGUCAAUCUUAUUGCUCAGGACAGUAACACUAAAUCCAGUGUGACAACUUUGUGAAAUGAUUAGUUUCUGCGUCACUUUGUUUUUCUUUUGUUGGUUCUUAGAGUUUUAACUGCAAAAAAUAUUCUAAAAUGCUGCUACUUCAAAGGCAUGUCCUGUGCUCUGAUUGUUUGUUUGUCAUUGUUUAACUCCUAUGUUCAACAACUUGACAGCACUUUUCCCUUUUGUUUCAGAUAUCAACUCAUGCAGGCUAUUCAGGUUUCACACAGUGGUGGAUUUGCUUUGUAUAGGUCUUGUGACAUAUUCUACGAGUUAACCCACUAUAUUGUUCCUUCACGUAUGCUCAUUUAGAUACUUACAUUGAACCGAAUGCAGUGGUUUAACAAUUCAGAGAUUUUAAUAAUGGAGUAAUUUCUAACUCUUGAGUUUUUUCCAAUAUCACAAACAGAACUUAUGUUUUGCCUGUAAAAUGCCAUUGCUUCAGGUCUAUUUCAUGCCUUAGUUUAUUUUUCAGUCAAGAUACUAUGAAAUUGGCUAUGUCUGUUGUCCUUCAUCUUCUUUUGGUUAAAGAAAUGCUUGAACAUCCUCUGAAAGUAAUGCUUGAGCCCGUUCUUAGUCAAACACAUAGUUAAUUAAUGAUUACCUGGAUACAGUUCUACAAUAAGAAAAUUGACUUAAUAAUUGAGCAGAGAUGUUGAAGUAUCAAUUUAUAUUUUGCGAACUUGAUUAUAUGAUUUCUGCUGGAAUAUGUUGUAGGUUGUCUUUGAUAAGUGAGAUACCAUAAUUGUGUUCAGCUGUUUAUUCUCUUAAGAGAUUUUUUCCUCACAGUGAUCUUCAUAUUAAAACAGUUGUGGUAUACUGGAAGGUAAAAUUAUACAGAUUUUGUAAAUCUUGUUAAAUCCCAUGGUCAUCUUUUGUUUCUCUUGGUUUUCUGCUGCUAUGUUUACCUUCUUUUUCCUUUGCAGUUUUUUGUUUCUUAAUGACUUUCCAUUUUCCGGUACAGAGUGUUUUUGUCGUUACUUGUUGUGUGGUUUUGGAUGGUCGCAAUUAUGAAACCAAAGAUUGAACUGGCCUUUCGAUCUUAAAGAAUGAUGUUUUACUUCUCAAAGAGAAUAGAGAGUGGCUCAAUAAGUUUCAGAAUUUAUCGGUACUGAACUGGGUGUAUAUCUACAAAUAACUUUAUUGAUUAUUCAAAGAUGAUCAUAUUUCCUUCUGAUCAUUAGUGGAUUUUGGCUAUGGAAUUUCAUAUUCUCUGUUAUUUCACUGUGGCAAGAAUGCAGAUCAUUUGUUAAACACCACAUACAGGGAAGAUAAGCUUUUGAGAAAUGCAAUGCAAACAAGAAUGUGUAUGCACUCCAUCUCUGUUAACAGAUGCAUAAAUAACCUAUAUCCAGUCGAUAUGGUGAUAAUUUGAAUCUGGAAAGCGGCAACUUUACACAUACCAUUUUGUUAAUGUGAUCUGACCAACAUUUUAGGCCGCUGAUAUUAUGCUGACUACUGUGUUUGAAUGUAUUUACUAUGGGAAAGUUUUAUUCAUUGAUUAUGGUCCUUCACUCGGUUUCUGAACAAAGCUGCAUGACUAUUUCUUUUUCAGGUUUCCCUUUUUCUUUUUGGUAAGGUCUUGUGGCAAAGAAUGGCUUUAUUUGUUUUGAAGGAAGUGACUUGAUCUGGCUAAAGCCUAAAAAUGUUUUGAGUGUUUGUUGCUUCCAUAAAUUAGACUGCUUUCUGUCUUGCAAAACACUGUGUGCUUUUCCAGUUUCAGCAUGAUGAAAAAAGCUAAUGAUACACUGAUAUACUCAAGAAAGAAAUCAUUGAUUAGCAGAACUCGUUGUGCAGUAACAUACUGGCCUUUUUGUCAUGAACGCUGACACAUUCUGGAAUUCUACUUGCUGCCCUGUUCAGCAACAUUGUGUGUUAAGGUCACCCUUAAAGCAACAUGAAGGUGAGAUUGUACUGAGGCAGGGCAAGCUUCUGCUGUUAGAGGUAUCUAUAGAUGUUGGAAAUUUACAUUCUCGAGUAGUUUUUUAGGAUAUUCUAGUUAAUGAUGGCUAUCAUGUUGCAGUUUGUAUGAUCUUGUACUCUACCACAAUUAAAACUUCCUUUAGGUCAAUACUCGGAAGGAGUUAGUGUACAAGCAAUAAUGCUGGGAUGGCCCUGAUUAAGUGUUCACUUGGGUCUAUGUGAUAUCACAUAUUCCUAUACAAUGGUUUUUCGUUUUCAACUUUUUUGUGAAACAGUCUUAAUUUGAGUGACAAGUGGCUUCACGCUUUGGGAGGUUCUAAACUUUGGAGUUUUUGGCAAUUGCUUGAAGUCUCUAAUUCUUUUGAAGCUGGACGAAGUACCAAUAAAGGAUGUAUUGUGAAAUGUAUUUCAUUUUAUAUAGUGUAUUAAGGGAAAGUCAGUUCUUCUGUAGCUUACAACAUCGCAUCUGAACCGAAGUUGAAACGAAUACAUGCAGGACAUUAGCGUCUUAUCCUUCCUUUUAUUUUUCUCAAUUCUAAUACUUUGCUUUCUUUUAGGUCUUUUCUAUCUGGCAGGUGUCUGAAGAACAUAGAUAUUCUGAACAUAGCAAAUUGACAAACUCUUAUUCAAAACAGGAGAUAUGUAAUGUGCUUAAUAUCCUUUUAAGGGACUCCUAUGUUGAAAGUUUGUUCAGCGAGCAGAAAAUUUUCUUAUCUUUAUUCAUUAGGAUAUUGUUUUCAUGCAAUAUUUUGUUUCGUCUAUUGCAAUUUUUGUCAUUUGUAAAAUUAGUGCAUGGUGUAGUUAAACUUUUGAGGAAAAAUAAGCAGCUACAAACUUGUAAUCAAGUCAACUACUGAAUGGUAGAUGGAGUUACAUGUAGUCUCACAACCUAUUCUUUGCUUAAUUCUAGUCUCAGGUUGCUAACCAGUAUCUGAUUACUCAUGCUAAUAAUCAGCUUUUCAUAUUUAUUGCGGACUCCUAAUAUUUUUUUUUCUCUACUUGUGUAAUUGAUGGAUCAUCAUGUAUAAAAGAAUGUCUAAAUAGUAAGGGCACUGAGUUUGUGAAGUCAGCAAGCUGGAGUAACAUGGUGCUUCAAUAAUUAGAUAUGCCCGCCAAGAUAAUUAGUAGACUAGUACUGAUUGGAAGUUUUACCUGGACUAGGUUCUUAGCUUUAUGCUUCAUGGGCGUCUUACUUGUAUGUUAUCAAGGAAAUGAAUUUGGGAAAUAUCGUCUGUUCAUUUGAGAUUAGUUGAAAAUGGUACAUCUCUGUUGUGAUCACAUUGUCUCUCAUUUUCAUAGAAAUAUUGCAGCUAAUGAUUUUGCCCAAAAUGUUUUCAUGCAUCCUAAUCAUACUGUUGAUAUUCUGUAUACAAGUUUAUAGUCUGUCAUUCUAUAUAUGGAAAUGUGUUCCUAAUGCCACAUUGCAUCUAAUCAUUAUCUUCGUUGGUGUGUGUCAUUUAGUCACGAGUAGCGCUGUGCAUGGUGGUGCAAAUUGGAUAAACUCUGUAUGUGUAUUUUGUUUUUCCAAUUUACCAGAUACUUUGAUCAAUUUGUCUCCUUGUUAGGUUCCCUGUUUCUUUAGUGUCAUCAGUGUCAAUAAAUAUCAAUAGUUUUUAGGCAAUAAAGCAUUAUGAGACUUUUUUUUUUUGUUUUUUAGGGGGGGGGGGUGGUAUAAAAAAUUGAUGACAUGUUUGUCCUGGGCCUACAUCAUCCCUUACCUUCUACAAACACCCAUAUAAUACAUAAGAUUUUUCAUUUGAAGUUAUAAUACUGUAGUAUUCCUAGUUGAAUUUCGAACCAGUUACCGCAGCCUCGCAUUGUACUUAUAUUUGCUGAGAAGGGAUAAUCAAUAUUGAACUAGUAAUUACCCAUUUACACUAAUUACAGAUGAGUCGUUUGCUUUAUGGAACCCUUUAGUUGCUUCAAUAAUAAUUUGCGGCGGCCUGCUGCUGCAUAGCAAUUGGUGGUCUUGCUGCAGGCCUUUCUUUCAUUUUGUCGUAAUGUUAUCUGUGUUAUAAAAUAGAUGCGCGCUUUUGGAAAAUUCUCUGCCCUGGAGCUAGGAUGGCUAGAGGGUCAUAAGUCGAUUUCCUCUGUGUGAAGACUUCCCACCGUUGACCAAAAUGGGCCUGCCAUUGUUCCUGCGUGGUAUAAUGAGCUAGAUAUUGUUUAACUCCAAGGUGGGCCACUGCACAGAAGUCUAAAAUUCUUUUGUUCAAAGUUAAGAAGUGUUCUAAGCCAUUAGUUCCAGCGGAUGAAGGAACUGCAUGGAAAAGGAACGCCACCAUGUAGAAAAUAUCUUCUUCUGGGAAAACAAAUGAAGUUCUGUUGUCCCACCUGUAAAAUAUGCAAAUUAUUUUAUUAAGAAAUAUGACCCUUUAAAAUUCAGUUGUUGAGUUGACGUUUGUAUGAGACUUUUACUUUGAUUUGUUAACUGGGUAGAUGAGCACAGGCCCGCUCUUCGUAUCUUUCAGAAUAUUGCCGAAAACUCCUUGAGCAAAAUAUUUUAUUUUGCUUCUGGGGAUGAGAAGAUUUAGCCAUGGGUGCGGAACAUCCCACAUUCCUUUCGAUCGUAGUUUUAACUCUGAGGUAUGAACUCUAUCCAGGAACUCGACAUAUGAGACUUCUGUCAUAAGAAGUGUUGAUUGGAUAUAGCUUAGCUUUGAUAGUAAAUUCUCAACUUCCUGCAUAGAGAAAAAGCUGUGAGACUCAUUUGGUUAACAUACUGAGAAGGUAGAAUCAAGUAGAUCAUAGUGCCACGGUAUGCUCACCUUGUUUGCUGUGUCAACCUCGUCAGGAUUGAAAUUUUUGGUUAACUCAAGGCAGAACAGUGUUCUUCCAUCUGAAACGAAUUUACUUGCUUGGGCUGGGUCUUGAGGGCUGAAGGAUGAUCUCCAGCUAUUUAAGACAUCAGUCCUGUUUAUUAUCACAAGUCCUUCAAUGUAAUCAAAUGUGUGUUCUGCAGAUAUCAAAAGCUCCUGGUCUCGGGAAAAUGUGGAGAAAUCUGAGUAGAGCACCCUGAUCCAUUUGACCUGGUGAUAAUUGAAGAAUAAUCUUUAUAAGACUGAAGCUUCCUUUAAGAUGCUUUCUUUAUAGGAUCAUUGCAUUAUAUAAUUACCAUCUUUGGUGCUGGCUCCAGGGAGAUUCUUGCUUUGGUUAUUAUCCCGAAUUGCCCAAGUCCUCCAAGAACACUGUGAAAGAGGUCAGCAUUCUGCUUCUCUGAGCAAUUGACUACUUCUCCCUUUCCUGCAAUCAGUUCCAUCCUCUUUUUAAUAAGUAUUACUUCAAACAAGAUUGUUUAAUGAUUAGAUAAUUCUUUCCAAAAAGUAAAGUUUUUUUUGAGGGAAAUAUUUGUCAAUUUGCAGCUCAUGAGACUAGGAGAAGUGGUAAGUUGCGUCUGUAGUUACCCGCUACUAGAAAAUAAGAUGGGACAAAUGAAAAGCCACCACCUAUGCGGUCUUCUUAAUUAACCUUUUGACCCCGUCUUUUGUUCUACAAACUAUAGCAUCAAAAGGUUCUUGUUUUCCCAUACAAACCUGUAACAACCUCCAGCUGGUGGACAUUACUGAUCUGGGGGCCAUGGCGAAAUGCUUGCCCGCUUAUUCCUGCAUUUGACAGCGUACCACCAACCGUGAGAUGAAGGUAGUCUGUCCAAGACUUCGGUGCUAGCCCAUGUUUUAAGCUUUCAUGCAAAAUAUUGAUCCACAGGUCACCAGCGGACACAUCCACAUAAGGCAGUUGUCCUGUAUUGAACUGCAUUACUUGUCCACCAAGGGACUCCAUGUUAAUCACGAUACCUUGGUCAGCUUGCGCCUGACCGCGGGUGGAGUGGCCAUGGCCUCUAGCUGCAACUGUCAGCUUUGAAAGGGGACCCAUAUGCCAAAUAUGCUUUAUGGUGUUUGCAAUAUCAGAAACUGAUUUCGGAUGUAGGACUGCCAAAGGCAGGAAAUGGUACUGAUUUCCGUAGUCUCUAGCUGCAAAUUCAUUUUCUGUAAAAGUGAAAUUUCCUUCAAGAGGAAGUGCUCUCAAUGAAGUUGGGACGCUAGAGAAACAGAAAUCGACUCGAAUAGUUGCACAACUCAGUAACAAAAUCAUGAGAGUUCUAAUGAACAGGAUGUUGUUGUGUUUGGCAAAGCUAACAUAUGGGAAGUUCAUUGUUUCUAUCCUUCUACAGAGACUUGAAAGGCAGGGAUUGAAGGUUUUUAAAUUUCCGUGUACGUUCUCUGGAUGUAAGAGGGAAGGUAGAGGUACACGGUUCAAAGGCCUGAGGAGGGAAUUUAAAGAGAGAUUUGGGUGGCAGAGUCAACCUAUCUUCAGUGUCAAGAAUCCGUAAGAAGACUGCCUACUUUGUUAUAGGAGGAGUUUGAUGGUUUUACUUUUAGUUCUUUAUAAUCUUGACUCUAUAGUUGCCAACUAAAAGCCAUCACACAUGCCAAGUUGAAGAGAAAAGUUAACAAGCAAGAAACAUUUCACCGGUCUUUGCCCCUUUUUUACACAAUUUCAACCAUAUUUUCACCCUUUCCAUCAAAGACAAAGAUGUCAUGGUCCUGAUCUAUCUCAUUUACCACGUUUGAGGAUCACUGUACCAUUUAUAGCAAAAGGUACUGGCCUCACCAGAAAGUGCACCCUUCUUUCCUCCGGUCCUUUUACUUCCUCCUAUGGGCUAUGGCUGGCUGAAGUUUGUGUCUUAAUUGCACUGAUUUGAUCAUUUUAUUCCUUGAAGCCAUUGUUGUUGAAAAGCAAACAUCGCGUAUCUAAUUUCAGAUUGGAUGAGAAGGACUGGGUGACCAGCCCUGGAUCAUUUUGCAGGCAUGGCCUCAACGGGUCCACGGGACACGUGAAUUUCCAAAAGAAUUUUGUGCUUGGUUGGGGGAAGAGCUGUGAUUUGCUAUGCUUGGGACCUCUUUUUGCCACUGUCCUCAGCCUAAGAAGAUGAAAACUGGACACGGAAAGGACAUCUUGGAGGAAAAUCUUAAGAUCUAUCUUUGAAGAUAUGUGUAUACUGUUGUUUUGGUGCCUUUGUUCCCAACAAAAGAACAAAAGCUGGAAUCCUUCUCUGUUCAGGACGAUAGUGUUUGAUUUGUAAUUUGAAAACCAGCUAGUGCUUAUGUAUCAUCAUUAACAAAUUUUCCUUUGUUUAUGUAUUGCGUUUUUGCAUGUUGAUAGAACCCUCUUUGUUGCUUCAAAUUAGAGUAUUUCCUGAUAGGCCCUGAAAUCAGAUUCAGUAAAUAUAAUAAGAAUUUAGAUGCUGCCUUUCACAGAGACGGUAUUUUCUUUUGUGAACACGGGUUCAGCAGCAGGGGUAGAUUCACAUAUGUGGCUCUUCUUGCUGGAGGAUCAUUUUGUCUUUGAAAGCUAGAUCGAACUGUUUCAAGGUCCAUGAUGCAUCAUUUUCAGUAUUAUAUGGAAAGCUCCGAAAUAGAUUUUCUAUUAUUUCGCUGACACCAACUCAACGAUAUCAUAGAUACGUGUGUGUAUAUAUACACGCACGUACACUUACCUUAUUUCCUUUUCUCAAUAAUAACAACAGAAAAAUGACAUGUCCCGUUACAUAUUGAGUCAUCUUUAUCACAAUUAUAUCAAUUUUCAAAGUCCUUUUGAACCGUCGAUAAUAACAACGGAAAAAUGAUAUGUCACAUUAUAUAUUGAGUCAUCUCUUUCGCAAUUAUAUCAAAGUAAAAGUUUCAAAAUUCUUUUGAACCGUCGAUAAUCGUUUCCUAAAUGCAUUAGAGAUAAAAAAAAAUGUCACUCCCUUUAUUUAUUUGUGCGUUUUCUUCCCCUAAUAUUUGGCCUUCUUGUCCUAGCGCUCUCUUCUAACAGAAGAUCAACUAGCUGCCAAAGUAUUGUUGUUGGAGCAAAAGCCAAAUGAAAAUUUCUUGUGACAUUCCUUAGAGCCUUCAUUUUCCAAACCAUUUGCGCCUGCGCCCAUGGGACCACAAAAGUAAAAUCUAUGCGGAUUCUAAUGGACAACAAAAUAUGGAAACCCAAAAGUGGCCCUCAUCAGUGUCCCAAUCAGGAUUCCAGCUUUGCAUUACCCAAGAAUAUUAAAAUAACACUGUAAUAAUUUGGAAUAGAUUAUUGCACCCACUUUCCUCAGAUUAUGGAUUCUUACUGUGAAAUGGGAACUGGCUAGAAGCAAUAGUUCUUUUCGCUUGGUGGUUCCCAACCUAAUCCUCAUGCCACAUUUAUUCUCUAGAAGGAGACCGACCAUUAGUGAACAGAUCAGCAAGGCUUAUGCCGACUUAGGGCAUAAAAUGAAAGGUUUACUAUGUAUUAAUGAUGAUUGAAGUGUUGAUUACAUGAGAAGCAGCUCAUAACACGAUUCAACGAAGCCAUAUGCUCAUGGACCUCUCUCUUUGUCUUUGACUCUUUCCCUUUACUUGUUAACCCCCCCCCCCCCCCCCCCCCCCAAAACAAAAAAACCACCAUUUUUUUAGUAAAACUUAGUCUUAACUAGUUGAAUAUUGCGAUAAAGCCCGAUCGUUGUAAAAAUCACGUGUUAUAUUUUUUUGAAAGAAAUUCGAUUCUUCGAUAAUAAACGAAGUAAAAAUUCGUAAUGCAAAAACUUUUCAAGAAAAAUGGUAAGCGAACAAAAGUUUCUUUUUAUUUUUCUUUUUAUCUUGGGGUGUGUGGAACUUAGAUUUGAUGAUUAAAGGACACGGAUGUUAUAAAGGGGGUUGGCAAUUGUCAUGAAGUAAUUUGAGAAUCUUAUUGGUCCAUUAAAAGAUCAAAGAUUAACGAAUGAUAACUAGACAAAUUGAUUGAGUUGCCACUAAGCCGGCCAUGAUAGGGUGGCUUGCCACGUCUCCACCUGGUCAACAUCCUUGUCAUCAUGCCAUUGAGGUUAAACUUUAAAGAAGAUAAAAAGUCUUAUUAUAAAAAAAAAAACAAAAAAGGAAGAAGAAGAAGAUAAAAAGUCUUACAAGUUAGUAGGACACAAACUGAUUUAUGAGCUGGUUAAGCCUAUUGAUUAGGGGAUAAUCGACAUUUUCUUAUCUUGUUCCCCAUCCCACUUUCAUUCCACUUUAAUCAGGGUCCCCUUGUCUCAUUUCUUAUCCUUUGUGUGGAGUUAAAAAGCCUAGUUGUAGCAAAUUUUUUUUAACUCGGGCAUUCUCUUUCUCAAAUUCUAUUAAAGAGGAUCCUAGAAAGAAUCAUAUAAGGUGGCAUGCCACAUGCCUUGUUUAGAUUCUCUUGGCUUGCAAUAAAGAGAUCAUGAGGAUCUGGAUGUGGUUGAAAUAACAUUGAUAGUUUGUUGAUAAGACAUUGGUCUGUUCAUGGAGAAAUGAGUUAAAAAAGCUUUGAGAUUCUGAGAUUUGAUUCUAAUCCCAUUUUAUUUUCCUUAGAACGACAAGUCACAUAAGGUUAUGAAUGCAUAGUUCUUGGUCAUGUCAGCUGCAUAAAGCUAGUUCUUGAUCAUGUCAGUUGUACGAGUCCAAUGUACGCAAACUUGAAAUUUAUUAUGUAAUCUUGAGGUUUUAAGAAUUAGUGGUUCUGGAUUCAAAUUUUUCCUUCCUUUCCCUAUUUCCUCUUAAGUUAAAUUCUCCUCUUCUACAAAAAAAAAAAAAAAAAAAACUAUGUAAUUUUGUAAUUCUUUUUCUUUAGGCAAUAUAAUGGCAUGAUUGUAGCUGAUCGGCAAACCUUCAAAGUUAUGGAUCACUUGCAAAAUAUGUUGUACCCGACCAACCCUGCUUAUGCUUUGUAAAUGAACCCGAAGAAUUACUCGUGGUGAGGAUCGAACAUCACAGAUUUCGUGCCAUUGAAGCACAUAUUUUGCUUUGCCAUCUCUAGAGUAAUUGGCCACCAACGUGAGGUUUAAAACUCUUCUUGGGUGUAGGUCAAGAGAUUUGCAUUCUUCUCUAAGAUUUUCUGAAAAAUUCACCAGCAGUAUAAAGAUAUCCGUCUAGUCUAAUGGCAAUUUAAACCCCUCCGAGCUUUCCUUUGGCCCCUUUGGAUCCAUCCCUUCCCCUUUAUACUAGGAGUAAGUGUAGAAGAAAAAAUAUCGUGUCAACAAAAACAAAAAAAAAAAGCACUUAUUUAUUUGCUAUAAUCCGUGCAUCUCUUUCAGUUGUAAUUGGAUUUUGUUCAUGCAGAUGGAACAACAAACUAAUGGUUAGCUUUUGCGAUUCCACAAGUGCAAAAGCACAAUUACUAGAAGAAAUCACCAAAACUGUUCUAGUUAAAUUACAAUGCUUGCAUCACUAGAACUAAUCAUUCAAAAUUUUUAAAAAUUAGAGGUCUUGGGUUCAAUUCCCUUGUUCUCCUUUAUCACUCCUUAAAAUCUUAUCCCUCCUUUAUUAAAAAAUUAGAAAAAACUAAUCACUUAAAACCUUUUUUUUAACUUUAACAUUAGUUGCAAAUAAACAUGUAGCACACAAAGAGCUGGAGAUUUAACCUUCAAGUUUUAUGUGAAGACAAUUUACCUCUUAAACUUGACCAAGCUUGACAGACCAAGUCAUCAAAAGCUAACCAAAGACAAGGUUAUUUCUAUUGGGAAAAUGACGGAAUUAGUCUCUCACAUUUCCAAAAAUAUCCUUUUUUGGUCAUUGACAUAUAAAAUGGUAGAAAUAGUUUCUCACACAUAAAAAACAUCCUAAUUUGGUCUACAACCUAUUUUCAACUGAAAAAAUGCACUUUCCAAUUAUGUGCGCAUACUUCUAGGUAAAAAAUAUAAAAAAGAAUAAUAUUUUCCUCGAAAAAGUACUCCUUCAUCCCCCUUCCACACUACCAACCUGCCACAUUCCUCCUUCUCCCUCUCUUCCCUACCUACCUGCAUCCUUUCCUCCAUUCACCCCAACCACCCAUAGCCCCUCUCUCCUUCUUCUCCUCUUUCCCCCUACCAAUUUGCACCUUCGCCUUUCUCUCAUCCUCUCCCCCACCCCCCAAAAAAAACAAAAAUCCUCCUCUUAGAUUGGGUCUUUGAAGACCAAUAUUAGAUCCAGUCUAAUCUUCAAAGACCAAAUGAAGGAGAGGGAUGGGUUGGUGGGGAAAAGGAGUGUGGUAAGUUGGCUGGAGGAAGAGGAAGAAAGAGGAGGGUGGCGUGUUGAUGAUGGGGAAGGGUGGGGGGAGGAGGAAGGGUUUGUGGGUGUGUUUUUUUAAGAGAAACAUUAUUCUUACUCGUAUUUUAUCCAAAGUUUAAUCACAUAACUUGGGCAUACAAUUUUUAGUUAGAAAUUUGAUCAAAAAUAGGUUUUGGAUAUCCAACGGUUAUCUAUGUAUAGUUUCAUUGUCUAUAACUAUAAAUAAAUUAUGUGACAAUUGGUUAUAAGCAAUUACAAAAUGAAAUUCAAAUAUAAGUAAAAAAAAUCAGCAUCGAAACAUGUUUUUUUAAACAGCAAACCCUAUUCACAAGGGAGGGACAUCACCCCAAGUUUUAUUAACUACCAAAAAGAAAAAUUACAAGGAGGGGGACAUAGAGUUAACCUCCAAAGCUUAUAUGGAAAGUAGACAUUAAAAGCCAAAAGGGAGAAGGGACUACUACUCCCUUACAUAAUGAAGAUAAGGAAAUUAUGUAGAAUCUAAACACGUAAUCUCUAUAAUUGGUGGCGGCAAUGAAGCAGCGUCAAAGAUGGCUGAAACUCAAGUCUAUAUUGGCCUUUUUUGCAAGGCCAUUUGCAGCGGAAUUGACUUCUCUAUAGUAAUGUGUCAAAAUGAAUACUGCCUUGAUUAAUACAUCAUAAACCCGUAUUACUUCCGCAUCAAUUCACCAAGGACACCUUUGCAGUCCUUUAACGGAGUUCAGCAAAGUUAUGGAGUACAUUUCUACAAUAAUGUUAUGUAGACCCAAGGUUAACACACAAUUGUAGUCCUCCAGAAGAGCCAUGAUUUCAGUUUUCAUAUUUGUUUGAAAUCCAUAGAAUGAUGAAAAUGCUCCUAAGGUGUGGCUGUGAGAGUCUCUGACAAUGCCUCCACCUCCUGAGUCUCUUGGAUUUCCAAAUGAAGUAAUUUCAUGAUGUUAUAUCAACUAAUUACGUGCUUCAAAAAGUUCCACUGUUUGUUGUUAUUGCAGAAGCUAUAUGAUUAUGCAAUUUGAAUUUUGCUUAUGGAAAUUAAUUAGUGAAAUUUGAUUUUACAAUGAAAAGAGUGUUAGUGAUUUCAAACUAUUUUUCAAGAAAAGUAUUUUUGGGUAAUAAAACAUAAUAAGACAUAAUUACAUUGGAUUUUGAAUCUAUAAUCAAAGUAUGCGUAUGGGUCUGGAUAGGUCAGUAUCUAGAUUUAGAAGUUCAUUAUCAAGGUGUUUUUUUAGGUAUUUAGAUAAAUUUUUAUUGUCAAAUUUGUAGAAAAACUUUUGUCUAUUUGAAAGUUUAUGAAAAUUAAGAAACUUUCUUUUUUUUCUCCUUCUUUUCUCUCUUCUUCUUCCUCUCUUGCUCACACUAUAGCCACUAUGGAGUUUCUAGUGGCAGUGCCGCCAUUGACCAAUAGUGGUUGGCCACCAGCCGCUAGCCGCUACCUCCUCUAUUGACCAAAAUUCAUCAAAAUUACACCAUUCACUCAAUUUUUUGUUUUUUCUUUUUUCAGCAACGGUAGUUUUUGUAUUGAAUAGACAAAAGGAUAUACACUUAUAUGAGCAAAGGCUCAAGCAGUACUAUACACAAGUGUUAGACACACUGAGGAUUGAUCCAUUCACUCAAUUUUUUGUGUAGAUUCCAUUUUUGGUGUUAAUUUUCAUAGAAAAUGAGCAAAAAGUGAUCACAAUGGUAAGAAUAGUCGAUGUUAGUUUUUUUCUCCCUCACUCUCUUCCUCCAUCUUCCCCCUUCUUCUCCCUCCCUCCCUUCCCCCUUUCGAUGACCCCUCUCCUUUCCCUCGCCACAAUCUAGACUAGGGGAGGGGAACGGGAGUUGCAAGAAGAGAGGGAGGGAGGAGAAGAAGGAAGAGGGAAAGAGAAAAAAAAGGAGGGAAAAAAGGGAUGGUGGGGGAAGAAGGAGGAGAGGGAAGAAGAGAGGAGAGGAGGAGGAUGGAUGUAAGGAGGCAGAAAGAGGGAGAGAGAGAGAGAGAGAAACAAAUAGAGAGGGUGAGAUGAUGACAAUGGCAUGCAGUGGUGUCAAUGGUGGUGGGUUGAGGUUGAAGAGUGGUGGCAAAAGAGAUAAAUGAGUGUGUGUUUUGGAGUGUUUUGUGGUAUAUAUUUUAAAACUUUUGGAGUGUUUUUAGAAAAUACUAUAGACAAAGUUUGAUAAAAAUUUGUCUAUUAAAAACAAACAAAAAAAGGCUUUCAAAUAGACCCUAGAUUUUAAUGUGGAUCCAGAUUUGAAAUUUAAUUAUACAAAAUCACACUCUACUUGUACUCAUAAUUUUCUUAUAAGAUAUGAAUUUGGGUUUUAAAAUUUGGAUUUAGACCCUUUACAAACUCCUUAGAGUCUAAGCAAUAAAUGCUACCUAAAUUCCAAAAUUAACUAUUUUCAACCAUUCGAAUUUUUGAAUGGAAAUAGACUUACUAUAGCUCCAAAACCCACAACCAAAUCCACCAAAUUACUUAUAUCGAAAAUCAGACUAGAACUUAAUGGGAUUAAAGAAAGAUAACCACUCCCAAACUCAUUUGAAUCUAGGUUAUAGUUUCAAAACAUUGUAGGUAAUUUUUUUUUUUUAGUGUAAGUAGAAAGUCUCGCGUUCAAGAUCUAUCACUUAUACUAUCAUCCAACCUAUUCCUCCCCCCAAAACUUUGUAGGUUAAAUGCAUGAACACUUACAAAAUUCAAAUUCGAUGUCAUUCUCAUAGAGCAUAAUUAAAUUUAGCUAACUUAGAUUUCUUAGUUACUAACUACCAUACAUGUGCAUGGUUUUUGGUUUAACAUAGACCUUUCCUCAAAUUUGUAAUUUUUUUUAGGGUUUGGAUUUAAACAGAUUUAGACAUGAAAUAAUGAACUUUGACAAACGAAAACAUCGGACACUCCUACGUGUUUUGUGUGGGGUUUCAUGCUUUGCAACACUACAACUAUGUUAUUUUACUAGGUUUGAAGUAGAGUAAUAUUAUGAGUGUGUUUGGAUAAGAGAUUAUAUGAGAUAAUUUAAAAAAAAAUACUGUAACAUUUUUUUCAUAUGAUAUAUAUAUAAGAUAAAAAGAUGGUUGAAAAAUACUAUAAUACUUUUUUGUAAUACUGCGACUAUGUUAUUUGUGUUAUGUUGAAUGCCCUUCGCGUAUUAAUGCUAUUAAUAGUAAAAUACGUAACAAAAUUGAUAAUUUCACAUGCAAUGCAUGUGUCAUGCGGUACUAGCACGCUGGGCCAUGGAGCAAAGGACGAUAGAAGUAAUGUUAUAAUCACAACAAACACAAAUUUACAACUUCUCUCUGUGAGACAAUAUUUGUAGGGUCUCCCACUAGAUCUGAUAUGUUCCCAAGUUUAUCAUAUAUAUUUGUCAGUGGUUAACUUUGAUUGACUUCUUUCCUCCACUAGGUAGACUCAAUAAAGUAAAGAAAAAGGUUGAAGUCGUGUGGGUUUUGGGUUUUGAGUAUGUUGGUAAACUUUUUAAGUAUUAGUUAAUUAAGAUUUUCUUUUUCUUUUUUUAAAGCUCAGGCUCUAGCUAAGUUCUGCGAAUCCUAGGUAGGCUUACAUUAGACAAGUCAAGUAAAAAUGCCUUUGUAAGUUGCAAAUCCCAGGCAAUCUUGCAUUGUAUAAGCCACGAAUUGAAACCAAAAUCUCAAAACAAUUAGAACCAAAGAUUAUAAAAGAGACGGGUCAAAAAACAAAAAGGGCUGCGAGAAGGUGUCUCAUUUUUUUUAUUUUCUUUGGGGGGUUUGGGGAAUGAAAAGCUCUGGAGGGCUAGAAACCCUUCAUUUGGCUGUCCAAAUAAUAUAUAGUCUUUCAACCAUAGCAAAAAUAAUUUGCAGAUGAAUAAGAAAUAAAUGCUUGGGUAGAUAAGUGUUCAAUCCUAAAAACCAAAAGCACUAGCAGAAAUUUAAAAAUUAAUGUUUUUCUUAAUUUCAAAAAAAAAAAACUUUUUGCACUAAUUGGUAUACAUUCACGCAAUGACACAUCAUUGUUGUUCACAUUUCAAAUCAAACAUUAAUACAAAACAUAAUCUUAUCUCAAGUAACAAAUAGAAGUGCCCAAGGCCAAAUCAAUUCGUGAAUUUUUGUAGUCACGUAUACUAGGAAGAGCUUUUCAUUAAUAUCAUUCUUAACUGGUUGAGAUUAGACCACGUUGAAGCCCCACCAGUUAUUUAGCCACUUCCCCGUGUCUGAUAAAAUAAUCAGCUAGCACAAGUUACCAUAAGAACAUUCCAUUUCUGAUUUGACCACAAGAGCCAAAAUCGAAAAAGGCUUAAUUAAUUGAGCCUCCCCUUUUUUUUUUAAUGGCUUUUUUGUUUGGCUUGUUGCUGAGAGUCGUCCAAUGUGCAUGGUUUUGACUCUUUGGUUUCAAAUUAUUGAAAUUGCACUGUCACAAGGCAUGAUCAUGAAGGCAGUCCUAGUACUCAUCGACUUAGUUGUCUGAGCCUAAGUAGACCCUAAUUAAAGCUUUUUGGUUGUUUAACACGAGUAAGAAUAAUUACAUCAACGACAAGGGAGAUUGAAAACAUGAUAUUUUUUUCCCCUUGUUCCCCAUAUGGUCAAAAAUGUAGGCUAGACCAUCUAUAUGCACCCCAUAUAAUUGCUCAUUAGACAAAUUUUGUCUUGCUCUCUACUAAAAAUCAUUACAAGUUUAGAAUGUAUGUAGGUCUAAAUGAUAGUGGAUGAGGGAAACUCAAUGAUCAUUGACUCAAAAAAAAAAAAAGGGAAACUCAUAACAUUAUGAAACUAGCACCGUUUAUCCAAAAUAAUCAACUUGUGUAGAAUCAGCUUCAUUUACAUCAUCCUUUCCAGGCAAAUCGAGCUUCUGCACUGAAGUGGCUAGAUGCAUGGAUAUUAACAAGGAGAUGGUUCUCGAGCUAAGAGUUAUAAUAUGAUAAACCAAAACAUUAAAUAAAAAAAAAAAGAAUUUUACAUGCCCUAAAACCUCCAUUUUGGACCCAAAAUUCGAUUUCUUUAGGCCUUCAACCGUGUGAAAUGGUUGCAAGAAUAUGUUAUACAAGCAUGCAUGGUACCAACUUCAAAUUAUACUCAAAUUAUACAAGCAUGCAUGGUACCAAAUUAUACUCAAAUAACUUCAAAUUAUACAUUACGAACAAAAUAGAACUUAACUUACUAUGAACUAACUAUAUAUAGAAGAUUAUUUUUAGGGUAAUUUUUUUAUACACUGUCAGUCUUAAUAUAUAUUAUACUGUAUAUUUUUUGUUCCUAUCAACAUUUUCUUUCCUUUUCUCUGUAUUUCCUAAUUUGACUCAUCAUUUGUAUGUAUAAAUGUCAAGGUAUGCACACUAAUUUUUGUUAAUAAAAAAACACGGCAGCCAAAAAAUGUGAUUAUGUUGUUUGUAACUAGGUUUACAAGAAUCAAUAAGAAGUUGUCUAGCCAUGCCCAGACGGAAGGAAACCCUUCCUAAACCCAAGCCAAAUAUAAAAUGGUCUAAUAAAGUUUACUAAUUGUCCAAAUUUGACUCCCUAAGGGACCAAGCGUGACAAAUUAGAACAUGGAGGGACUAGACUAGGUCAAAUCUUGGGAGACAGGAUUGAAAUUGAAUGACUAAUCUCAGGAGACAGGAUUGAAAGUGAAUGACUAUUACAACCACGGGAUUGCAUUACUCCCCUCGUAGAACACUAAACUAACAAAAGUUCUUCCUUAAUUCCAAUCUUUCCUCUUUUCAUUUCAGGAAAAUUGUAGAAAAAAUUCUUCACAUCUUAUUAUUCCCUCAAUUUUAAAUGUAAUUUUAGUCCGUCAAAUAUACAAAAUGCAAUACUUUGUUCGGUCGCAUGUUACUUAUUGGCUUGAAGAAGUCAGGUGCCCACUAAAUGAUACUUAUUUCAAGGGCAAAAAUGAUAUCAUACCUAUUUCUGACCAUAUACGAACAUAUGGUAAUGAGAUGCCUGAUCCUCUAAAAAUUUAAAAGCAAAGCCCUCGAUAGAGGGUAAUAAAGCAAAAUCAAACUCGUUAUGGUAACAAAAAUUUUGUUUGAGAAACAAAAAAAUGAAAUGCGGGUAGUUUCCAGAUUUCAAUCGAUAGUAACCAAUUGAACAAUUCCAAAGAUGAAAGAAGAAAUUAUGAUUUACCAAAUUAGAGAAUUUCUUAUCCUUGUCUUGGAUUGCUCUAGGGUUCAAUUAAUAUCAAAGUUGGACUGAAAUUAUCCUAUAUUAAUCAUGAAACCAGCCCAACUUACUUUGAAUGUACCCAGCCUGAAUCGGCUAAUUUUUUCCACUAUGGGUAGAAAUAUAGUUCCGUUUAUCCGACCCGAACUCGAACCCAUUUUUUCUUAAUAAAAAAGCAGGUUGAAUGCAGAAUAUUGCAUUUCGACCCGUAUUCGACUGAAACCUAUUUAAAUAAAUUAAUAAUCAUAAAAUAUAUAUAUUUAUUAUAAAAUUUGACCCGUAUUCGACUUGACUCGUAUCCGGGAUCCGUUGAGUCUGGAUCUAAAAAAUCAAGUAUAAGACUCGUCGGGAAUGCGGGUCGAAUCCAGAACAUUUAUACUAAAACGGGUCCGGAUUAGGAAUGUUGAAUUUGGUUCAAUACCCAACCCGUUGAAAGGUAUAUUCAAAGGUCAUAUGGUUGUUUUAUUUUCAAAUUUGCAUCACAUAGUCGGCACGUGAGAUUUUUCAAGUAAAAAAUAGUGGCCUAAAAUGGUAAGGUGUAAACUGCAUCGCCUUAAAAUUAAGGAAACAAAUAAGAACAAACACAAAAUGUGAAGUACCGAUUCCUUUUUGCUGUUUUCCCUUUCUUUUUAUAUACCCCUUGAGGAUUCUCUAUCUAGAUUUUGUAAUCUGGUAGUCGAAUGGACUGCCAAAUCAACAUGCACCAUUAAGCUUACCACCAUGCUUCGCAAAAGAGGUAGGGAGGGCCUAGGUCCAAAGUAGCACCACGUCUGCAUAUCUCUGCCAAAGGUGGAAAGAAUCUUCAACUGGACAUACGAAUAAACAAGAAAAUAUGAACUUUGUUCUUAAACGGAGAAUAUUCCUGUCAAUGGGGUGCCUUCCCUCAUCAGGGCAUGUGCUUAUUGAUCAUUACCUUUCAAUCCUUAAACACUACCACGACCAUUCAGUCAGCUGAAACUUAUCCAAUUGUCUCUCUUCCACACAAUGCGGUUUCCAUCAAGAUUCGUUCUCAUCAGAAGGCAUGUAACAUCACACAGAUAUGGUAUGCAGAAAGAUUACGAAAAGGAUAUGCAGAUUGAUAUGGAAUGCAGAAAGAUUAGGUGGAGCGUAUAUUGAGAGACUGUUGCUAUACCAUCGAAUUCGACAGGGUCAGUGCAACCGCACCAUACUAAUUGCCGAGAUGGGCCGGGAGAGCUUUGGUUGAUCUUCGCCGUAAAUUUCAAAUGGACAACCGAGAUCAGUUGCAUUUCAAAUGAACGGUCAAGAUCAAUCUGAGCACUCCUUAGUUCAUCUUGGCCGUUGUCUGUUCUCUACAGUUGCACCUGCAAACGCAGAUGACCUUGAUCCACUUUGACAUGAUCGAAAAGUAUGUCGUUGGGAAGUGCAAGUUUUAUCCCGUCACCUCUCAUUAGCUUUCGGCACUACAGAAAUUUUACUUUUUUUUUUUUUUAUAAAAAGCAAACUUCAUUAAUGAAUUAUUGGAAAUCGCUUAGCACGAUUUGAUUUAUAUUGUUGUUUUAAUGACAGAUUAAAUAUGCACUAAAAUUAACAGAUCAUAUUUGUACUUUAACAGAUAUAACAGAUCUGAAAAAUGUUACAGAUUUGAAAAAUAUAAGAAAAUUUUAAAUUGUCUUUAUAAAUCGUUGUAACUAUAUUUUGUGCAUAUUACAAUUAUCAGAUCUGCUAAUCAAUGAUUUUGAGUUCGAAUAAUGAUGAUGAGGUCUUUCGAAAGGGACCUAAAAUCCAAAAAAAAAAAAAAAAUCAGAUCUGACAACUACAACUGAAAUAAUUUGGAUCCAACAACAAAAGAAGGAAAAAACAUAAAGUGCUCAUUAAGAAUCCUUGAAGAAAUAGAAAAUUCUCACUAAAAACCCCUAAGAGAAAUAGAGAACUUUCACUAAGAAAAUUUAGAAGAGACUGUAUUAAAAAAAUAAUAAAACGAAAUCUAUGGAACAGAGACCAAGCCUCGUUAAAAGAGGAAAAAGAACAGAGAAAAAUUGGAGAAAAUGAGGAGAGGAGAGAGCAUGAGCAGAGUACAUAAACUUUACUUUCGGCGCGCAAGAAUUUACCAUAGUUAAUUAGAAUCAGUUAUCAUUUGUGAAUUUUGAAACCUUUAGUUCGUAUUACAACAGCGUGGGCAGAGCUGAUAAGCAACUGUACAUUUGUACAUCUUCGUUGGACUAGACGAAAACAAAGCAAUAGUAAUUGAAAGAAGAAAACAUUGGGAAAGCUACAAACAUUGCGAUUUUGAAGAUUACGAUAAUUUACAACCACCAAUUACCCUAUUUCCCAUCUCCAAAAAAUUAAAAAAAAUCCUAUACCCUUUCCCUUAAAUUUUAGGUACAUCCACCAUCUAUUUUUUUUUUAAAGCACUCAUAUUUUGAAUAGGUGGUCAGAGAAAAGGAUGGGUUAGAUGGUACAGAGGAAACAAAGUGUAAAUGAGAGAUAUCGGAUUCGAGAGCCUCCUACUUAUAUUUAAAAAAAUUUUAAAAAAAGGCAGUAAAAAUCAAAUUUAGGUACCUAUAUGUGUUGAAAACUCUCAAAAUCUCAAGUGCGUGUGAUGCUACCAGGAUUUAUUGAAAUACAUGUCUUACACUUGGGCAAGUCUAAUCAUAAAAAAGAAAAGAAAAAGUCUAACCAUCAACAUUUAAUAGUAGUAAAUAAACAGAUAAAAUGAAAAAUAAAAUAUUUUCAUUACGGCAUAUUCAUUUGCAACACGAUUACAAUACUGACGGAGUGCUAAUAAUUUUUUAAAAAUAUAUUUAAUUAACGGGUCGAUGAUUUAAUUGGGUCAUUUGUAAAGAUUACAGUAUUGGGAAAAGGAUUAAGUAAGUUAAGAAUCAAUAAAAGAGCCACAAACAUAAUUUUGGUACAUUAAUUUCGCUUGCAACUCAACACGCUUUUAGCGCACACAGAAAAAAGGACGCGUCAACUACCUCAUUAUGGUCUGGCGAUUACCGAGUGAGAGCCCACGUUUUCAAUUUCGGGUUGGUGUCUAGUUUUCUUCCAAAGUCGGUACAUUACAAAGACUUCGGAGCUGCCGGCCGUGACGUCUACCCCUCAAACAGUGAUCCUAAUAUGUGGCCUGUAUGGUAAAUUGACCCCCAAUAUUUUGACCAAAACAAAUUUUAUCCUUAAAAUUUCUAAUUUAAGGCAAAUUUAUGACAACUAAGUGAAUUUUACAAUACCUAACCAUGAAAAUCAAAUUAGAGUUAGACGAAGGACUUUUUAUCCCUAAAGCUGGAAGUUUUUUUUUUUUUUUUUAUCAAUAUGUGGUCUCUUAUAUUUCAAAUAGUUAUAUUCAAUAGUUUCAAAUAAAAUAAAAGGUAAAUUAAAUUAAAUGUAUAACAACUGUGUUCUCAAAUCCUUAAAAAUGCAGCUAAAAGCACUUCACAUUGAUACAACACUAUUCUUCAGCCUAAAGAGUAUCUCUUUGUUAAAUUAUUUACAAAAUAAAAUUUCAUCGUAAUACACAAAAAGAAAAAUUAUUGGAAAGAGCAGAAUCUUAAUUUUGAGAUAUAACUUUAUUCUAAAUAUUAGUACAGAAAUUGGUGCAUGACUUGUGGAUCUAGGUUUCAAUCAGUUAUGAUUAAGAUUCAUGGUUACAUUAACAAGCAAAAGUAAUUACCAACAUGAAGUACUCAUUGGAUUCUCAUAAAAGCUUCAAGUUGUUUUUUCUUGUCUUUCCUUCGCAUUUAAUCAAAUAUUUCACCAAUAAAGUUCAAAGUACUAAUAAUAUGUUCGUGUACAUUUAAAACUGUAUUCAAUAAUUCAAAUAAUUAUACAAAAUACUUGUUUCAUUUGAAAUGUAAUUGAUACCCAAUUGAAAUGCCAAAAAAAAAGAAAAAGAAAAAUUGUAGUUCAAUCAAUUUAAUUUACAUAUAGUUGUUUAUAUUUUAAAGGGAUAUUUAAUUGUCAAUAUAAGCAAAAAAAAAGUUUAUUAAGCUUUCUCUUGAUUUUUAAUAUUAAAAUUUCUAGUAUAUAUCACAUAAUUUCAACCCAAUUGACAUCUAAUUUUAUCCUACAACCCUCAACAUCACUAUUUGAAACUUAAGAGGUAUAAUGAUUCAAAUUCUAAACAUUGGAGACUAAAAGUGUAAAAUCAAACCUAUUGGCUAAUGGAAAUUUGAUUUUUGCCUGGUAAGAAUGGUUGAAUUUCCAUCAAUUAUCCUAAUCCUAAAUCCACCCAAAAUUAGAAUUUUAGGACUAUCUUUAUUUUGGUCGAACCAUUAGAGACCAAUUUGACACAGACUAAAUAUGUUCUCCCUUUCAAAUAUGUUUACUUGAAGCUAGUGUAACAAGUUUCGCAUUAGCGAAGAGAUGAAGGGGAUAACAGAGUGAGUGGUAAAGUCGGUACCCAAGGUUAGAGAUAAUUACUUUGGUAUACAAAAAACUACAGCUAAUGACAAAAUAUUUCCUAUGGGAGCUAUGUUCUGUACAAUAGCCAGCUAUAGAGGUUGAAAAAUGAAAUAAAUGUUAUGAAACAAUUAAAAGUAUGGAUGUCCCUUUGUAUUCCCAAGAGGAUUAAUUCAUGAUUUUAUGGCUACAUUAUGUAUAGAAGUUACAAUCCAUUAAUCUAUACAUGUAGUGGAGAAACCGUUUCAUAGGUUUCUUCAUAUUAUUGUAGUAGUGGAUGUUUAAUAGGAUUUAUGUACCUUUAAUCUUGUAGUACCUAUAUAUAGAGGUACAUUGAUACCCUAUGGAAGGACUUUUGUAUCUUAUUGAAAUAUAAGAAUAUCAUUCUCCCUUUCUCUACCCCUUCUUCAAUUCGUAUUGUAGUAUUUCAUUUUAUUAGUUUUAUAACACGUUAUCAGCACGAAAUCUCUACUUUUGAGCAAAAGGUGAAAACGGGGGCUCUACCUUAAACAAAGGUGAAGUAAAAUAUUUUGUCGAAAUUCUGUUCAUAUUUCUUCAAGAAAAUUCUGAGGUAAAUUUCUAACUCAAAAACUUAUUUCAAUUUCUUAUGGCUAAUAUUUGAAUUAUCGCAAAAUACAAGUAGUACCUACUGUUGAACAACCACUAAACACAAACAUAUAUUGUUUGAUAUCUUUGAGGUAAUAUUUCUCCUUUUAAUUUUACUUAUUUAUCUUUAUAAUUAUUUGUUAUAAAUAAUUAUAUUCUGAUGCAUUGAGUUUUGGAGAUGUUAUUAUAAAAAAUCAAUUAUAUUUGAGGAUCUACUUGUCCUUUGAAAUACUUAAAGAAAAAGAUUCGACCACCUGAAGAUGGUCGUUGUUUAACGAAAAUAUUUGCCACUAGAAGAUGGUCAUUAUUUCAAAAGCCUGGUAUGAUAAAUUUACCUAUGGCUACAAGAACAUAAUUUUGCAAUUUUCAGAAUUACUUCUCAGUUGAAAUUGUGUCGAGAAAAUUUUACCCAUAAGAUAUAUUGAAAAUGAUAUUCUCUACAAUUGAUUUCUCGAACAUGCUCCUAUAGUAGCAAUAUUAAGAGAAAUUUUGAGAAGUAUUUUGUACUUAUUGCAUGCUAAUUCUAGUCCAUUCCUAGAAGUGAAUGCGACUAAAUUUCAAUUUAUUAGUUAUGGUUGUUGCCAUGACUAUGAUUCUGGUAAAUAUAUAUUUUACCAUGACAAGAAAAAAAUUACCACUUAAAGUGGGAUGAUAAUGAUAAGGACAAGAAAAUAAGAAUCCUGAAUAUAAAUGUCCCGAAGUACAUUUGACGAAUCAAAAUUAUAAUCGCAUCUUCACAUGGCCAAUUUCUUUAAACACCCUGAAGGUAUAUGAUGCUUGAUUUAAUUUAUGAUAGUAAUUAGCUUUUCUUCCUGAAGAAGAAAUGAAUGUUAAAUAUUUGGGAUCAAAAAAAUUAUGGUGAUGAUAUUUGUCCCAUAAGAAUUAUGGUGACAAUGAUAUGUGUCUCAUUAAUAAGUGCUACUAUAUACACUAUAUUCCAAUGAGAGAGACAAAUACAAUCAGUUGUAGUGUAUAAGUGAUUGAAAAUUCCAGAAGAGCCACUACUAUAUUUCUCCCUAUAGGAGAAAAGUUUAUCAUGAAUAAAGUACUACUUUUUAUCAUGUCUCGGAAAAUUUAUUGAAUUUGAAUAUCCGUCGAAAUGGAUAUCAAAUUGAGACACUAAAUAAGACAAUAAUAGAGAUCAUGUUUAGAAAUCAAAUGAGAUAAAGGUUAAUUAUAUCAUAAUAACCAUUCGAGAGAGAAAUGGUUAUCGAUAUAGUUGUUUUCAUUCUCAUUUGAUUUAUUAUUUUCACUUGCAGUAAACCAGAAGUUUACUGAUCCCAAUGGAUACAUGAUUUGACGAAAGUGAAAAUAUUUGAGAGCCGACAAAUAUUUAUACAUACUCCUUUAUAUUAUAUAUGACUCCAAAAGAAAUUUAAAUUUUAUAUUGGGUAUGAAUCAGUUUUUACGAUUAAAUAUCGUAAAAUAUUGAUGGAUGAUCUAUUGAAUGAUUUAUUUAUUCUGAUGAACUACGAUUCCCAACAUUAGGGGGAGGAAAAAAUCAACCGAAAGGAAAUCAUCUGAAAAAUUGAAUUUCCUCGAUCCUCAUACAAAAUAAUGUGAACUAGAACUUCAAGAAAUUAUUCAUUUGCAGAAAACUGCAAAUCAAUUGUCAGAUAUACUUAUCGACUCCAGAAGAGUCAUUAAAUCAACUAUUCCUGCAGGAAAUAUCUUGAUUAAAAUUGAUGUCCCUGAAGGACAUGCACAAGUGCUACAUAUAAAUUUAAGGCCGACUUACCUAAAUCAGGUAUAAAUUGAUUUCCAAUAUCUCCGGAGAUUAAAUGUCAUGACAAAAUUCAACCUCUUGAAGAGGUCGCUCCUGAAGAGCCAACUCCUGAAGAGAAUGAAAUCAUAGAAAAUUUAAUUGGAGCCUAAUAAAAUGUAGCACUUGAUAUUAUAGAAGUUGAUGAGGAUCAUGAAUCUAAAUCGGUUGAUGAAUGUCGGUGUAGAAAUAAUUGUUCAAAAUGGAAAGAUGCGAUCCAAUCUGAAUUGGACUCACUGGUUAAAAGAAAAGUUUUUGGACCUGUAGUCCAAACACUUGAAGGUGUAAAAUCAAUAGAAUAUAAAUGGGUAUUUGUGAUAAAGAGAAAUGAGAAAAAGGAAAUUGUGAGGUAUAAAGCAAGACUUGUAGUCCAAGUCUUGUGAAAUGUAUUCACCUAUAGUGGAUGCUAUCACAUUUAGAUAUCUUGUGAGUUUUGCAGUACAUGAAAAAUUAGAUAUGCGUCUAAUCGACGUUGUUACUGCAUAUUUAUAUGAAAAUCUUGAAAAUGAUAUUUAUAUGAGAAUCUCCGAAGGAUUCAACAUGCCUGAAGCAUGCAAAUCAAAUCCUAAAGAUAUUUAUUCUAUUAAAUUACAAAGGUCUUUGUAUGACCUAAAACAAUCUAGACGUAUGUGGUAUAACCGCCUCAAUGAAUGUCUAACUAAAGAAGGUUAUACCAAUGAUCCAAUAUGUCCAUGUGUUUUUAUUAAGAAAAAUGGAUCAAAUUUUGUGAUAAUUGCGGUAUAUGUCGAUGAUCUAAAUUUGAUUGAAACUCUUGAAGAGAUUCAAAAUAGUGUUGAAUAUUUGAAGAAGGAAUUUGAUAUCAAAGAUUUUGAAAAAAUAAAAUUCCUUAAUUUACAAAUUGAAUAUUUGAAGAGUGAAAUUUUUGUCCACCAAACUGCAUAUACCCGGAAGGUAUUAAAGCGAUUUUAUAUAGAUAAGGCACAUAUAUUAAGUACUCCAAUGGUCGUCAGAUCAUUAGAUCCUAAUAAGGAUCCUUUUAGAUCGCAAGAGGAAGAUGAAGAGACACUUGGUCCUGAAGUACCAUAUCUCAGUGUAAUUGAAGAAUAUUGGAAUGCGACGAUUAAAAGAUCUCAAAUGAUGUUUGCAUCAGGGGGAGAAAUUAAUACACAAGAAUAGUGUACUCUUUUUCAUUCACUAGGGUUUUUGUCCCGAUGGGUUUUUCCCUAGUAAGGUUUUAACGAGGCAUAUUCUUUGUGUAAUGGACAUCCAAGGGGGAGUGUUAUGAAACAAUUAAAAGUAUGGAUGUCCCUUUGUAUUCCCAAGAGGAUUAAUUCAUGAUUUUAUGGCUACAUUAUGUAUAGAAGUUACAAUCCAUUAAUCUAUACAUGUAGUGGAGAAACCGUUUCAUAGGUUUCUUCAUAUUAUUGUAGUAGUGGAUGUUUAAUAGGAUUUAUGUACCUUUAAUCUUGUAGUACCUAUAUAUAGAGGUACAUUGAUACCCUAUGGAAGGACUUUUGUAUCUUGAAAUAUAAGAAUAUCAUUCUCCCUUUCUCUACUCCUUCUUCAAUUCCUAUUGUAGUAUUUCAUUUUAUUAGUUUUAUAACAAUAAACAAAUCUUUUUAUGUUUAUUUUUAUAUAGAAAAGGUUUUUAAAUGUUUUCUUUUUUGUUGUAAAAAAAAAGUUCUUUCUUGUUUUUACUAGUACUUGGUUUUCAGUUCCACUAUGACAUCCUUUUUAAAGUUGGUGAUAAUUGUAAACUUCAAGAACCUAAGGGGAAAGCACUAGAGCUCAUGAUGAAUAACUAAUUUCUAAACAAUAAAAAGUAACCAAACUCCAAAAAUUAAAAGAAUGAGUGAUAGCAUUUAAAAAAGCAAAUUUUUACACAGAAUAAAUAAAAAUUCCAUUAUCUAUAUUUUUAAUUUUAUCACACAUAAUUCAUAGUCUUUUGUUGAAGAGAGAGAUUAAGUGCAUCAUCUCUUUUAAUUUUUAAGGUUUGGAAAACUCUUUUAACUUGUAUAAUACAUAGCAAUUCAUGUAAUUACUCUUCAUCAAGCUAAAAAAAAAAUUGGUUUCUCUCUAUAUUGAAAAAUGACAAUUAUGACCUCAAGUGCAAUUCAAUGGGCAAGCUUUUUAUAUUAGCUAUCCUGAUCAGAGUUUUCUUUUGUUAGAGGAAAAAGUGUUUCAAAAAAUAAUAGUAUUUGUGGAAGGAAAAAAAUUCCCACCCUAAUUUGGUAUCAUCCUAUUAAUUAAACAAGAGCACCUUAAAUAUCUGGUGCAAUCUUCUUUUGUUUCACCAUAUGAUAUUCUAAUUAUACCCUUCUUCCAUUUUAAUUGCAAAUCUACUUAUUUUCCCUUUUACUUUUUUUAUUCAAAUUUCUUUGAAACAACUUUAGGGCCUGUUUGGAACCUGAGUUUUUUGGGAGUUUGUCUAAAACUUUACUGUAGUGCACUGUAGAAGUUUUUGAAAAAAUUUUGUAGAAGUUUUUGUAAGGUGAAAAACUUUUUUGUAGAAGUUUUUGAAAUGUUACUGUAGACAUUUUUUGGAUUAUUUUUAGAGGUAUUUUUAAAACAUAUUUUUGAGUAUUUUAUAAUUUAUAAUUUAUAAUUUAUAAUUUUUAUAUUUUUAAACAUUUAUGCAUUUAUAAUACAUUUAUAAAUAUUUAGAAAUAAAUAUAUUUAUAUAUUUAUAUAAAAAUAUAUAAAUGUAUUAUAUUAUAUAUAAUACGUAAUAUACAUAUAUUUAUAAAUGUAUAAAUGUAUAAAUAUAUAAUUAAUAUAAAUGUAUAAAUUAUAAAUGAAUAUUAUAUAAAUAUAUAAAUUACAAUUUAUAAAUGUAUAUGAUGAUUAUGUAUAAAUGUAUUAAUAUAAUUAAUAUAAAUGUAUAAAUGUAUUAAUAUUAUGUAUAAAUGUAUAAUUAAUAUUGUUUAUAAUUUAUAAUUUUUAUUGUUUAAAUAUUUAUAUGCAUUUAUGCAUUUAUAAUACAUUUAAAAAUAUUUAUAAAUAAAUAUAUUUAUAUAUUAUAUAAAAAUAUAUAAAUGUAUUAUAUUAUAUAUAAUACAUAAUAUACUUAUACUUAUAAAUGUAUAAAUGUAUAAUUAAUAUAAAUGUAUAUAUUAUAAAUAAAUAUUAUAUAAAUGUAUAAAUUAUAAUUUAUAAAUAUAUAUGAUGAUUAUGUAUAACUGUAUUAAUAUAAUUAAUAUAAAUGUAUAAAUGUAUAAUUUAUAUUAUUUAUAAUUUAUAAUUUUUAUUGUUUAAAUAUUUAUAUAUAUUUAUGCAUUUAUAAUACAUUUAUAAAUAAAUAUAUUUAUAUAGGUAUAUAAAAAUAUAUAAAUGUAUUAUAUUAUAUAUAAUACAUAAUAUAAAUAUAUUUACAAAUGUAAUAAUUGUAUAUUAUUAUAAAUGAAUAUUAUAUAAAUAUAUAAAUAUAUAAUAUUAUGUAUAAAUGUAUUAAUAUAAUUAAUAUAAAUGUAUAAAUGUAUUAGUAUUAUGUAUAAAUAUAUAAUUAAUAUUGUGUGUUAAUAUUAUGUAUAAAUGUAUUAUAUUAUACAUAAUACAUAAUAUAAUUGUAUAUAAAUAUACAUAAAUAUAUAUACAUAAAUGUGUAAUAUAUAUAAUAUGUAUUAUAUAUAUUAAAUAUAUAAUAUAUAAUAUUUAUAUAAAUGUAUAAUUACAUAUUUCUAUUAAUAUUAAUUUAUAUGGUAUAUUAUAUUUAUAUAAAUAUAUAAAAAUAUAUUUUAAAUAAAAUAAAAUAUUUAUAAUAUUUUAAAUAAAUAUAUAAAUAUAUAAUAUUAUAAAUAUAUAAUAUAUAUAAUAAAUUUUUGAGGGUGAGGGACUCAAAAAUUCAAAAUUUUUUUUUGAGGUUACCGGCGGCGCCGGAAUAAGUGACCGGCGCCGGGAGAGGUGGUGGAGGCGGUGUUUGGUGUGAUGGGUUGGGUGAGGGAGGAAGAAAAGUUUUUGAGAAAUUUUUUGUGUAUAGAUUUUUGAAGUGUAUAGGUAAAAAACUUUGAAAAGUUUUUUGGGAUUCCUGUAGCAAAAGUUGUUAAAAAACUAGUAGCUAAAAAACUUGGUAAAAAACUAGGGUGCCAAACAGGCCCUUAAUACUAUAGAGAAGUUUCCUUGACAAUGAAGCAAUGCGCACAUAUAGAGUUUGGAAAAUAAUAUCCUACUUUACCCUCAAAAGUAUGAUAAUAACAAUGAAAAACAAGCUAAACGCAUCCAAACAACAUUAAUUAUGGGAGAAAAUCUUAAGCAGAAACAGACAGGCACCUAAAAUAUAAUAUCCCAACCAUGGUGGCAGGAAUGUUUUAAAGACAACAUGUGUGAUUUAUGAAUGUAAAAGGAAUCGAAGUCGUGUCAGAGUAAAGAGUUUUCUAAAAUUUCUUAGGAGAAGGAUAUUAUAUACAACGUGAAUUUUCAACGUACAACAGUAAUCACGAGCUGUAAAGCCUAAAGUGCUAUUUCUUUGUAAGGCUAAUAAUUUCCAUAAGGAUUUUGUAGUUUAUUCAAGUGAAUUUAUAUUUUUCCAGUAAACAUGAAAGCACGUGCCCAACUAAUAACAACAAUGUUUGUCUAACGAUGCAUUUGUUAAAAUUGAAGUUCGAAAACUGAAAUAUGAAAUCUGAAUUUUGAAUCUAUUAAAUUAUUGAAUUGUUAAGUAUUAAAUCAAAUACAUUUGAGUAUAUAUCACAUUCAGUGAUAAGUAAAUAGCUUAUCACUUAUUUUUAGGAGCAAACUUUGCCGAAAAAAUUCAGUGGCACUUAAUUAAUUCAAUUGUUUUAUUUUUGGUCAUCAAAAGAAUUUGAAUAUAUUAAGAUCUAAAUACAUUAAGUGCUGAAUUGCGUUAUCAAACAUGGCCUAACACUUGUUCAACUACCUUAAUUUGAUCGAUAGUGGACCAUAUUCAUUUGUAUUAUGUCCACUGAAAGACUUAAUAUAUAUUAUGUCCAUCUCUGCAGAUCACAACAACAAAAUAUAUCAUGUGCUGCAAGAAUCACGUUCAGUGUUUCCUAAUUUUUCUGACUGAUAAAAGCCUUUAACAAAUUUAAGAGCCAAUUGAAUGGCCCCAACAAAAUUGGGUCAAUUCCAAUUUGCAUCAAUGUCAACUCCACAACCUCCUACUUUUUGUAGUCUAUUCGUAGCAAAUCUUAUCCUUCCAUCCCUAAUAGAUUUGAACAAUGUUGAUCCAAUUUUUUGUGUUUUCAUUUUUAGUGUAAUUGAUCGUCUAUAUGUAAACUGAGAUUCUUAAUCUCUUGUACAAACUUACUUCCAUCUCCAAUAGAUUUGAACAAUGUUGAUAGAGUUUUUUCUGUUUUCAUUUUUAAUGUAAUUGAUCUUCUAUAUGUAAUCUGAGAUUCUUAAUCUCUUGUACAAACUUACUUGUUCAUAUCAAUGAAAGCUAUCAUUUUUGCCUAAAAAAUGUAAUUGAUCGUCUGUGCUUUGAACCAAGGUUCAUUGAUCAUGUAAUUCGAUUUCAACACAUUAGGCACACUAAAUUUAUUAACAAAGUGCUGCAAUUUGUCUAUACAUAACAUUAAUUCAGCAUACGCAGACUAUGAAAGAAUAAUGCAUGUUUAAGAAGCUUAGCAAAACCACAAACAUUAAAAACAAAGGAAAUUUUUUGCCUAUCAUGGUUUGACGAAAAUCUAGAUGCAUGCAAAGUUUUAAAUAUAUCGAUGCAUGAAAAUAAUUUCAGAUAUGGUAUUAGAAGCGGGACUUGGAAGAGGAACAAUUAUCAGUAUAAUUGUUUGUAGGCAAUAUAAUACAAUUUGAACAAGUUGUAACUCAUGGUUAACUACUUUGAAUAAAUUUACAAUAACUGCAUUAUAUUCAGUAACUAUACAAAUAGAUCUUAUACAUAAUAAUCGCGUUCCUAUUGUAAGGUUUUACAAAAUAAUUAAGUGUGGAUUAUAACCUGUUGGCAACAUCCUUUAGGAAUAAUUAUCAACUGCCCCUUUUCCAUUAGAAGAGAUUCCAGACAUGUCUGAAAUUCAAGACUUCCUAUAUGCAUGCUAAAGGAAAGAGGAAUAUCUCUUAUGUUUUUUUUUUAUCAAAUGAAGCCAUACAGGGGUAUUCUCAUUGGAUGUUCAUAUACGUGUUAAUUACCUAGUAAUUCUGGUGAUCAGAAGUAGGGUAACGGCUUUGAAUGCAUGAAAAUAAGGUGUCGUCCGGACUAUCAACAAAUGCUUAGGGUUAUUUGCACGGCAAAUAGAAGUCGGGAAAGAGAUGAAAAAUUUGAACUCAAACUAUUUAUGUUUAUUACUUGUCGAGGACUAUUAAUAUUUUGGGAGGUGAUUGGCAGUCUGGGGACAUUCUAUUUUGUUACCAAACAAACAAAUAAUUUGUUACCAAACAAACAAAAUAUUAUAACUUGUCUAACUAUGAUGCCUUGGCAUGCUUUGUACUUCAUUUCUUGACCGACUUUGAAAUUAGAAUUUUGCCUUUUUUAGGUUUUCUGACCCAGCCUCUUCUGUCAGUGUCUCCUUUCUUCUAUCACGAAUUUGAGCCUCACAAGUCAUUGAUAAUGAAGAUAUAUUUGUUGCGUAUAAUCUUCAAGAAAUCCAUGUGAUAGAUUAGGUCUAUGUUCCUUGACCACCCUAUACAGAAUAUAGUAUUUAUUUGUUGAAAGUUACAUCAGUGGUGCUUAACCUUUUUCUUAAUUCUUCUUUACCCUAUACAGAAUAUAUAUUGCUUUCACUUAUGGAAGUGGUGGCCUAAUCUAGAAGUUUUUUUGUAUAAAAUUCUUUGGCUUCUAGUUUAAAGUAGAAAAUCAAUGUGCAUUACGGUGUGAACGCGAAUGUGAUUUUUCCAAAGAAAUCUAGCUUUCUUAGUGAAAUAAUUACAUGAAUGAUUCCUCAAAAUUGUAAAUUACGUGUUUUAGAUCCCUCAAAAUUGUAAAUGACCUGUUUUAGUCCCUCAUAAUUAAAAUCAUGUAUUUUGAUCCCCAACAUAAUUAGACAAAAAUUUUAAAAAAUUUGUUGUCAAUUCCCAUUACCAGCAAAAAAUUUUCAUGAAAAUGAACACCUAGAGCUAUGCAUUAAUAAGAUGAGCAUGUGUUCUUCAAAUGUUCCUUUCGAAAAGUUAGUGAAAUCGAAGUUGGAAGGAACAUGUUAUUUAGACAUGCCUUAUACUUUCUUUUUAAUUUUAUUUUAAAGAAAAAGUGGAGUAUUUUCAAUUUUCCUUAUCAAUUUUUGCAAAUGAAUGUGAUAUGACCACCUUAGAUAUUUAGAAAUAAAAACAAAAAAUGUGGUGAGGAAGAAAUUUGGGACAAAAUAUUAUACAAUCCAUAUCUUGGGACCAAAAUGCAUAAUUUUUGUGUACGGUAUAUACCCAAAGAAUGAUAUACAAAUGUAGUGAACCAUCUUUCCAAUUCUUCCAUUAAAUACAGAAUAUGCAGACAAUUCCUUUCAUGAAUUCAAACCUUGGACCACCAUCCAACCAUUUGUUGUUGGGAAAAUCUGAAUUUGUAAUGAUUCUGAUAACUAAUCAGAGUUCUCUAAGUAAAGGAUGUGUAAUUAUGACACAUGCACUAACAACAACACGGGAAAAGAAAACAACAACACUAGUGCUGUCUUCUUUCUGAGCACCUGGAAGUACAGUUGCCUGAGAUUGACAAACCAGCUGGUUAUUGACAAUGGAAUACUUUCGAUGACAAUUCAAUGAAAAUAAGCAAAAGAUCUUAGACACUGUUUUUUUUCCUUUUUUUUGGAUUUUGGCACAAAUCGGGUAUAUGGAAGUUCACAUGUUAAUAAAAUAUGGCUAUUAAUUGCUUGUCAAACGAAGCAGAGUAAUUUUCGAAUUUUUAUUCAAUCUUUUUGCGAAAGUUAGAACUCAAAUGCUUUAGAUGAAUGAAUUGCAAAUAUUGGUGUAUAUAUAUAUAUAUGUCUUAUGUAGUAUAUUUCUCGUUCGGUUAAUAAUUAAAAAUGCUCAAAAGUAAAUUCUUAAAGCAUUAAUCAGUCCAAAAUCUAUGUUUUCAGAACCGGACCGGAUAGCGACUCGGCCAAGGUCAGGGGUCAGGGGUCAAUGGGUUCGACCGGGGGUCGAUAGGGGUCGAACCGGAUGACGUCAUAAAUAAAAAUUAUUUAAAAAUUAAAAUAUUAUAUAUAUCAUAUCUAAUAAUAUAUUGAUAUUAAUAAAGGUAUAUUCAUACAUAUUUGAUGUUUCAAAUAUAUUUAACAAGAAAAUACAAAGAAAUUAGAACAAUCAAGUAGCAAUUUAUAUUAUUUAAUAAAUAUUAACAAGUUUAGAAUUAAAAUUAUGAAUUUAAUUGAAAAAUAACAUCAAAUUGUAGGACAAUAUUUAUAAAGUAUCAAAUAUUUGAGGUAUACGAAUAAGUUUUAACAAUUUAGGGGGCCAAAACAUAAUAUUAUAAAGUUUGAAUUUUUUUUUUUAAAAAUUACUGUUGAACCGGAAAAACCGGGGUUUUCCCGGUCAAACCCGGUCAAACCCGGUCAAACCCGGAUUUUGACCGGCUUUGACCGAGUUUUAAAAUUUCCGGUUUUCUAAGUUGACUCGGACCGGCUACCUGGCCGGUUCCCGGUUCGACCGGUCGACCGGCCGGUCCGGUCCGAGUUUGAAAACAGAGUCCAAAAUAUACUAUCACCAUGAUUGCAAAAGUCAAAAUCAAGGUGAGCAAUGUUAAAGAAAUUCCACUCAAGUGUGAUAAAUGACAAAUGUAAACAAGUCUUCAUUGCCGGCAAGGAUCUGCUGCACAACUUGUGGUGGCAGUACUUUUCAUACUAGAAAAUAUUUUCUACCCAAAAAAUAAAAAAAGUGAUGUGUCCCUAUAAUUUGGACCAAACUCCAAAAGCAGAAAAAAGCUUAGUGAAUGAGAUAUUUCACAAAUGUGUCGUUACAAAGAAGGAGAAGAAGUGGGGAAAAGGGCACAAAAAAUUGGUAACCAAUACCUGCCUAGCAUUAGCAAUGUAAAUUGAGACGCAAGCUAGCAGAUGGACGUAGCAUCAUAAUCAUUAGAUGAUGAGCCGUAGGACAUGUAAACUAGUCGUCUGAUGGAUCCCUGAAUUUUCCUUGGUCCAAUUCCAUCUGAUACCCAAAUGGUGCUUUGGGAUUUGAGGAUGGAUAAUUUGGGCAUCAUAGUUUAGCUUUGGAAUGUCAUUGGCCUGAUGCAGAUAGUCAGACAGGAAACUUUACGUUUUUGACAUAUUUGAUCUAUGAGAUUUCUUGAUUGGCUAACUUUUUGACGUUUUCUUGUUUGCUUGUACUCACUUUUUAGUGGUGUAUAUGUUCACUAUUUACGUUUUUGGCACAUUUUGAUCUAUGUGAUUUGCUUGAUUGUGUAACCAUUUGACGUCUGCUUGUUUGCUUGUACUUAUGAUUUAUGGUGCAGGUUCACUACUUGCUGGUGUGGUGAAUGUUACAUGUCUCGGUGUCCCGAUUGACUGAAUCAACUCACUAAUGACUUAACCUGUUUGAAAUGACCAAAGCAAUUUAGUAUUUGAACAUAGGCUAAUUCUAGACGUUUUGGAGAUCUUGGUUGCUAAUCGUUCAUAGGAAAAUGCUGUGCAGCUCAAAAAGUGGAUGUUAGAGAAGUUAAAAUGAAUCACGUAAAGCAAUAAGUGUCCUUCUUAUUGAUAUUCAAUUCAACUUUCUGAGGGUCGCUCUUUGUACUGUAUAAUUUUCUGUCGUUUAUAAAGAACUUGAAGGGAUAGGAAUUCGGAAAAUCUAUGAGGGCUCUCAUAAUUACAUCUUUAGAUGAUAGAUGUCACACUUCAGAAAUACAAAGAAACACUGAACACAUAUUACACAUUAUGUGAAGGAUUAAUCUUGUAUACACUGAUAGUGUAUAUACUAUCAUCAUUGAAUGCAUAAUAAUUAAUUUAAAUUUAAAUUUUAUAUACGUGUCAUAUAUUUUAUUAUGAUAGUAUAUAUAGUGUCAGUAUAUAUAAAAUUAAUUCUUAUGUGAAACCCCAUCUAAAUUGUCUUAGCCCUAGACCAGGCAGUACUAGAGAUGUAAUCGAGUCGAGUCGAGCUUGAGUAUCAUCACACUUGAGCUCGACUUCACCUGCAGGAAGGAUACUCGACCUCGAGAUCGAGUUCGAUACAUUGUUCAUAGAACUUGAGUUCAACUUGCAUGGGUUCAAGUCAAAGCAAGUCUUAUCGAGUUCGAUCAAGAAGAUUUCGAAAUUUCAUUUUUUUUUUUACAAUUUUUAAGCUAAAAAAAUUAUCACCAUUCAAAAAAUUUCAUACAACCUAAACAUUUAGUAAAUUCAAUAACUCUCAUGAGUACAAGGGUAAUUUCAUAAUAAUAAUAUAUUAAAAAAUUAAAAUUAAAAAACAUGAUAAGACUUGAUGAGCUUUCGAGUCUUGCUACUAGACAAUCGAACUCGACUCGUUAUGGUCUAUUGAUUUAUUCGAAUUCAACUCAAAAUCGAUCAACCCGAGUUCGAGUCAAAUUUUUGACCGAACUGCUCGCGAGCAGCUCAGUGCAAUUACAACCCUAGCGAUACUACUCGAUUAGCAUUCGCAUGUCUGGACUGCGGCCAUGUGGUAUAACAAUUACGUGAAUCAAACUUCAAGUACAUGUUCAAUGAGAAAUCUAACAAGAUCAGAUAUUUCUAGCAAUGCAAAACUAUAAGCUGAGAUUAAUUUUGACUAUUUUGAGCUAUCUAACAAGUCUCCUCUUUACUCUGCAGUCCAAAAAGUGGUUGUUAGAGAAGAUUAAAUGAAUUAUAUAAGAAACAUGUUUCCUCUUUCUUGUGAUUCAUUUUUAACUUUUCGAAAGUCAACUGUUUAUACUGCAAAAACUUCGUCCACAAACAAUUUGAACGGACAAGAACUUGGAAUCUAAAGGCAUCUGACAAUAAGUCUUUCUGAUCACAGAUGUCACAUGUCAAAAAAAAACAAGGAAAAAAGAAAAGAAAAGAAAAGAUGAAACACAUUUUACACCUUGGCUCUCCUUGACUAUACAAUAAUGUUCAUUCUUCUAAUGGUAAUACUUGUGAAACCCCUUGCAAGAUUAGCAUGUGCAUGUCUCAACAGUGGCAAUGUGGUGUAACAAUUAUGUCUAGCAAACUUCAGUUACAUGUCCAAUGAGAAAGCUAACAAGAACGCAUAUUUUUAGCCAUGCAAAACUAUAGGCUGAGAUUAAUUUUGACCAUAUUUAGCUUUAUGAAUAAAUUCAUCCUGAACUUGAAAACCACAUAAUAUUACUAAUGACCUAUGAACUUUUUUCCCUUUUUUUUGUCUUUUUUUUCCUCUAAGUGCAAAUUAGGAGGAAUGUAUUAAAGCUUGAAACUAGUUAGGUACAAGAGGUGGGAAACUAGCUCUUGAGGGAUGUAACUAUAUACACGUAGCUAAGUUAAGCAAUCUGCAGGUUGAUUUCUUUGGCUAGCUAGCUUAUGUUGUGGUCCAAUUUUCUCUUUCACCAUAAAAUAGAAAAAGAAAGGGAGGGUUCUAGGGGACGUAAGAAUCCAUUAUACCAUAAAGAAAGAAUCUAAAUAUAUCAUGAAAUCACAAUAAAUAUGUGUGGCCUAUUUAUCAUUGCAAUGACUAUAACAUCGAAAAUGGCUGUUGAGUGUUGUCUCAAUCGUGGAGAACUUGGACUUGGCCAUCUACACGCAUGGGAUUGGACAAUUAGUGGUUGAAAUUGCUCCAAUUUAAGAGUUAACUUCAGCAAUAAAUUUUGUGUACUAUUCAAAUUCCUCCUAUCAAUAAAAAUAAUUCUCUACUCAUUAUUGAAAAGGAGUGGUGUGUGAAAACGAGAAUUGUAUAUAUGUUUCACUAUUCGUGUUAAUGUCGACUAAUUGAAAUUGACAAUUAUUUUAAAUCUCAUCUCCUUUGACAAGUUGAUAAUGACAAUGACCUUUUGCUUUUUGAUCUUUUCUUUAAGGGCCCUAGUUUUUUGGGGCUUAAUUAAACAGUGACAAUUUUCUCAUUUCAUAUUUUAUUUUAAGUACAUAUACGAGUUUGAGAAUAUGAUGAUACAUGUGCUGAGAGUUUCUAAAAUUAGAUAGAUGUUGAACUAAUUAAUUUCCUUGGUGAUUGAUUUAAAAUUUAAUUAAUUGUCGAAUAAACAUUUAAAUAAAGAAACAAAAACCUUGAUUUUGCUAGGCGAUUAAGUAGAUAGGUGUUUCUCUUUUUCUUUUUCUUUUUUUCUCUUUUACUUGAUAUCAUCUUACUUCCACGUUACAAAUUUUCAGCUCUUUCUUUUGCUGAGAAUUAACUCCACAAGAAAUUUAAUUGCCCCCAUAAUGAACUUUAGAAAAAUAUCUUCAUUGACAUCUUUGAGCGUGUUUUAAUUUUACUUGUAGCGAGGUACUUGUUGGACUUUUCAUAUAAAUUGCUUGAUUUUGCAACUCAGAUUCAACUAUUAAAACCUUAUUUGAUAACCCAAUUCAGCAGUAAACCUAAUGAGUUCAGAUCUUUACAUGUUUAGAUACAUUUGAUAACCUAAAACAUCUAAAUUAAUUAAGUGGAAUUGAAUUUUUAAAUAAAACUUACUCUAAAAAAUAAGUGAUAAACUAUUCAUUUAUCACUUAAAAUAAUAUACACUAAAUUAUAUUAGAUUUAGUACUUAACAGUUCAGUAGCUUAACCGAUUCAGAAUUCGAAUUUUAGAUUUCAGUUUUCAAACUUUAAUUUUAUCAAACACAUGCACCCUAAAUCUUGUCAAUUGGCCUGCUAAAAUGAUUUUGAAAUAUACAUGAUUUAAAAUCUAAUUAUACUUUAACAAGUUCAUGUGAUACAAUAUCAAUGAUCAACAAGUGAUGGGGGGCAACUGUUAGAAUUAUUCUUUUUCUGAGCAAGAAUGUGUUCUAUUACUAGUGUUUAUGAAAACCAUCAAUGCUUACCUUGACAAAUUAUUGAUUUGCACUAUCACAAAACACAUGCAUUAUUCUGUCGUUUAACCUAUUAUUGUCUUGCAUGCGCUAAGAGUUUCUAAAAUCAGAUAGGUGUUGAACUCAUUAAUUUCCGUGGUGAUGUAUUAAAAUUCAAUUAAUUGUCAAUAGAAAAAUAUACUCAAAGUACCAAAUAGGUUGAUUUUUCUAGGAGAUUAAUUAUAAGCACUUUUUGUUAUUAAAAAAAAAACUCUAAUGUAAUAAAGAACAAUGCACUUAGGCAGUACAAAGAAGUAGUUGAUGUUUCUUUGAAAGGAAUUAUGUAGAUGUGAAACACUUAUUUCACCUUUUGAUUAUUCUACAAGGUAAAGAUCAAUUUGUACUACGUAGUAGUCUAAUUGGCUAGUUUUGAUGAAAGAUAAAGUCAUUUUUCUUUAUGAUUGUUCUUGUACUAUAUUAAGAAAUGCUUUUUCGGAGAUGAUAAUUUCAAAACAUCUCUCUCUCUAUCUCUCUUCUACCUGAUAUCAUUUUACUUACACAUUACAAAUUUUCAGCUCAUUCUUUUGCUAAGAAUUACCUCCACAAGAAAUCUAAUUGCCCCAAUAAUGAACUUUAGCAAGAUACCUUGUAUGACGUCUUUCGCUUGUUUUAUUUUUAGUGGUAGCGGGGUGCUUGUCGGGCUGCUCAUAUAAAGAUUUUGCAACUUCAAGGUUCAGCUGCAAAAUCUUGUCAAUUGGCCCACUAAUAUCAAGAUGAUUUAAAAUCGAAUUAUACUUUUUUUUUUUUUAAAGAUUUCUCACUUAUCCUCCUUGAUAACUCGAACCUUAAACUCGUGAUCUAUCAGUUACAAAUAAAACGUCUUACCAACUAGGCUGCGUUUCAUUGUCGAUCUAAUUGCACUUUAACAAGUGCAUGUAAUACAGUAUCAAUAUCAACAAUCAUCAAGUAAAAGGGGGGGGGGGUAUAUCCUAUAAUUUUUUUUGAGUAAAAAUGUGUUCUUUUACUGGCGUUUUAUAAAAACCAUCAAUGUGUACCUUGAAUUAUUUAUUGAUUUGCAUCAUCACUAAACACAUAACCUAUUAUUGUCUUACAUAUUAGUAUAUUUUUUGGGGGUCAAACAUCUUACAGAUUAAUUAGUUUAGGAAAUUUUUUCAAAAUUUUUUAAUUUUUUGUGUGUGUUCAAAGAGGUAAAGCAUGAGAACCUCCAUAACACAAGAAUGAAUAUUUUCAUCUUGGUUGUUUUUAGGGCCUCUUUCCCCUAAAACCUUUCUGGCAUGUGUGAUGGGCAAAGUAAAUUCUCAAUGCUUGGGCACGUAGUUUCCUAUUGCCACGUCCUUACUGGGCUACAACAUCAAGAAAUUGUCAGCCCAUUAUUUGGAAUCUGAACAAUUCUAGAUCUUUGAUGGGCUUCAAAGAAAAUUGUGCUUAUGGAUUAGGAAUUUCACCAAAUGAAUAGCAAUAUACUCUAUAUGAAUAGCAAUAUACUCUAUAAACACGAAAUUGGGCUAUAAAGAUUGGGUUAAUUUCACUUGAAUGUCCUUGAAUUCUUGCUUUGGUUCUAAAUUGGAGAGUGAGAUACUUUAGUCUUCAAAGUAUAAAGUCUAUUUCCCUUUAUUCUUUAAAAUAUAAAAUUUAUUUCACAUAGGUUCCAAAAGUAUAAAAUCUAUUUCACUUUAAUCUCUAAAAUAUAAAAUUUGUCAUGCAUAAGUAUGAAUUUGUCCCACCUCGAUCAAUGAUUUUACUUAAGCGAGACAAUUUUUAUAUUCUAUGGAGUAAAGUGUUCCAUUUCAAAGUUUAGAGAUUAAAGAAUAAACCCGAUAAACAUAUCAACAGAGUUCUCAACUACAAAAUGAAUACGUUUAACAUUUAUUUUAACAUGUUUUCUAUAUAGAUAAUAGACCUCUUGAAAUGUAUAACCAAGAAAAAAACAAUAAAUAGUCUUGCAAUGAAAAUUAACAUUACCAUAUGGGCACAGGACAAUACAAGAUGCUGGAGGUGGCCACUGAUUAGCUGCCAAAGAAUCAAACUGGAGGAGAGGUGAAUAGUUCACUCUUGGCCAACUCAUACUGAAAUGACUGAAAAUUUAUUAGUCUGUCUUCAAAACUAAAUUAAUUUGACAAGGCUGCCAUUUUUUCUGAACACUGUAAUCUAAAACCCUUCAUCUCAUACUUUUUUCUUCCUCGACUAUCCAUGCUUUUUGUUCCAUACUAGUGGCAAAUAAAGAUUGGUGAAGUGUGAUUUCCAAUUUGAAAUGAUUUUUGCAGUUGCUGCACUAUAUAUUUUACUAACAACAUUUUAUUACUUUGGUCAAGCUUAAAAGACAUUUUCUUUUGAUUUUCUCUCUAAUGAAUAAAAUUUACUAAUCUCCUGCAGGCCAAAGUGAUAAAACUAAAAUCAACAGUGACAGUCUCAACUGACAUCCAUUUUCCCCAUGUCAAAAUUUCAACAAAAUUUGUAGAAAGGACCAUAUGGCAAUUCAGGGGUCAUGCUAAUUAAACAUUCCCAACGUUAUCAAAAUUAGCUAAAAUACUCUUACGUGUACUGUACUGCAUGGUCAACAUUCAAGAACCAGAUAAUUGCCAAAGUAGUCCUAACAAAUUCAUAAGUUGUGAUCUUAGCCACCAAUAUUCAGAUUGCAUCAACUUAGGCAUUAACAUUUCAAACAUGUACCAUUUAUGAUUGUCCUAGCUUCAUAUCCAAUCAUUUUUUUUUGAAAAAAUAAAAUUCACUAAAGAACUUUUAACUCCCGUGCUUACCUCUUCAAGAGAAGAAAAUAGUAAAAGUUAACUUAUAUAGUUCCUUGAAAAUAUGAGCAUGUAUAACAAUGGUUUGCAACUAUGUCAUUGAAGUGCUUUAGCCUAUUUUUAGUACUAAACCACAUUUUUUUUUUCAGAUGGCAUGCCCUUAAGGAGAUAUAUCUUCUAGCAGUUACUAGUGCAACUAUGAAAAUAAAACAAAAUAAAAUUUGACAAGCUAAAUUGAACUAAGGAAAAUUUAUUUCCUACUUUUUUUCUCCUUUUGGAAUAGAUUCAAAUUGUGCUACGCUAAUAACUGUCGAGUCUAAAAUUGAAAAUAAUACUAAAUAGCUGAAGUCAUGAGCCAAUUAUUGGGCAAAUUUUAACAAUUAGAUAGCUCCCUUCCCGAAAUUCAAUGGAACUACUAACCAUAUAGCAUAAUCAACCAUUAACAUCUUUACUUUUUGAUAAUUAAGCCACUCACCUUCACAAUAAGACAAUUAGCCUUUCACAUUUUAAACAUUGCAUUUUAGAACGAGUGAAUGGCCCAAAAGAUCACUAAACUAUUAAAAAUGGCACCCUUUAAUCACCAAACUUUUUUUGUGGCCGAAAAGGUCACUAAACUCGCAAAAACUCUCCAGCGGAGCCAUUUUACCGAAUUUCAGCGGUUUCUCAUCCGGUGGCAUGGGUAACGUGGAAUGGAGGAAUAUAGUCAAGGGGCAAAAAUGUCUGAAAGGUUAUUGAAAUAGGUGAAGCCAUAGAUUGUCUCAUUCCCAAACCACUUUUGAACCCAUAUAUUGACUUCGUCUUCUCCGGCGGUAAAAAUAGAGACUGUAAUUUAAAAUGAGAAACAGGGAAUGAUUAAAGGUGGUGGCAAUAAUUUAAGAGUAUUAUCGUUGAGCAUGAAGAGAGGGGGAUGGGGAUGAGGACAGGAAGUGAAUCAGUAAAAUCUGCUGCUUUGAAAUCAAAUUGAGAUUUCUCGUAUUUUAAGAGCUUGACUGAAGCUAUUGGAAGUGACUCAGGCUAUACUCCAAAGUUGUCUGGGCUGGGUGCCUCAGCCCAAUAGUUCGCUAGGGCGGUGCUCAGAUCAACACAAAUAAAAGAAGAAAACCCGUAUGCCGUGUAACUGGCUCGCUGACUAGCAGAAGGCUUUAUUCCUUUUCUUUUCUCGAAGAAUGGGAUAGCACAGCACUCCCUUCAACGGCUGCCCUCGGCAACCCACUGGUGACGGAUGGGAGCACACGGCUGCGGAAAUACAAAAAAAAAGUAUCAUUCUGUUCUUUUCUUUUUCUGUAAAAGAAAAAAACAUUUUUCUGGGUAAACAUUUUUUUUUUUUUGGCUGGGUGUAGUCAUUGGAACUGCCAAGACUCUUUCCAACUCAGCUAGGUGGCUGGCGAAGGAAAUCGAAGACUGAGCAAAUAAUGGGUAUGGCUCGAGAGACCAAUUUGAGAAAGCAGUGAUGAAACCUAUGGGCUCAAAGGGUCAUCGUCGUCGGAGUUGGAUGUUGGGUCGGGGUUAGUGGUGGGGCGGAUAGGGAUAGUAGGGAGGUCGGAAGUGACGAGACAGAGAGGAGAGUGAAUCUCGGUCACAACCAGUAAACUUCUACGCUGGGUCAAAUUGAAAAGUGAAGUGUUCCCAACUAGUAAACUUCACCGGAGAAGAUGAAGUGAAUGUCGAUCGAUUGGUCAACUUUGAGAAUGAAACAAUCUGUGAGUUCACUUGCCCCAAUAAUUUUUUGGACAUUUUUGUCCAUAUCAGAAUAUUUAUUCAACUCAAGACCCUUGUAACCGGAUGAUUCACCGCUAAAAUUCGGUAAAAUGACUUUGCUGGUGCGUUUACGUGAGUUUAGUGACUUUUUUUGCUACAAAAAAAGUUUGAUGACCAAAGGGUGCCAUUUUAAAUAGUUAAGUGACCAUUUCGACCAUUCACUCUUUUAGAACCAAACACCGUUUCCAGUUUGGUUGUCCAAUGAAAAGUGUAUGAAUACAUAAUAUGAUUGACAUUCUAGUCAGAAAAGUGGCAAAAAGGUAGGUUUUUUCAUCAUAGCUAGAUUUGGCGUAAAUAAAUAAUGAUCUUGUGUGGAGUAAUUUCUUUUUCCCAACAAACUAUUAGUCACCAAAAAUUUAGGAGGCUGGAAAUGGAUCUUACGUUUGAAAUGUAAGGAUCCAAUGUUGUGAAGUUGUGACUGUCACUGUUGAUCAUAAUUUGGCAAUUCAGGGGCGGUCAUGUAAUUUAGCAGCCAAGGUGGGGUUUCAAAUGUCCAUGACGUGCAUGGUAGAGCUAUUUGACCCUAUUUCAUCUUGACUCCUUCAAUCGUUGAUCAUAAUUUGACUAUGAACGCUUUUAAAAGUGGGAUGAUAUCACAGUUACUAAACUUUCUGAUGUGUAGAAGCAAAAGUUUUCCACAAAAAAAAAAAAUAAAUAAAUAAAACCUGUAGUGCCCUCCUUCAACAAUCAGAUUACCAGGAAUCUACAAUACUCUUAAACCUCUAAUUUUUUUUCUCCUCCCUUUUCCAAACUCUCCCAUUUCUUAAUCCCCUUUUCCCUUUGCCUUAUCCUUCUUUCCAUCAAAUCUUGGAAAAGAUUUAAUGAAAACAUUGCAAAUGAAGUUACAAUCAUAGGGGAAAAAAAAAAGAUCGAGAUACUCAAACCUUAGUAGACAAUUUAUGAUUAAUUUUUUUUAUUUUAGAUGUUAAAAUUGUUUUUGGGCAUUUCUAUUUGUGUUUGACAUUUGGCUUCGAAAUUAUUCAUUGAUUGGCUUCGUGAUCUAGAAGGUAUAUAUAUCAAUGGAGAAGGGCUUUUACUGGUGCUGAAGAGGAGCCGGUUGUGGCACAGAGUUAGAGAUAGAUUUGAUGACUGAAUCAAUUGCAAUUUUGCAGCAACUUAAUUGGAAACGUCUUAUUAUCAAGUAAUAAUUUAGAUGGCAUUUCGAGUCAGCCAUAUCAUUACCAAAGGUCUCAAGUGCAUUUCGAAUCAGCCAUUCAAGUAGAAAGCGAAUUUUAGUGAUGCAUUUCAUUUAGAAUAAAUCUUAUAUACACGAACAGUGUAUACACUAUCACCAUUAGAUGCGUCAGAUUCAUGACGCAUGUAAAAGAUAGAUUUUAAAUUCAAAUUUUGUAUAAUUGUCAUUUAUCCAAUGCUGACGAUAUAUAUACUGUUAGUGUAGGAAAAAUUAAUCAUUUCAUUUAUUGGUAAUAUAUAUAACACUACUCAAACAAAUAUUAGGGUAGGAAGUGCAGAUUGCUCCAAAGGCUGGCGAGGGUAGUGCAUUAACACCAAAAGAAAGGGGGGGAAAAGAAAGGUCUGUGCACACACACCCUAAACUUUCUCAUCAUACCUCAGGAUUCCACGUGUCACCAUCUAAACCCCUCUCGCCUUUCUCUCUCCUACCCUUCACCUUCCUAAAACUGAAAAACAACAAAAACCAACAAAACCCCAUAAAACUACCUCCUUAAUGCUAACAACGUACUACUAGUGUGUGUUGUGCGUGUUUUCAUUGCAACACAGAAAUGGAAAGCAGGGUCAAAACCAAAAGGGUCUGCACCAUUGAACCCAAAAACGACAUCGUACCAACACGGAGCUGGGAUGCAAUGAUCCCAGAAAUAUUAUCCUUGAUAUUCACGAAAAUAGUCCCCGUGGAAGAAAUGGUGAGGGCGGUGAGCUUAGUCUGCAGAGGGUGGCUGGAGACGGUGGUGGGGCCGUACUGUUGGAAUGAGAUUGACGUGGAACAUUGGUGUCGCAGCCACUGGAACAGCUGCAACGCCGGCAAUCGCCGUGGUGGGCUCCUUAUUGACUCGGUAGUUAGGAAGCUUGUUCGCCGGAGCAAGUUUACCGCCGGAAAGUUCUGUGCUUAUCGCUUGGGUAAUGCCGGUUUCUCUUACAUCGCCAACUGGUAUGUGUACUUUUCUUAUCAAAACGUUUUGUUUCUUUUUUUUUUUUUGUUUUUUGCUUUGUUUGUUUAGUAUGUAUUUUUGUUGAAUAUUUCUUAGUUGCAAUACCGUCUAGAAGUGGUUUUGAAAAUGCCAGAAAGGUUUUUUGAAGUUUCUGUUUUGUGGAAUUUUACCUUGCAAAAAAGUUGUUUUUGUUUUGUUCUUUGGAGAUAACAAUAAUAUUUCCUGUUUUAUUGAAAUAGCACCUAGUUGAUUUUGCCUUCUCUAAUAGCUUGUUUAUGAUCAAGUGUGACAAUUCAAGCUUAAAGUGAAAAAAGAAAAGGAAAUUUUUAUAGUUGAAAAGGAAAAUGGCUUUGAGAUCUGAAUUCAUUUCUAUCUAGUUCUUGAGAAUAUGCUAGUAUUAGAUUGUCCAUUAGUGAGUUUUUCUUCAUGGAUUAGAUCUGGCUACUAUUACCUCUAUUUUGAAAUUAAUAAUUACUUUAGAAUUUUGUACAUAAUUCAUGGUUCUGUCUAGUGAUUUGAAUAAUCUGCACAUGUGACAUGUGUAUCAAUUUUUUUGUGUAAUUCUUGAUUGCCCAAUUGGCUUGGGGAUUAUCUAAAUAGGGCGAAUGUGGCCUUGGGAAUUCUGGUACUUCAAAAAACUGUACUAUAAAAGCUAUCCAUGUUUAAUUUGGAGCUGGAAAUUCAAUUUAUGCUACUAAAACAUUCAAUUUGUGCUCAGGAUUUGUGUUUGUAUCUGUAAAUCAAUGCUUUACACAAAAUGCACACUGUAAUUGAAAAUAGACUUUGUCAUCUAUUGCUAGUUGAAAUAAGAAGAUUCAUUCACUAUGGUCAUAUAUAUCAUCAAUCACAAUGACAUGAUGCUCUAUUCUGUAAUUGUUGCAGUGGAAGAUGUCUCAAGGUCCUAAAAAUUCCAGUAAGUGAGAUAACUGAUCAAGUAGUAGAAAAGCAUGCAGAAUUACUAGUGAACUUGACAGAACUGGAUAUCAGCUAUUGUCUGAAGCUCACAAGCAAAAGUCUUGAAGCAUUUGGGAAACACUGCAAUUUCUUGACUCAUUUGAAGAGGAACAUGCCACCACUGGAGCUUGGGGCAGUUGCGGCUUCAGAGACUGAUGAUGAUGAGGCAUUCGCGAUAGCCAACACCAUGGCAGGGCUUGACCAUCUCGAAUUUGGAUUUGCUCGCGUGACUGAUCAUGGCCUUUGCACGAUACUUACUGCGUGUAAGGCUCUUACAUACCUUGACAUUCAGGGAUGUUGGAAUGUAAGAUUGGAGGGAGCUCUUGAAGAAAGAUGCAAAGAGCUUUUGGUUUUCAAGACUCCCUGGACUGAUAUUGAAAGUGAAAGUGAGGGAUCUGUGGAAAAUGAUAGCAGAGGAGAUGAUCAGAGCUCUGAUUAAUCGUCUUCUUCUGCUUCAGCCUAAGUUACAAACAUUUGGUUCACUUUUUUGUGUGGCUCGCUUGAGGUGUACUUGUGGGUGGUUCAGCCAGGGUCUGUACUCUGCAGUCUUGAUUAAGGGAUAUUGAAAGCAAGUAAAUGUUGUUUGUGGUGCUCUUCUUUUAUCAAUGGACAUGAAUGACAAGCUAGCAGGACAAAUAUUGGUAAAAUAUUUGGAAAUUUGCCUUGGGUGGAUUAUUGUUCUAAUGAUUGCCUUCCUCUUCUGUAUCAGCCUAAGUUACGAACAUUUGAUCCACUGUUGUGUGGGUAGCUUGAAGUUUAAUUCUAGGUGGUUUGGCCAUGUUUCUGUAGUCUUGAUUGUGGGAUAUUCAAAGGAAAUUUUGUUUGUGGUUCUUUUUCUUGUAGCAAGGCACAUGAAUGAGAGGCAAACAUGAGAAGUACCAGGUGAGAUUUUGGAAAUUUGACAUGGCAGAUUACUGUUCUAAUUGUUGCCUGUUGCCAUAUAGUCUGAUUUUGGUGUUGUCAUCUAGGAAACAAUUAACAGAUGCAACUAGGCCUUUGAAACCUACCAGAUAAUGUGAUUUAAUUUGUUUGGUAUGGUAACUAAUUACUAUGUCAAUAACUUCCCCUUCCUUCUUUAAAUUUCAUCUUGUUUUUGCUAAUUAAUUUUUUAAUUUUGCAAACACAUCAAGUGUACCAAUACCACUGGAGAAAAUUAAAAGAUGUAGAUUUCAAUCACAGUCUCUUAUUGUAUACUACAUUAUAGCCUCACCAUAUAAUUAAUGGGAUCCUUUUAGAAAUACCAAUGAAUAACUUAUGGGUCACAUAACUGGAAUUUUUAAUCAGCAGGAAUCCUAAAGAUUCGAAUCUUGCUUGCUUCAACUUCAUUAUAUUCAUAUGGUAGGUUGAUGAUAUACAGGGCCUACCCUUUAAGAGUAAAUUAUCAUGUUACCCUUGGCCACAAGACGCAUACCUUCUCUUACAUCUAUAAAUACCCUAAUUGUGUACCAAAAUGGUAAUAAAAAACAAUUGAUCAAAUUCUUGUCUCUAGACUAGGGCUACAAAUGAAUAAGUUACUCGUGUGUGCUUGUGAGGCCACUCGACAGCUGGAGCUGACCAAGUCGAGAUCGAGUUCAAAGAUACUCAACUUAUUAGCUCGUGAGUCAACUCGAUUAUUUAUAUAUAAUUUUCAUAGUGAAAUUACAUAUAUAUCUCUAAUAUUUAUUAUUUAUUAAGAAACAAUUACUAUUUUAUUUGUAGACACCAAAUUUUUAUCAAUUUUUAAUAUUUUCCUGAAAUUUUAUCUAUUUGAUAAGUUAUUAUUAUUAUCAUUUUUUUAAUAUAUAUUAAUGUAUGAUUUUCUCAUUUUUGUAGGUUUGUUUUUGGAAAAAGAAAAAAAAAACACAAAACAAAAGAGAAAAAUCAAGAAAUAAAAAAUCACUUUCAUCAUUUUCCCUACCAAAACAACUAUUAACCCAUUCCACACUCAAUUGCCAUGGACCUUUCUUUUCAUUAGCUAAGAAAUCAUCAUUUUGGCAAAUCCAACACACAAGCUCCACUUUGGCUACAAGUCCCUCUCGGUUCUCUGCUCUCUAGACAGAGAGACAAAAAAAAAAAAAAAAAAAAAAAAAGGCACUCUAGCUCUCAGACAACUCUCGGCCCUCUCCCUCGCAGAACAAGAAAAAAACACAGAAAAAAAAAAAGAGAAGGGAGGCACUCAGCUCUCUCUAGUUUCAGGAGACCAAAAGACAAGCCACAAAAAGAAAAAAAAAAGCACUCCAAUCCCUCUGGGCUCACUUGGCAGAGGCAGAAAAAAAAAAAAAGAAACGCACGAGAGAAGAGGAAGGGAAGCUCUCGGAAUUUUGCAGCCUGCCCCCUCACUCUCCCUCUCUCGGACUUGGGCGGAGGAAAGAAACAGAACAAAAAAAAAAAUCUUCCCCAACUCCUCUCGGUUCCAUCUCAACCUCACACACACCUACAUUGAGGUAAUUUUUUUAGUUUUUGUCUAGCACAUUAAAUCAAUGCUUCAUUGUUUAGUUUUCUUUCAUUUCUGCUGGCUGCCUUGUAUUGUUGUUGUUGCAUUGCUGAAAAUUGGGAAAUGACAUGAACUAGACGAAGGAAAAGGAAAUGUUUCUCAUGCAUGCAUAUUAACCGUUUGAAAAAGUGCCAAAAUGACCAACGAAUUAAAAGGCUGAAUAUUGUGCAUGUUGUUGUCAAAACGGAUGACCGUUAGCUAGCACCAGGCCUGGAAAUGUGUGCUUAUCUAAAUUUUUUGGAGUUUUGAGCUUUAAAGGCAUUAGAAUAAUUUUCUUCAUUUUUGGGGCUGUUUUGAUUUAAUGCAUCCUUUUGUUGUUGUUUACUUGUCAAACUAAGAUUAUAGUUGUAUUGUGGAAGUUAUAAGGAGGGUUUUGGCAUAAUUUUUAUGAUUUUUGGUGAAGAUUUGAGGGUUUUAAAAAAAUAAAAACUGAACUGAUUUCUUGGCAUUUGGCCACUUUUGGGUCAUUUUCUGUAAAAACUAAGUUCAAAAAUGGAACCUACGCGAAAAAUCGAGUGAGGGGGUGUAUUUUGAGAAAUUUUUGAGAAAUUUUGGCGACCGGAGAGGUCGCCGGCGGCGGCCGCCGGUGCCACUUUUGGGUCAUUUUCUGUAAAAACUAAGUUCAAAAAUGGAACCUACGCGAAAAAUCGAGUGAGGGGGUGUAUUUUGAGAAAUUUUGGCGACCGGAGAGGUUGCCGGCGGCGGCGCCACCGGCGGCCGCCAGCUGAAGCUUCCUCAGUUGGCCGAAGAAGAAGGAAGAAGAAACGAUUGGGGAAGGAAGAAAAGAAGGAAAGAAAAGAAAGAAAAAAGAAGAAGAAAAUGGUUUGGGCUAAGUUUUGUGGGUUUGUGGUUAUUUUUGGUUGGAUUUUGAAAAUAGGUUUUGGUUUAUUUCUUUUGGGUUUCAGUUGGGCUUAAGGGAUAAAAAGGCAGGCUGGCCUGUGUGUUUGGCUUGGACUUUCGGCUGGGCUUAGGUAGUGUUCGGCCCAAAUAAAUAAAAUGAUGGCCAGUAGCCUGUUUUCUUAAGAAGAUCAGAAACCGAUUUUUUCACUUUAGCCCCUUAUCUUUGGAGUAGUUUCACUUCGGCCCAGAACAUUUUAAAUUUGUUUCACUUAGGUCCUUAAAUUAAUUGCACUUUGGUCCUUUAAUUUUAUCUUUUAUUUAAUUUUGACCUCUAAACUUUGGAAAAAUAUAAUUUUUGUCCCCAAAAGUUUUUCAAUUUUUGCAAUUCAGCCCCUGAUGAAUUUUGACUCUCUUUAUUAUGAUUGUUUCUUUUCUUUAAUAGCUAAUUAUGUUACUUUUGAGUAGGUUCAACUUGUAAUUUUUAGAUAUUCUUAAAUUUAUUUACGUUUGACAUAUUGAGGUGAAUUUUCAUUAUUAUUAGUUUUUCAAUUAAAUUGGUGCCAUGAUUCUUUUGUUCAUUUUGAGUAUAAAUAGAGCAAUUUGACUCCGUUUAGUCACCACUUCAAAAGGGAGGUACCCCAUUAUUAUUAUUUCAAUGUCAAUUACGUGCUCUUAUGUGCUUCUACGUGUUCCUAUGUGUUUAUAUAUUUUUAUAUGCUUUGUUUGUUUGAUUUGAAUGUUCAUUUAAAUUUUCUUAUGUUUGUUUAGUUAAUUUUAUAAUUAUUUGAGAGGCACUUAAAUACCUCAAAAAUAUAAUAGAUAGGAUAAUUAGAUUUGUUUUAUUUUAUUUCCCCUUUUAGAUUGUAGUUAGGCGCUCCCCGAUGUAAUAGAUAGGUUGUGUGCUUAUGUGGCUUAUGUGUUACGUGCCUUACCCGCUUUUCUUAGGAUUUUUGCAUCUAGAUAUUAUGCUUAUGUGUUACGUGCUACGUGCUCUUAUGUGUUUAUUUGUUUUAAUCUAUGUUUACUUGUCUUAUUAUAUAUUAAAAAUGCAUGACGUCACCACACUAGUCCAACGCUAGUUGUGGUUUCUCCCUCCGUUUACUUGCUAGUCCAACGUUAGUAAGGAUUUUUAGAAAUGGGCUAGUCCAACGCUAGACCAUUUAGGUUGUCUUGCGCUGGAUUCAUCUUUGUGUGCUAUUCACUACGUUUCCAUGCAUGUUUUUAUUUUUAGGAUCUUUUCUCAUUUGUAUGAUAUUCCCUAUUAUAUUAUCCCUUACCCGCUAUAGGUGCUAAUCAUGCCAUUUAGAAUUGCAUCUCAUUUAAGCUAGUUCAUUUGCUUGUUCAUGUUAGGAUAAUUUUUUUUCAAACAUGGAAAAUGGGUAAUUAUAACUUUUUAGUUUAAAUACCCUACUAAUCCAUGUAUAAGAAAAUUAUGUCACGAGUUUUUGCCUCCCGUACCUUUUAUGUUGCAUUCCCUUUUUCUUUGAUCACUUAUAUAUGUAUAUAAUUUAAUUUCUUUUCUUUUAUUUUAAUUUCAUCAUUCGCAUAUUCGUGACACAUUCAAGGAAUCAUUGUGGCCUUCGCAAUUAAUGCGAUUGGUUCGAUUAAAUCCUUGAAUGGAUAUUUUGACCCUUUCGAUAUUUUAUAAAUUUAGAUUUGCAUCCAUGUAGGAAACAUCCAAAUAUGAUAAAACUAAUGGUUAGAUUAGAAAAAAUUUUGACUAAACCUCGCAACUAGUUUCGACUAGGUUGAAAGGGUGCCUUAGGUUUGAGUCAAUUAAACCUUUGCCUUCCCUUUCUUCAACCGUGACUCCUGAACCUAUUUUCUCUUGUUUUAAAAAACCUGGAGUUGUCAAAAAGGGUUUUGAUUUAUUUUAUUUUUGUCAAAAAAAUAUUUUUUUGGCUGACUUGGUACACCAAAACUCCAUACCAAGUGGCGACUCCUAUUUUUUCUUAAAAACCCUUUUAGACUAAAUUUUGGACCCAAAUUGUCGCAUUCUUUUUAAAUCCCAUUCUAGGUCCUUUUUCAUUUAUUAUUAUUAAAUCACAUCUUUUUAUAAACUCUUUCUUUUUUCCAUCGCGAAAAAUGGGGCGCGACAACUUGGCAACUCCACUGGGGACGCUAGAGAGUCCAAGCACUUGGUUUAGUUGUCUUUUCUUUUUCUAACCAUUUCACUUAUCAUAUUUGGAUGUUUAGGUUGCAUAUUCCUUUUACUUUUUCUUUUUCCUCAUUUUUAGGUUCACAUCAUACGUGCAUGCAUUAUUUUUAUCCUAUUUUUUAUUUUUUUCUCGUGGGCGCCAUCCCACAUCUCCUUGUAGGAUUAGGAUCGAUUUCCUUAGGUAGGCGGAUGGUGUGCUCUGCGCCCAUAGCGAUGCCUAAGGGAUCACUCAAGCCACCGAUCGAAGGUUUUGGGAUUGAUGACCCCUUAGCCUUUUGGUCUGAAGGCUUAGGAGUCUGAAAGCUUAUUGAGUCUAGAUGCAUUAGUAAGCCAAACCUCAUGCAUCCAUAUUAGAAAUUACUUAAGAUAGAGUCAACCUUACCCGAUUAGAGACACUAUUCACGAGGGGAGGGAUCCAACCUCUCUUUUCUUUUUAUUGUUUUAUCUCUGUGUAUUGCUUUGCUACAAUGUGUUAUAUGUAUUUAUCUGAUUGAACUAACUUUUCUUGGUUUUUGUCUCCAUUGCAUUCAUAAGCCCUAGAAAAUAAGAGUCCUGACAUAGUACUCUCUAGGAGCCUACCCUAUUUGAUGUGACACGUUUAAAUUCAAUGUUUCGCAUUUGCAGCAUAAAUACAUUUCAUUUUAGGCUUACCCCGGUAUUUAAAUGGGGCACUUUUAGAUCAUAUGUCAAUUAUUUCAUUGCAUAUUUAACCGCUUUAAUAAACUGGCAUCAUACAUCAACUUUAGAGGGAAUGCCGCAUAGGGGAUCCCGCGUUAGGAAUAAGCCGCCUUGUGUCUCAGAUAUGUAAUCCAAUGAGACUUGCACGUUUAUAUUUUUUGUACCAUCCAAAGGGGUAGUGCACAAGGUAAGGUAGGAUUCGAUCAUUUCCGUGUGAUUACAUUGAGAAUGAUGGAACAGUUUUUACACAUUAGAAUAUGAGUCUUUAAUAAUCACUUUUUGGCCAUUUUAUUAGAAUUGAUAAAAAUUCCUUGCGUAAAGGACAUUAAGUUGAAGAAAUUCACAAAUUCCUCAUUGUUGAGAUGAUAAGUAUGUUAAGGCCAAAUCUUGAUUUUCGAAGGCAUAUAGACUAAUAAAUCACAAUGAAUUUUUUGAAACUACUAAUGGGCAGACAAUUCCAUCGAUUUUGAUAAAUCAUCAAUUUCAUUAAUUCCAUUUUUACAUCUAAGAUAAUUGAAUCGAUUUUUUCAUGGAUCAUUCAAUCCUUACAAUUUUGCUCAUUAUUUUAAUUUCAUUUUCAUUCAAUUUCAUUUUGGAUAAAUCAUCAAUUUCAUUCUGUUUAUUUGGCUAGUGAUCCAGUCGAUUUUUGAAUAAACUGUCAAUUCUAUCUAAUCCAUUUGACCAAUUUAAUCAUUUUUAGGACAAUACAAUCAAUUUUGAAUAAAUCAUCAAUUCCAUCCAAUUCAUUAUUCAUUUAGUCAAUUUUAUUUUUUUUGAAUAAAUUCUCAAUUUCAUCCAAUUCAUUGGAUCAGUUUUAUUCACUUUCAGGAUAAUCCAGUCUAUUUUUGAACUAACCAUCAAUUUCAUUCGAUUCAUUUAACCUAUUUAUUCUCUUUUAAAGUUUCGAUCUAUGGUUCACCGAAGAAACUAGUCGAAACAUUUCAAUCCUUUCAAAAGUAAGUUUUACACACUAAAUUGAUUUUGAUAUCAUUUUAUGUGUCAAUCAAAGCAAUCAAUCCAUUCGGACUUUGUCCUCAUUUUGUUAGGACAAAUUGUCUCUUGUCACUCCAAUUAUCCAGUUUUUUCAAAAUUGUCUUUUCAUUGAAUCUCAAUAAGUCGAUCGGAUCCAUCAGGUAUUGUAUGGUGCCUACCCCAGAGGAUUGCAUUUUUCAUACUAGGCCAACCCUUGGCAUAAAAGGGUUCUCCCAUAGGACAUGCAUACCGAUUUUGCAGUUUGCUUACUAACUCUGGGUGUUUUGCUUUUAUUUUUUCCCCCUCCCCUGCAUUUAUAAAAGUUGUUUCAACAAGGUAAAAAUAUUUUUCCUAUAUCUGAUAAUAUUUUUGGUCUGAUAAAUUUUGAAAAUUACAAGUGUUACUUGAUUCUUGGGCAGAUCCUACAAUGUAAAAAAAAAAAAAAUGAUGAUGAAAAAAUGAAUGAAAAAUCCAUUUGAAAACGCUAGUGUAAAGUAUCUCAAAAAUCUUUUGAUUCAUUGUUUCUAAUAUAUUUUGUCUCAAAAGAUAGAAAGAGAAAGUGUGUAUAUAUUUGAAAAUGUAUUCUUUAGAGAUUUUUAUUUGCUCACAUGUAUUAUAUUUGACAAAAAAAAUUUCAAACAUUUGAAUAAUAAAGUUUUUAUUUAGACAAUUAUUGUUUUGUAUAUAUUCAUUCUUUAUUUGCUCAUUGAGAGAUUUCAUGAUAGAUUUUAAGGAAUAAGGCUAAAUUGAAAUUUUUUGACCUUUUAUUCGAAAUUCAUGAGUGCAUGUCAAAUUCCCAAAAUUCUUUGCAUACACUAGAUUUGUGGCCUAAACUAUUCAAUGAGAGUCGGAAAUAAAAAGGGUCAUUCAAAUUUGAUAGCUUGUCAUAAAAGAUCAACCCCAACACUUUUCAUUUUCAUUUUUUGUCCACUUUUAUUGAACCUCCAAGAUCAAUCGCAUUGGCUGACUAGUUUCAAAGUGAGAUAAUUUUUUUUCGUGAAAAUGUCCGGUGGGUCUAACCAGAUUCAAUCCACAUCUAAGUGAAAGCAAAAAUGCACAUUACUUUUUGUUUUGUUUUGAAAAUUUGGAAUGAUACUUUGGGCUUUCAUCUCUCUAUCUAUACAGAUUCUAUCAUUUAUUUUCCCAUUUGAGACUUCAAAAAAUAGAGUUUCGUUUCAAAUAAAAGCCUCAAUGAUCAUGACCCUUCACGGAAAAAUUUUCGAAUGUCAAAUGGAAAUGGGUUUUUCCAACGGGUUAUUCUUUACUUUGGUUGUCAUGAGAAAUAAGAAUGAUGUUUUGGUCAUCGUUUCUACCAUCUAAACACUCUUAUCCUUUGCAUCCUCAUUUGAGAUUAAAUUGGUGGUUCGUUUCAAAAGCACUUAUGAUUGCACCCCCACACUGGGGAAGGAGAUUUCAAAAAGAAAAAAAAAAGAAGAAGAAGGGAGAAAAUGCUACAAGUUGGGGGAUUUUGACUUUAACAUUGAUAUUUGGUCUUCAACAUCAAAAAGAAAGAGGGGCCAUCUACACUCCAAAUUAGGGAGUUUUCAAUUUUAUCAUUGACCUUGGGAUAUCAGUAUUGGUAAAAAAAAUAAUAAUAAAAAUAAUUAAUUAAUUAAAAAAGAAAAGAAAAAGAGAGAAAAGAAAAAUGUGAAAAAUGAAAAAUGAUGAAAGUGAAAAAAAAGAAAAAUGCGAAGACAUCCAAUGUUGAAUUCCCUCUAGUGAUUGAUAAAAAAAAAAAAAAAAAAAAGAGUCAAAAUGGGGUCCCGGAUUUUAAAUCCAAAAUUGGGGCAAAUUUUGGGAAGAAGUGCGAUCUUAAGUGCAUUGUCCUUGAAAUUUUUAUUUUUUUUAGCUAUCGUUGUCAAGCCACAUUACAAGUUCAUAAAGUCCAUUGUUGACUUAUUUUUCAUGACAAUUUGAAGUGAAAAUAUUGUCUCUAAGGAAUUUACCAAUCACUCAUGAUCAUAAGGCCAUAACCUGUUUUUAUAUGUUUAGCUAUCGUUUCUACCCAUAUAUUACAAACUUAUAUUUCAAAAAAUAAGAGUGAUAAGUUAUUUGCUUUCACCAAGAUCUGAUAUUGAAUGUGUUGGAUACAAUUUGGUCACAAAAAAGAAAAAAAAAAUACAGAUCCUAACAUACCAUUCCCCUGAGCCAUCUCAAAAUCCUGAAUAAUAUCCAUUCGAUUGGUUCUAAAAGAUGAGCUCAUAAGAAAAGUGAUCCUUUUCCCUCAACACCAAUCCCAAAACAAGGAAGAGAUCUUUUUCAAUUUGGUCUUAUUUUGAGGGAUUUAUCAUGGAAUCUUCUACAUGAGUUUGAAUAUGAUAUUUAAAUUCUUCAUUUGAAAAAUAUAGUUUCUAUUCACAUUGUAUGUGAUUAUUUUGCAACUAAAAUAAGCCCAAAUCGGGGCAAAUUUUUUUUUUUUGUAAUAUCUGUGAGAUUUCACCAAAUAAGUUCAAAUUGAGGCAAAAUUUUAUAAUACAUUUGUAGGGUAUGUCCAAUAUCAAGUAUAUAUUUUUUAAAAUCUUGAUAAGUCAAUACUUUGCAUGAAUCUUAAUUGUUACAUCAUUGCUCAAAAAAAAAUUAAAAAAUUCAAGUGCUUUGAAAAAUUUCCCUUAUGCAGGUGUUUAUGGUUGAGAUCGAGGAAAAAGUGCAAUUCAAAACUUGCAAAUUUGGAGAUUAAUCACGAAUAAAAAUGGAGCAAUGAUGCUACAUUGAAAAAUGGAGGAUCGGCUAUUUGCUCAAAAGGAGUACAUACUUCAGCAGCCAACUUGAAAAAAAAAGAGAAGAAAAGAAAAAAAAAGAGAAAAGAAAAAGGGGGAAUGAAAAGAGAAAAAAAAAAGAGAGAAAACGAGGGAGGAAUAAAAUAAAAGAGAAAAGAAAAGAAAGGGAAAAUAAAAAAAGGAGAAAAAAAAGAAAGGGGGAAUGAAAGAAAAAAAAAAGAGAAUAAUAAAAAAAGGAGGAAAAAAUGGAAAAACGAAAAAAAAGAGAGAAUAAUUAAAAAAAAGGGAUUGAAAAAAAAAAAGAGUUUUUCCUUCGAUUUUGCAAAUUUUGCAAUUGAACUCUGGGAGCAUUUCAUUGGAGAUUACAUUUCUAAGUUGGGGCAACACCUUGCCCUCUUAUGCUGAAAUGGAAGUGGUAAUACAUGCCAAAACCGAGAUCCCGUCCUUGCACAUUUUGACAAAGGCUCAGGCAGAAGAAAUCAAAUGGAUUAAGGAGCACAAUGAGUUGCUGUCUCUGAUUGAUGAAAAAGAGGUUGAAUGUUUGUCAUGGACAAUGCUAUCAUCAAAGGAUGGUUCGUUAGUUAUGACAAGAAAGACAAAUCUUGCUUAUUUGAAGUGAGGGAUAAGAUUUUGAAGUAAAUUCUUCCGAUUCAAGAGGAGGUUAAAGAAAAGUUUGCUCCGACUUGGCAAGGGCCAUUUAUUGUUCAAAGAGUGCUAUCCGGAGGAACGUCUAUUCUUACAUAACUGGAUGGACAGGUCUUUCCUCUGCCAAUCAAUUCAGACAUGUGUAAUAAAUUCUUUAUCUGAUUAUGUGAUUUUUCUUUUUGAAAUACCAUCUAUGGCGGAUCAAAGGCGAGCCUUCUUCUUUUCUUUUUGAACAUCUUAUCCCUAGUUUUCCCCACUGAACCUCCAGAAUAAUUUAACCUUUCAUUUGAUAGCCCUCCUAAAGAUUGCAAACCCCAUACUGGGGUAAAUUUUUAUCUCCUAUUUGUCAUGAAAAAAAGAAAAAAAGAAGUCAAAAGUCAAACUGGGGCAAUUUUUUCGGUUUUAAUACCCUCAUACUGGGGCAAAUAUUGAUAGAAUGCGGUCUUAGGGUUUUUGAAACCUCUUUGAAGAUUUUGCUUUAAAGCCUUAACACUUUUUCUACACCUCACAUGACCCCAUAAUAAAAAUCAUAAAGUCUCGACCUCCGCUUUAGUGGUAUUUCUAAUAAAAAUCACUUAAUCAAAUGGCAAUUGAGGUCAGUACACCUUCACCAUUUUUACAUGGGAAGGGUUGUCGCGCUGAUGCCACCCUUUCUUUAAAUACAUUUCUGAGUUGAUAAAUGUCGUUAACAAGAUUUGUUCAUUAGGUGAAAACCUGAAAGGGUGUCUUCAAAAGAAUGAAAAAAAAAAAAAGAAAAAGGGAUUGAAAAAAAAAAGAAAAGAAAAAAAAGAGAAGGAUGAAAAAGAAAAAAAAGAAGAAAAUGAAAACAAAAUAAAAUAAAAAGGUGUGACCUUUGCGAAAAUCCGAAAGGUUAAGGUCAUCAAUGUGAGAUUUUGGAGCACAAGAGAAUCAUGAACGAAAAGCGGGUUGCUGACACUUGAGAUACUGGCCAUUCAUUCAGAUCUGGUCAUUAGAAAAGUUGAUUUGUGGUACAAAGUGAGGUAUGGCUGACUGAUGCUGGAAAAUUGAGAAGAUUCAAAACAAGUUGCAACACAACUCUUGAGGAGCAAUUUUGACAUCGAAAGAUCAUACUUGCGUGGUUCUCAGGGCCAAAAGGAGCACAAGGAAUCACAUGGUGUUGGUAUCAUAUGAUCACUCGUUUUUCUUUUUCAAAAGCAUGAAAAAUGUGGCUAAUUGAUUGAAAUAUUGAUGCUUCCCAAAAUUAGCCGUCAAAUGUGGUUCUUGAGCUGGGUGGUAUAAUUGUAUGCCCGUCGCUCCUACAUGGCGCGACGGGCAGCCAAAUUUUUUUUUUUAAAGUUCUUCUGGCCGUCGCGCCAUGUUGGAGCGACGGUCAGAGGUGUCAGAAAUUUCUGGCUGUCGCGCCAUGUUGGAGCGACGGUCAGAGGUGUCAGACAUUUCUGACCGUCGCUCCAACAUGGCGCGACGGUCGGGAAUUUUUUUUUUUUUUAAAUCCUCUGACCGUCGGUCCAACGUGGCGCGACGGUCAGAAAUGUUUUUUUUUUAAAAAAAUCCUCUCAGUAAAAAAAGAAAAUUUUUUGUUAGGGUUACACUUACGGUAAGGGUUAGGGUUAGGGUUUACGUUACAAAUAAUUUAGAAUUUGUUUUAAUAAAAAAUCCUUCAACUCAGUGAUUUAGAAAUGUUUUUUUUUUAAAUCUUUGUCCAAUUCAUUUGGAAAUUUCUCAAAAAUUUUUCUGUAAAAAUUAUUUAAAAUGAAAAGUUUUAAAACAAUGCUUUAGUUUGACAAAAUUUUAAAAACAAGUAUUUUAAAGGAGAUUAGAUUUAAAAAUUUUGAUCCAUUUGUUAAAGGAUUUAGGCAAUUCUUAAAGAAUUAAUGUUUACCAUUUUAUCAAGUUUAAAUUAUAUAACAUGCGUAACUGUUAUGAUUUGUUAAAUUUAAAAAUUAAUUUAAUAAUAUGAUUUAAAUUGAAGUGAUUGCGUAAUGGAUAAAAGUAUUGCUUAAUAUUAUUAUGAUUUGUUAAUUUUAACUUUAUUAUGUAUCAUGCACACAGAAUGUUAAAGGAACCAUAAUUGUAUAAAAAAAUGAAAAAUUAUAAUAUGAAUUACGAUUUAUAUAUUUGAAUUUUCAUAUAAAAUGUAAUGGUAUAAAAAUAUUAAUAACAUAUUUGUAGAAAUGAAGAAUUUUUUGCGUUUCAUUAUUUGAUAUACGAUAAUUAGUUUUAAUAAUUUAAUCUAUUAAAAUAGCUAUAAAAUGACUAGUAUUUAUUUGUUUUGUAGGUAUUAUCGUAUAGGGACCCUUCUAUCCAAUUAUAGGGUUUAAUAAAAUAACUUGUACUUCUUUAUUUUGAAAAUAUUUAACGUUAUUCAAAUUAAAAGUGAUUGGAUUAAACAGAAAAAGUAGACAACAAAAUUAAAUUAAAUGUCAUGUGAAAUGCAUUAAAUUAAAUGGAUGAGAUAUAAAAUAUCGUCGAAGACAAAAUAAUAUCAAUGCCUCGCAGUUUUCUUGCCUUUACCUUUAGCCUUGCCCUUAGCCUUGCCCUUAUCCUUCUCCUGAGAUAUCGUCGGGGGACAACAAUAUCUAGUAGCAAGCCUUCUCUGACGAUUACGUUGCACUCGUUCUCCGAUAACUAGAGUAGGAACUUGUGGAACAGCAGUAGAUGGGCCAUAAUCUUCAUCUGCGUUAUCAGAGACAAGGGUAUCCUCGCCUGUCGACUCAGCUGUCCCAUCACUGUCAUCAGUGUCUUUGGAACGAUAGUCGUUAAAAUUUCCUGGAACAGUAUGUCCUGACAUGCCCAUUGGUUGGGUAUGAGUAGGCAUGAACAUAGUCUGACCAAGAGUGCAAUAAUCCGGAAGAUCUACAGUAGUAGAACCACCUCCCGUGGCACCAAGCAAAUCAUUUAUUUGGCUAAAGUCUGCAUCUAAGGAACCCCCAGAUGUAGUGGCAUCGUACCCAAAUACAGGUAUAUAUGGCGAAGGCGUGAAUGGUGAACCAAACGCAGGUAUGUGUGGGGAAGGAGUGAAUUGUGUACCAUAAAUAGGAAAGUGAGUGAAUGGUGUAAACUGUGGCAAAGUCGAAACCGGUGUAUGUAGUGAUGUAGAAAAAUGUGUACCGGUCGACCUAGUGCAAUUUUGAGGGUCCACUUCAGGGUCACGAUGCUCUGUCUCGUUGUUGUCCUCAUCAUGCAAGCCAUGCCUAUGUCGUCUAACUCCACUGGUAGAUGCUCGAGCUUGACGAGGGACAUGUCCAAUUGGCCUCUCAUAAGGAACGUGCUGACACUGUGUUUGGGUCUUAAAUGGGUCCCAAUCACCAAUUUUCAUACGAUCGUAUUGUUGAAGGUGCUGCAUAGACCCAAAUGCACCAUCCAUGAUCGUCAAAAGACGCGGAUCAAGAGCAUAUCGUUGCUCUUCAACAUUGAGGGCUUCAUGCGAUUGAUGUCCAAUGCGCUGCAUGGUAUCCAUCUGAUAUAAAGAAAAUAGACAAAUUAAUAUAGUGUACAAGAUUGACUAAGAAAUGAUAGCACAAAACAUACAUAGUGACGGAGUAAAAAUUGUAGGAGUAGUAAUUACCAGAAAUUCAAGUUGUCCUGAUACCCCGUAGAGCAUGUGCCCGGACUGCGUCUGCUGAUGGAUAGGAGAGGUAAUGUACAAGAUGGUGUGACGGUGGUACCAUCUGAGAUACUCUUCUGAAGGUCGAAAUGUAUCUGUAGGCUGUCCCGGGACCACAGCUUCGUAGCGUCGAUCCCAAUAAGUGCAGUAAUUCCUAUGAAACUGAGCCCAAUUUCUUCCAGGAAAACCAGCUAGACCAAGUUGGUGCAAACCCUUUUGAUCAGUGUCAAUUUCUUCAGGAAUUUUUUGUAACAUGCCGAACUGACGCAUCACCCGUUCUGGACAAUGAAACUCAACUAUGUGCCAAAAUAUCAACGGGACCUUUGCUCGCCAUAUACGCUCUCCCCGUCUGCAAUACGCGGGUAGAGAUGGCAGUAUGUCACCACUAUAUGGCAUCCAGAUGAACUGAUAGAACAGGAAAAAGAUAUACUCAAUCCUCAUUUGCUUUGAAUAGAAAUUCAAAAAAAUGUAAAUAAUAAUUAUCCACAAAAUAAUUACAUACCUGAUCCAUUCUUAGUAACCCUAUCUGCUCUCGAUAAUACAAAACAGGCCGACCAGGAGGCUCAUAAUCUAAACGAUCAUCUGCCCAUCUCCCACCUCUUGGGUAAUCUCCAACCUCAUAUCGAGGAUAUAUAUCAGGACGAAUAAGUGGGAUUCGCUCCCACGCCCAAAGCUACUCAAUAUCAAGGUAAUUUUCAGUGAAUAAGAUGUGUGUUUAAGCAAAAAUAAUGUAUGUAAUAUAUUUUUAUUUACCUGUAGUAAUAAGUAAGGCCCACCAGUACUCUUAGUUUCUGCUCGAGAAGCAAUACACAUCCGCGAGUAUAAACAGGCCAACACCGCACUUCCCCAACUGUAUUCGCCCAUGGCCUCCAAGUCUUGUACAUAAUCGAGCCAAUUUGUACUAACAACAUUGCCCGUGGUAUCUGCAAAUAGUAGGCCUCCCAAUAGAAUCAGUAUGUACAUCCGAGCAUAUUGACGAACUAUCUCCUCAGAGGCAUCGGGCUCCAAUGCUACCCGUAAUCGUGCCUUUAUGAAUGACAUCUUCAGUCGGCCAUCUCGAAAAUGCCUAUUCUCUGGCCAAAUUCCUAAAAGAUCAGAAACCAUUUGUUGGCGUUGUAAGGGACUCCGUCUAAUAUGAUUUAAUGUAACAGGAAGGCCAUCAACACGCAGGCCCCACAACACCUCAACAUCCUGCAAGGUGAUGGUAGCCUCGCUCAUAAUAGGGAGAUGAAAAGUGUGUGUCUCUUGUCUCCAACGCUCAACAAGUGCAGUAAUCAAUCCAUGAUCCACAUGAACGUAACCGGCUCUACGUACCCCGCCAAAUCCAGCCCUAUCGAUGUAAUCAGAUACUCGAGGGUCUAUAUGCAUAAAGGGUUUAAAAAAUUCUUUGUCACAUCUUCUGACAUCUAGGUCACAAUAUGCGCCAUGAAAUACAGCAGCAGACCUGUGGUGUGGCUGUAAAUAUAAUAUAGAAGGGUCAAUCGGCCCUUGACUCGGGGGUUGCACACUUGUCCAAUUAUCCAUGGACAAUUCUGCCUGCAACUAAAUUAUUAUUAGUCGAAUUAAGCGUGCAUUCUUAAAAAUAUAUUCCAAAAUACAUAAAUGCCACUAAAAAACAACAAGAGAAAAAUAGCAUAUACAACAUAACAGAAAAAAGCAACAAGAGAAAAAUAGCAUAUACAACAUAACAGAACAUUAAUAUUCAUAACAGAAGAAUGCAUUUCAUUUAAAUGUUCAGAAAGUACACAAAUAUGGGUGGGUUUAUUUCACGACAAAUUAAUCCUAAUAUUCUAUUGAUGAAAGUAACCAGAAUAUGGGUAGUUAGGUGCAGUGUGUCCAGGUUGUAAACAGUUACUACACCGACGUGGAGCAUCAGGACACCUUCGAUCCAUUUCAUUCAGGAUUCUAGCCGUUCUCAAAGGCCCCGGAGUCUUUUGUUUCAAACGAUCAUCUAGGAUAUGCAAUCGUAAAUCUGCUGUCGACCAAUAUUUUGUGUCCCUAAGCGGAUAAAAAUGGCCUGCAAAUGUAGACUGGUAUGCAGAAAAUGUGUAUUCCGGCGCCACAAGAGUCAUCGGAUUAAUUCUGGACCUAAAGCAAGCUGCGAACACAUGCGAACACGGAAAUCGUAAUUCCCUCCAUUUUCCACACGUGCACGUUUGAUUUGUAAGGUCAACAGUUUUCGCGUUGCCACCCCGAUGACUUUGUCGAUGAGCAGUAGUAAUACAAAACACUCCCCUAACGGGAUCAUACACUCUAACGGAGUGUGCUCGCCCAUUUUCUUCAUUAGCCAAAUAUUUUUUCCAACUUUUUUUUGGGAGUGGGUACACCUGAUCCUUUGUGAUCUUUAGGUUCUCGACAAAUAGAUCAACUGUCUGAUUCAGUGUAAACCGAAUACAAGCUGUGCUCGGCAAUAUCCGAGCAUCCCUCAUUAAGUUGUUAAAACAUUCGGCCAUAUUUGUAGAUGUGUGUCCCCACCGAUAGCCCCCAUCUUUGCAUAAGGCCCACUGUACGGGUCUAACUGAACCUCCUGUCAACCAUGCAUAUGCCUCUGCAUUUAAUGUGAAUAUUUGUUGCAUGUAUUCCUCGUACUUUCGAGGUUGAUUUGCUGAUCCAGCAGCCCACACAAGCUCUUUAAGCCUACGCAUUGGUGAUUAUAAAAAGCGUUAAAAGUAUUUCAUUUCCUAUGAACAAAAUUAAGCCCUAAACAAGUUGAAAAAUAAUGUUACCUUUGAUUCUUGAAUUUCUGGGUAAAAUUGCUCCGCACAUGAACCAAGCAAAAUCGAUGAACUGCUAGUGGUUCUUUCCAUUCUGGGAGCGUCCUCAUUGCGUUAAUUAUUCCGUGGUGGCGAUCUGAAAUUACGCAUAUAUUUUGAAUAUCACCACACACCUGAAUACGCAAUAGUCUCAUGAACCAACUCCAACUGCGAUUAUUCUCCUCAUCUACUAAUGCGAAAGCCAGAGGAAAUAAAUGAUUGUCAGCAUCGAAAGCAACAGCAGUUAGUAUCUUUCCACGGUACGGGCCUUUAAGAAAUGUACCAUCCACACAAAUGACGGGUUUUAAAUGACGAAAUCCUUCAAUGGCAGGAGCAAAUGCCCAAAAGAUAUAGUCAAAUAUCGGACUGCUCGAAAUACUCAGUGGAUGAUGAUCCCACACAACCACCGUACCCGGAUUGGUAUAUUGUAAUUCCUGGACAUACGUUGGGAGCUGUGCAACGGACGUAGGCCAAUCGCCAUAAACAAUAUCGAUAGCCCUACGCCUGCCAUACCAGGUUUUCUUGUAUGAAAUGUCAACGUGAAAUUCUUUUUUCACUGAUGUUUGUAUUUCUUUGAUCCUAUACACUGGCCCAUUCAUUAUGUGGGGGAUAAUGUGCUCAACUAUUAUGUCGCCACUCAGUUGCCUAUGAUCGUUGUUACCACAUACACGGACACAUGUAUGCUUUUCAGCAAGUGUAACGAUCAUCCACAUCUUGUGAGAUUUCCGUAGGGUUGUCCUAAGUUGCCAAUUGCAUGAAGGUACAGAGGUGCGAGCCCGACAUCUGACAUACCAAGUUGUGGGAGUGCUUUCACGGACUUUAAACUCCAUAUUUUCCUUUAUAGACCACAAUUUAACUGCUCGUUUUACAUGGUCUUUGGUUUCAAAUAGCUGGCCAAGCUCUAACUCUUUCGUGCGUUCAUUCCACAAUUUUAGCUUCUCAACCCCACAUGCAUCCAGUGGAUCAAACGUUAAUGCAGCAUCAACACCGGCUUUAUAUCGCAGUUGUGGUCCUUCAUCAAAGGUCCAUUGAGUAUUAUGAUCCUGAUGAUCCCCUGUAUGGGGAAAUGAACCAUACACAGGGUUGUCAUCAUCGGAAUCAUCAUCUGGUUCGGGUUCGGAGUCAACAUCAACAUCAGCAUCAACAUCAACAAAUUCAAUGUCGUUAUUUUCCCCGAAUCCCCUAACUGUACACGUAUCAAUGUCCACACCAUAACUUAUAAUGGGUUCCGUGUCCAUUACUGGGUGACUACUACUGGGACGAUUAGCCUCCAUGCGGCGUCCAUUACCCUUUCUCCUAGAUCUUCGAGCCGAUCGAACAUUUUCACAAUCUACUUAGGUCAAUUGACUCUCAUAUAAGCCAAUUGUCCCUACCACAUCCAUAUGUUCCGAUCCAUAUAUGCUUGGAUCUUGAUUACCAUGCAAACUUGUAAUAGGCAAAUUUUGCAUAUCAUCAUGUUUGAAAUUUAGAAUCGAUUCAACCUCGAUAUAUAUCUCUGUCCCAUGAUCACUAUUAGCUUUCAAAAAAUACAUUCCAUCAACUCCAUUAUCAUCUACCAAGGGCGUGGCACCGAACACACCAUUUUGCAUGCAAUUCCGAAAUAUCAAGUUAAUUUUAUGAGUAUUUCGGUUUAACUCCAUCAUAUUAUAUACAAUGUCCACCAAUCCAUCAAAAUUCACCCUUUCUGUGAGGAACAUGACCUUUUUGGGCAACGGUGGAUCAUAUGAUAUUGACCCGCCAGCAUACACAAUUUUUCCUCCCCAAUAGAAUUGCAUCAUCAGACAAUUACCGCUUGACAUGUUUCACCUAAUCUACUAAAGACGUUAAUAUAAUAUAUGGAGUAAAUUAUAUAAUAAAAAUGGAGUAAAUUAUAUAAUUUAAUAUUAUUUUAACAUAAUUAUUAUACCUAAUCAGUGCAUAGAAUUUACAACUUUUUGUAUUUUUAUUUAAAUUACGUAAGCAGUCGAGUGAUAUAUCUAUGUUAAGUUCAACCCUAAUUAACAUAUUUAUGUUAAGUUAAUUACGUUUAAAACUAAUUAAUAUAUUUGUAUUACGAACCAGUUCAACAGCAUGUAUUUAACAUGCUACAACACUAAUAUGGAGUCUAAAAGUUUAUUGAUAAAUUAAUCAUAAAAAAUUUCUCUCCAAAUAAUUUAAAAUAUUAAGAUAUAUUUGUAACUAUAAAUAGUUUUGUAAAAUAUCUACACUAAUUACCUUUAAUUCGAUAUACAUGUAAUAUUAAAAAAAUUAAUAGCAUCUAUUAACAUAUCCAUAUGUCUGCACCUAUUGUUUAAAGUAUUAAUCACGUGAUAAAACUAUAUUAAUUUAUUGUUAACUUUAAUCAUGUGUUAAAAGUAUAUUAAUUGGUAACAACACUUAAAUUUAUCCUUUUUUAAUAGGAUGAUUAGUGAUAUGGUUAAUUAAUAUCUAAUCAAAUAAUUUACCUUACUAAUUAAUUAAACUAAUCACUAACUAACUACUCUACUGGGUUAUCACAUAUUCUUCCACAUAACUAGUAUUAUACAAUUCAUUAAUACUACAUUCAUUAAUUUCAACUAAUCACCAUGCUACAACAAAAAAAAUACUCUAAUUUACCAUGUCAAUUAAAAAAAACUAAUACGAAAUAAAAUAUAAACAAUGUCAUGUCAUAUUUAGAUUUCACAAAUAAUAUAUAAUAUAACACAAAAAUAGAAUUCACAUUAAAACAUAACAAACAAUAUUAUACAAUUAAUAAUCAUGAAUGAUAUGUUCCAAAUUAUAGUAAACAAUAUUUAUGAAUAAUAAUUAAAAAAAUAGAUAAGUAUUUUACUUACUUGAUUAUUGUUGUUUUUCCCUAGUCAAUGAUGGAGUUUCUGCGAGAAUUUCGUCUGUCGAGACUUGCAAACACGACUGUUCAAAUCAAACGCCCUCUACUGACCGAAUCCCAAGCUCUCUAUCUCCGUUCAAAUAUUAUAGCUUCAGACUUCACUGGAGGAGCUCCUUCAGAAUUCCUUCAGAAUGUAGCUAAGUUUCAAGGAUCUCUCUCUCCGUCCAAAUAUUGUUUGUAACUUCAAACAAUAUUUAUUUCACUUCACACACCCAAGCUUGAACAGAAUGCAGAGGCUUUACCGACAUGAGAAAUGGAGAUGCGGAGCUCCGUUUAUGAUUAGAGGGAAGAGGGAGAAACGAAAGUCUCAGCAAAAAAAAGAUACGACUGAAGUUGUGCUUAUGGAAAUGGAAUUGGGAGUUGCUCUGAAGAACAAUUUAUAAGCGAAGGAAUUGUGCAUUUCUCUAGCCCGUUGCUCCAUGUUGAAGUGACUAAAGUGUCAUUGAGAAAUAAAACAAAAGCUGUCUACGCCUGUUCCUGACACAAAACAAGCCAAAAAAAUAAAGCUGCAGUCCCAAGCGGUCAAAGGCUGCAGGCUUCUGCCCAAUAAAUUUUGUAUACGUCUGGCAGAUGUCCUGCAGGACAUGUCUACAAGGAGAGGCCAUACUAAAUGAGGACAAUCAAUAAUCGAGUCCAUUUGUUUGUUUAUUGCAUGCAUCAACCUAACAAUGAUGAACGAAUGGCAACUUACACAGGUUUCACGGAAAGGUUUCACGUGAAAAAAGCUAUCAAUAAAGCCACGGUCAAAGGUUAUAGAUGCUUGAGAAAAUUUGUUUUUUCAAAAUAAGGAGGAGGAUUUAAAAAAAUAAAUAAAUAAAUUCCCGACCGUCGCGCCAUGUUGGAGCGACGGUCAGAAAUUUCUGACACCUCUGACCGUCGUUCCAACAUGGCGCGACGGCCAGAAGAACUUUAAAAAAAAAAAAUUUGGCUGCCCGUCGCGCCAUGUAGGAGCGACGGGCAUACAAUUAUACCACCCAGCUCAAGAACCACAUUUGACGGCUAAUUUUGGGAAGCAUCAAUAUUUCAAUCAAUUCGCCGAAAAAUGUGGCCUUCGUUAAAUAUGAUUUACACUGGGGCAAAUAUCAAAAGGAGUGAGCUCCAAUUUUGGUAAUGCAUUCUAAAUCGGUUUUAUGAAAGGAAAAAGUUAAAAAAAAAAGAAAAAGAAAAAGAGUCUUUUAAAAUCGAGAUGAUAGUGACAUAUGUAUAUACCUCUCGAAUCUCUUGAAGGGAGAACUGUCAUUGGUAUUCUUCUAGUUUUAAAAUUCGUCACUUUGGAUUUUUUCAAAAACAAAAAAAAAAAACAAAAAACAAAAACAAAAAAAAAAAGUGUGUUUCUUUCAUUUCUUCUAAAGGUAUAAAAAAAAAAAAAGAUAGCAAAUCCACCAACUUGAGCAACAUGCAUUUUAAUCUUUUAGUUUGAUAGUAUUGGACUUGCGUUUUCAUUUCUUUCAGUAUUUCAUUGGACCCCGGUCUAUCCCACCAAUCUGUUAUUUCAAAAAGAAAAAUUCAAAAAAACAAAAAAACAAAAAAAUCAAAUAAAAAAAAUUCAAUUAAAAAAAAAUAAAAAAAAUCAGAAGAUCAAAUUUAAUUUCCUGUUGGUGAGUCUCAGCGUCCACCGCGCACCCUUCUAUCCCCUUAUUGACAAUUUAAAUUUCUGUUGGUGAGUCUCAGCGUCCACCGCGCACCCUUCUACCUCCCCUUCUUGACAAUUUAAUUUCCUGUUGGAGCGUAAUCGCUUCCCUCCGCGCAUCUUUUUCUAAAAGACCAAUUAAAUUUUCUGUUGGAGUGUAAUCGCGUCCCUCCGCGCAUCAAUUUAAUUUCCUGUUGGUGAGUCUCAGCGGCCAUCGCGCACCCUUCUAUCUCCCAUUCUUGACAAAUUUAAAUUCCUGUUGGAGCGUAAUCGCGUCCCUUCGCGCAUCAAUUUAAUUUUCUGUUGGAGCGUAAUCGCGUCCCUCUGCGCAUCAAUUUAAUUUCCUGUUGGUGAGUCUCAGCGUCCACCGCGCACCCUUCUACCUCCCCUUCUUGACAAUUUAAUUUCCUGUUUGUGAGUCUCAGCGUCCACCGCGCACCCUUCUACCUCCCAUUAUUGACAAAUUUAAUUUUCUGUUGGAGUGUAAUCGCGUCCCUCCGCGCAUCAAUUUAAUUUCCUAUUGAUGAGUCUCAGCGUCCACCGCGCACCCUUCUAUCCCCCUUCAUGACAAAUUUAAUUUCCUGUUGGUGAGUCUCAGCGUCCACCGCGCACCCUUCUAUCUCUCCUUCUUGACAAUUUAAUUUUCUGUUGGAGCGUAAUCUCGUCCCUCCGCGCAUCUUUUUCUAAAAGACAAAUUUAAUUUUCUGUUGGAACGUAACCGCGUCCCUCCGCGCAUCUUUUUCUAGUUAUGACAAGUUACUUUUCUUGACUGUUUUGACUAAUAAUUGUGCUUUUUCAUUCAUUUUGUGUUUCAUGUUUAGAAGUUCUGAGAGUUCAGACUUUUUCGACUUUGCAAAGACCACAGUUGGUCAAUGCACUUGUUUCAUUGUGGUUCAUUUGCAUUGGAACUACGUUUGACCUGAUUCCCAUGGUGGGAUACGUAGGCAACUCUACAUGGGUUCGGUCACAUUUUCUGCAAUGUUAUUGCAUCAUUUUGUUCAAUAAUUUCAACCAAGUGUUGGCUUGUUUAUUUUAGCUCAGGAGCAGCUAGAAGAGACAGGUAAGUAAUUUGGAGUCUACAUCUUUGUCUUAAGUUUCUUUGAAACUCUAGACAAAGAGGGGCAAGCUGUAGACACCAAAUUUUUGUCAAUUUUUAAUAUUUUUCUGAAAUUUUAUCUAUUUGAUAAGUUAUUAUUAUUAUCAUUUUUUUAAUACAUAUUAAUGUAUGAUUUUCUCAUUUUUGUAGGUUUGUUUUUGGAAAAAGAAAAAAAAACACAAAACAAAAGAGAAAAAUCAAGAAAUAAAAAAUCACUUUCAUCAUUUUCCCUACCAAAACAACUAUUAACCUAUUCCACACUCAAUUGCCAUGGACCUUUCUUUUCAUUAGCUAAGAAAUCAUCAUUUUGGCAAAUCCAACACACAAGCUCCACUUUGGCUACAAGUCCCUCUCGGUUCUCUGCUCUCUAGACAGAGAGACAAGAAAAAAAUAAAGGCACUCUAGCUCCCAGACAACUCUCGGCCCUCUCCCUCGCAGAACAAGAAAAAAACACACAGAAAAAAAAAGAGAAGGGAGGCACUCGGCUCUCUCUAGUUUCAGGAGACCAAAAAGACAAGCCACAAAAAGAAAAAAAAAAAGCACUCCAAUCCCUCUGGGCUCACUUGGCAGAGACAGAAAAAAAAAAAAGAAACGCACGAGAGAAGAGGAAGGGAAGCUCUCGGAAUUUUGCAGCCUGCCCCCUCACUCUCCCUCUCUCGGACUUGGGCGGAGGAAAGAAACAGAACAAAAAAAAAAAUCUUCCCCAACUCCUCUCGGUUCCAUCUCAACCUCACACACACCUACAUUGAGGUAAUUUUUUUAGUUUUUGUCUAGCACAUUAAAUCAAUGCUUCAUUGUUUAGUUUUCUUUCAUUUCUGCUGGCUGCCUUGUAUUGUUGUUGUUGCAAUGCUGAAAAUUGGGAAAUGGCAUGAACUAGACGAAGGAAAAGGAAAUGUUUCUCAUGCAUGCAUAUUAACCGUUUGAAAAAAUGCCAAAAUGACCAACGAAUUAAAAGGCUGAAUAUUGUGCAUGUUGUUGUCAAAACGGAUGACCUUUAGCUAGCACCAGGCCUGGAAAUGUGUGCUUAUCUAAAUUUUUUUGGAGUUUUGAGCUUUAAAGGCAUUAGAAUAAUUUUCUUCAUUUUUGGGGCUAUUUUGAUUUAAUGCAUCCUUUUGUUGUUGUUUACUUGUCAAACUAAGAUUAUAGUUGUAUUGUGAAAGUUAUAAGGAGGGUUUUGGCAUAAUUUUUAUGAUUUUUGGUGAAGAUUUGAGGGUUUUAAAAAAAUAAAAACUGAACUGAUUUCUUGGCAUUUGGCCACUUUUGGGUCAUUUUCUAUAAAAACUAAGUUCAAAAAUGGAACCUACGUGAAAAAUCGAGUGAGGGGGUGUAUUUUGAGAAAUUUUGGCGACCGGAAAGGUCGCCGGCGGCGGCGCCACCGGCGGCCGCCAGCUGAAGCUUCCUCAGUUGGCCGAAGAAGAAGGAAGAAGAAACGAUUGGGGAAGGAAGAAAAGAAGGAAAGAAAAGAAAGAAAAAAGAAGAAGAAAAUGGUUUGGGCUAAGUUUUGUGGGUUUGUGGUUAUUUUUGGUUGGAUUUUGAAAAUGGGUUUUGGUUUAUUUCUUUUGGGUUUCGGUUGGGCUUGAGGGAUAAAAAGGCAGGCUGGCCUGUGUGUUUGGCUUGGACUUUCGGCUGGGCUUAGGUAGUGUUCGGCCCAAAUAAAUAAAAUGAUGGCCCAGUAGCCUGUUUUCUUAAGAAGAUCAGAAACCGAUUUUUUCACUUUAGCCCCUUAUCUUUGGAGUAGUUUCACUUCGGCCCAGAACAUUUUAAAUUUGUUUCACUUAGGUCCUUAAAUUAAUUUCACUUUGGUCCUUAAAUUUUAUCUUUCAUUUAAUUUUGACCUCUAAACUUUGGAAAAUUAUAAUUUUUGUCCCCAAAAGUUUUUCAAUUUUUACAAUUCAGCCCCUGAUGAAUUUUGACUCUCUUUAUUAUGAUUGUUUCUUUUCUUUAAUAGCUAAUUAUGUUACUUUUGAAUAUGUUCAACUUGUAAUUUUUAGAUAUUCUUAAAUUUAUUUACGUUUGACAUAUUGAGGUGAAUUUUCAUUAUUAUUAGUUUUUCAAUUAAAUUGGUGCCAUGAUUCUUUUGUUCAUUUUGAGUAUAAAUAGGGCAAUUUGACUCCGUUUAGUCACCACUUCAAAAGGGAGGUACCCCAUUAUUAUUAUUUCAAUGUCAAUUACGUACUCUUAUGUGCUCCUACGUGUUCUUAUGUGUUUAUAUAUUUUUAUAUGCUUUGUUUGUUUGAUUUGAAUGUUCAUUUAAAUUUUCUUAUGUUUGUUUAGUUAAUUUUAUAAUUAUUUGAGAGGCACUUAAAUACCUCAAAAAUAUAAUAGAUAAGAUAAUUAGAUUUGUUUUAUUUUAUUUCCCCUUUUAGAUUGUAGUUAGGCGCUCCCCGAUAUAAUAGAUAGGUUGUGUGCUUAUGUGGCUUAUGUGUUACGUGCCUUACCCGCUUUUCUUAGGAUUUUUGCAUCUAGAUAUUAUGCUUAUGUGUUUACGUGCUACGUGCUCUUAUGUGUUUAUUUGUUUUAAUCUAUGUUUACUUGUCUUAUUAUAUAUUAAAAAUGCAUGACGUCACCACACUAGUCCAACGCUAGUUGUGGUUUCUCCCUCCGUUUAUUUGCUAGUCCAACGUUAGUAAGGAUUUUUAGAAAUGGGCUAGUCCAACGCUAGACCAUUUAGGUUGUCUUGCGCUGGAUUCAUCUUUGUGUGCUAUUCACUACGUUUCCAUGCAUGUUUUUAUUUUUAGGAUCUUUUCUCAUUUGUAUGAUAUUCCCUAUUAUAUUAUCCCUUACCCGCUAUAGGUGCUAAUCAUGCCAUUUAGAAUUGCAUCUCAUUUAAGCUAGUUCAUUUGCUUGUUCAUGUUAGGAUAAUUUUUUUUCAAACAUGGAAAAUGGGUAAUUAUAACUUUUUAGUUUAAAUACCCUACUAAUCCAUGUAUAAGAAAAUUAUGUCACGAGUUUUUGCCUCCCGUAUCUUUUAUGUUGCAUUCCCUUUUUCUUUGAUCACUUAUAUAUGUAUAUAAUUUAAUUUCUUUUCUUUUAUUUUAAUUUCAUCAUUCGCAUAUUCGUGACACAUUCAAGGAAUCAUUGUGGCCUUCGCAAUUAAUGCCAUUGGUUCGAUUAAAUCCUUGAAUGGAUAUUUUGACCCUUUCGAUAUUUUAUAAAUUUAGAUUUGCAUCCAUGUAGGAAACAUCCAAAUAUGAUAAAACUAAUGGUUAGAUUAGAAAAAAUUUUGACUAAACCUCGCAACUAGUUUCGACUAGGUUGAAAGGGUGCCUUAGGUUUGAGUCAAUUAAACCUUUGCCUUCCCUUUCUUCAACCGUGACUCCUGAACCUAUUUUCUUUUGUUUUAAAAAACCUGGGGUUGUCAAAAAGGGUUUUGAUUUAUUUUAUUUUUGUCAAAAAAAUAUUUUUUUGGCUGACUUGGUACACCAAAAUUCCAUACUAAGUGGCGACUCCUAUUUUUUCUUAAAAACCCUUUUAGACUAAAUUUUGGACCCAAAUUGUCGCAUUCUUUUUAAGUCCCAUUCUAGGUCCUUUUUCAUUUAUUAUUAUUAAAUCACAUCUUUUUAUAAACUCUUUCUUUUUUCCAUCGCGAAAAAUGGGGCGCGACAUUAUUCAUUUUUAAAAUAAUUAUUUUUUUUUAUUUUUUAGACUCGAGCUCAAGUUCGACUCAACUCAAAUUUGAUGUUGAAUUCGAAUUCGAGUCUUAUAUUGAGAGUUCAUCGAAUUCGAGUUUGAACUCGAGUUUGGUAAAAUUGAAUUGAGAUUCAACUCAACUAACCCAAAAUGUAACUUGAAUCAAUUCGUUUGUAACCCUACUUUGGACUCUCAACAACUAUCUCUUGGAUGGUGUACUCACUUAAGCAUCGAAAUGGCUUCAAAAUUUGAUCCAUUCCCUCCUUUAUUUCUUUCCACUGUAUGAGAUUUGUGUGAUAAUUGGACCUUGAGUAUGAACGCUCAGCAUAACUCGCUAUUACAAAAUUCUUGUAAGAAAGGAUGUUAAAAAUCAUGGUGGUAAAUUAGAAUGACAUUCCAAGGAUUUCAUCAUAAUUAUAAAGCCAUUUCUUCUACCUAUUGAAACUACAAUAUGACACCCUAAAAUUUCACAUCAUACCACGGAAGCCUUUAACCCCUUGCUAAUUUUAGGCAAAUAUGUACUCUUAAUUCCAGUGCUUUAGGGUGUUCUUCAAAGCAAAGUUGGGGUUUCCAAUAAAUCUUAAAGAUCUUUAUCUUACUUAAUUGAACGAACCAUAAACUUUUGAAAUUGAUUCCAUUGUAAAAGGCUUAAUUUUUAGUAACCUAUUUUGUCAAUGGUAAAUGAGGAGGGUAUUCCCGGCUCGGCUAGAAAUAGGGUCCCGCCCUGUUUCUCUUCGUUCCGACCGCCUCGGCCUUUCGCCAUCGGGAAUUGGCUUCGGCCAGGCUAUUGCCUCGGCCAAGGCUCCCCCUCGUCAGGCCGAGGUCAAGAAUAAUGACCUGGCAACCGGAGUGGCGGAACAUGGUCUCUGACACCUCUGACACUUCUGAUAAAGCUGCUCUGACAUGCGCCGUCUGACACAACUGUCCCUGCGCACCUUUCCGCAGAGUCCAUUAAGCCACCUUGAUACACUGAUCCUGCCGGAUCUCUAGGGACCUGUGCAAGCAGUCCCUCUCUCCUAUCUGACUCCUAUAAAUACCCAACACUUCUACUGAGAAGGGGGACGACCAAAUUUCUGGUAAAGGCAUACUAGUCUUCUCUAUACUUAUCACUCCUUCUCUCCCGAACUGACUUAAGCUUCGGAGUUACACCGGAGACUUUAGUCCCUCCUAUAAUUUAAGCAGGUAACCUCAUUUGAGAUAACCACCAGGAUAAGAGGCCUUCUCCAGCUCGGGUGACCCACUCCAGCAGGACAAAAACGACCUCUUCAGUAAAACUUAAGCAUUUGUAGGUGAAAUAUCGACAUAUAUCCUAAUCCGUUCGGUGUUAAUACUAAGGCACUACCCAAGUUAAUCAUAUGGUCCUAUUCCACUUUGAUCUUAUUCAGCAAUAGAAAUCCAGAUUCAAGGAAUAACCAAUGCUCAUGUAGGAUCAAAAUUCUUGUAAUUUGAAUCUUACGUCAUUUGUAUCGAUAAUUAGUGUCAAGAAACAGAAGUAAACUGUGACAAUGCUUUAGAAAUUGAUCCUUCUUGAGUUUUGUGGGACACAUGAUGCCCGCUCCGGCUCGGCUUUGUAUCCGAGGCUGGUGUCCCCGGUGUGGAUACUAAGAUGGCAGCUUGGGAAGUUCGAUCCGUUACCUUAACCCUUAUGAAAUGAUUGAUGUGAUCCCACCGCCUGACAUCAAUCCCUACAAGGCUAUCUAACACUCCAAUUGCUAACAUAGCCAGCCUACGACCGUCUUCAACAAGGAUAGCAAUUGGAACUGGUACUCACGGACACUCAUUCCAUGGAGGGUGGGAUGGGACGGGGUGGGGCGGGGGUAAAAUUUUUCCCCAAUAAAAUAUGGGGCAAGGGACGGGGACUAUACCCUCGUCUCAUCCCCAGUUUAACUAGAAUAAUAUAUAUAUAUAUAUAUAUAUAUAUAUAUAUAUAUAUAUGUGUGUGUGUGAUAUAAUUAAUAUUAUUAGUUAUAUUAUUAUAUUUAUAAUAAAUUACUAAUUACACGUUUGACUAAUUAUACAUUUUAUAUUUAAUUAUUAAUUAAAUUUCUUAUUAAUUAUAAACAUUUUCACCUAUGAGUUGGGGCGGGGCAAGGGAUGAGGGUGACGGGGAUUGGGGCGGGGACGAGGAGUUUGUUUGGGCAAUGGUCCCUUGCUCCGUUGUCAUUCCUUAUUUCCAACACCUUAAAGACAGGUCAGACACCUCAUCGAUAAAUCUGCAUACUUUAUUACCAUUACAAAUAUGCAUCUUAGAGGUAACAAAUUCCAUUCAUACUCUUCAUUUUUCAUUUCUCGAUAUCUUAUACUUGCUAACUUAAACAUCAAAGUCACAUUGAGAAGAAGCCCUAAUCUGCGUCUUUUUUGUGUUGUAGGUGACGUGCAUUUUCCCGAGGCUCUUCGACCUCUACGGGAGAUCCGUCUUCUCCUCACACAAGUUUCUAUCAGAAAUUCCAAGUCAUUUGUACAAGUUUACUUCCUAAGGCUUACUUCUAUGCUCAAAUUGCAGCAUCCGACUCAAUUUUCUGCCUAGAAUUGGUUUUGUAUGAUCGCGCAUAUGAUGGGAAACAGUCAGUUGGUCUAGACAUUCCGAAUUCUCUUAAAUAUGAGGAACUUCCCAGCUUAUUUGAUGCUCCAUCUGGACCAUCUCCUUUCGUUUCUAACUUCCACUACAUAUUAACCUUUCAUCUUCUUGUGGAUUUGUAAUCACAUAAUUUUAUUAUGAAAAAGGUUUUGAUCAUUCGAGAUUUUGUGUGCCAAUUGCAUUCAAAUUUGUUGAACGUUUAUCUAUCGCCAUUGUUUGUAAAACCGAACAUAGAUCAUGGCAUGUGAUGGGUGUCUAAAUCACAUUCAGUUUAAUGGACUCAACCCAAAAGGUAAUUGGGUUGGGUUCAAAUUAAUGUCCUAAUCCAAAGCCCAUAGGCACAUUAAAGCCCACUUUAAGUCAUCAGAAACUGAAGGUUUAUAAACCUUUUCUCCAUGCAUUAUUGACUUCGAAAAAGUUUGAGAAUUUGAGACAUGAAACUGUUAAUAUCACUCCACUUUUUAUUAACAGCACUCCCACUAUUAUUUUUAUCAUAUAGUUUUCACUUAUUAGUUUAUAUGAUAAAACAAAUUGUAAGAGUGUCCUUAACACAAAAAAAAAAAAAAAUGAUGUGCCAUUAGCAUUUUUAUCACAUUAAUUUUUAUUAAUUUUUUUUUUUUUUUACUUAAACUGCACUAAUUAUGCCUCCUCAAAGGUCAACGGCUUUGCAUUGCUCCUUUUCUUUUCUUUGUUUUUCUUUUUUACAGUAUAUAUUGCCCCCUAUUUCCUCUUGAUACAAAUUUCUAUAAUAACCAAAGUCCCAAUACAAAGCAGAUAUAGCAAUUAAUGAUUAAAUAAAAUAGAAUGAAAAGGAAACAAAAGAUUCUAAGACGAACCACCCCAUUUAAAUUUUAUUUCUACUACAUCAAAUUAAAAACUCUACCGGUAUUAACCAACGUAAUUUAACACACAAAACCAGACCAACAUUUGUGUCUUUGUAGUUGUUUUCAAGUAUCGACUCUUCUCCAUUUCUCCAAACUAAGGCUUUUUUCGUUUAGAAUAUAUUCAAUUUUAUUUUAUAUCUUACUUAUUAGUUAUAUUAACAAUUAUUCUUGUUUAGAAGUAAGAGGUACAACUAUAGAAGACCUAAAGAAAAUUAUUCAUUUUUAUCUAAUUAGCUUUUUAUUCAUAUGGUUUUGUUAGAUUCCAUUUUGAUUUGGGUAUCAUUGUUAAGUUUUUACCUAAUUGUUCAUUGCCAUUACUUAACUUCCUAGAAUAUUUAAUUUUUAGUAUUCCAUUUUUUUGCAUUGUCUAUUAUUGUUUAAGCAUUUAAAUGCUACUUAUUUUUCACAUGAAUUUUAACCUCAAAUUUGUCAUACUUUAUUCAUUACAAUGUUUUAUAUUUUUUUGUAUUUGAUUGUUUGCUUCAUCUAAACUAAAGUCUUAAUUUUGUCCCUCAUCCUAGCGUGUGAGUCAUCCAUAGUUGUUAGUAUGAAAAAAAAAAUCGCUAUACUAUUAUUGCAUAAAAUAUUAAUCUUAUUACUAUUUAACUAACAUGUGAGUCAUUGUAUAUAGAUCUUCCAAAAGUUGUACAUACUCUCUUGUCAUCAUCUCUUUCAGUUAGGGAUAGCAAUAGGGUUUGAUGGGGAGGGGGGAAAUGCUUGGCGGAGGUGGGGGCAGGGGAGGAAAUCUCCCCCAACUUUAAACAAGGUGGAGAUGGAUACCCCACCCUGCCUCUCGUCUUAAUUUAAUAUUAUAUAUAUAUAUAUGAAUAUAUAAUACAUAAUAUAAAUAAUUAUAUAUAUAUAUGAAUGUGAAAUGGAUGAUAUGAAAUUUUCUUGUGCUAACAUAAUAUAAUUUUUGUGAUAAAAAUGAUAAUUUUGCUAUGUUAGUUUACCUUUUUUUUGUUAUGGCAUGUUGUUUGUAAAAAAUAAUGAUAAUUGAUUUAGAAUUUAUGUAAUAUCAAAUAUAGAGAAACAGAUUCACAAGGUCAAAAUAAUUUUUUAAUUUUAUCUCAUCAUCAAUUUUUCGUUAAAAAUUUAAAAGAACAAUUAAUAAAUUUAUUAUUAGUAUUGUACGUAUAUAAAAAUAAAGCCACAUAAAAAAAAUAAAAAUAGUAACAGGGCAGGACGAGGGCACCUACAGGAACAGCGGGCACGGGACGAGGGAUGGAGCAGGUUCCCUGCCCCAAACCCACACCAUUGCCAACCAGCUUUCAGUUUCUAUCAAAUUACAGACAAAUUGUUCAACAAAGCUCCCAUGUUUUUCUUGUAUUUUUUACCGCGUACAAAUUUCUUUAGGAUAAAUGUACAUGGUGGGCAGCAUUAGGACCCUCAACAGCUGUCUUUCCCAUCUUCAUCACACGCAUAUGCUUUGUUUUGUCUUGACAUUCCCUGUUGUCUUCCAUAUGAGCACUUCCCCACGUCCAAUAAUGUAUCUCAUCUCUCUCGCUUUCACUGUAUUUUCUAUCAUCCCUCACUCUCACCGUUUUAAGCCUAGACGAUACAAGUCUAGAACAAUUUCUAGACGUGAAAAUUUCUUUGUACGUGUAAUUUGUACAUCAAGUGCACAUGAAUAUCACUUGGAGCACUACUUUCUUGCAUCAAAAUGUGCUACAAAUUUUUAAAGCACAUAUAAUUUUCCAAUAGAUUCUUUCCCACCCCACUUAUAAUUUCCACAUAUUGUAGUCCAUGUGCAAUUUCUACAUUAGUAUUCAUGUGACAUGUGCUUAAGAUAGAUGGAUUUUCUCACCGGAGAAAAUGUAACACAUAACAAAAGACUUGCAUCAAUAAGUGUCAUGGUAUACUUUAUAUAACUGAUUGAGCCGUUGGUCAAAUACUGUAAUGCUUAAUUUAUUAAUAAAAUUAUCUAUCGUUUUCGGAAAAAAAAAAAAAAAAAAAGCCAAGCUGCCCUGCUAUCCUUUCUGCAGUACUAGUACCUCAUAAUAUGAUCAAUAAAAUCAUGGACACUGAUCCACAUGCCUCUCUGUUAAGUAGGUGUAUAUAGGUGUCAGUCAAAUGUAUGUGUUUAUGGUUUGAUAUGGGCCCAUUCUUGGGAAAUUAUAGAGUCAGAUGAAUGCCAACUGAAAUGGGAGCUGUGGGAUUUGAAGUCUUUUGAGUGUUGUGGUUAUGAAGAUAUUGACCAAUCAAAGCCAAUAGAAGGCCACACCAUACUCUUUACAAUUUUGAGGCACAAACGAAGCCAUGUUAUCAUUGUUGUAGUUAAGUAUAACUUGUGUACGUGUCAGAAAGCUUGUGAAUAAUACACCAACUAAUAUUAAUGUGCACAUAUGCAAAAGUUGAAAAUUAUGAAGUCUUGUUUAUUAGAAAUUUAAUGACUUGGCCUAGUUGAGCCUUGGAUGGCGAGCACCUGUGACUUGGCACUACUUUGUUGGUGAAUCGCUAAUAACACUACAUAAUAAUAAAUAGGCACUAAAUCACCAAAAUACAAACACCAGAUUAGAAGUUCGUAUAUCGUUUAUCAGUGUUUAGAUAUGUUAUUUUUUAGUGUCUAUAUCUAUUACGUUAAUGCGUGCACUUUACCGUGCGUUACCAUUACUAAAUCGGUUGAGUUUCGGUAUAUAUGUUGAGAGGGAUAUAUACACAGCGAGAGGAGGAAAAUAGAAGAGGGAAAAAGGGCACAGAUGCACAGUGGCUUUAAGGUCACAAAACUCAACCCAACUGCUGAGACUAGAAAUGAAGGCCAAUAACUUGUAUUGAAUGAUCUAUCCGAGAGCAGUCUGUUAGUUGCUCAGUAAAAAUCUAUGUACUUUUAAGGUAACAUCUCUUUUUUGGAGUAUAUGUCACAGUCGCCAUGAAACUAAUUACUAUAAAGAAAGAGACUAGAUUCAAUCAGCUAAGGUUGAUCCAAUAAAUAUGUCAGGGUCCAGUCUAAACUGAUAGGAGUGUAGUUUUCAGGUUUCCAACAAACAUAUGAACAUGUCAUUUAUUGGGUUGAGAAAAAUGAAAGGUGGAAAGGUGCAACAAGCCAUAAUAAAAGAUUCCCUUAUAUAGAACAGGUUUCCCUCCAUAAAUACAAAAUACACUACCUCUCUGCCAACAGCUUAUGACUCAAGGCCCUACUGGUUGAAUGGAUGAAACUCAUCAUACAUGGGGAAGAAGGCAAAUGUACAUCAUUGGAGUGAAGAAAAGAUGAAAGAAUAUGAAUCUUAGUCUUGGUCCAUUAUUUUAUUCCUUCAAGAAAAUCUACUUUACCUGCAUUUGUUUGCACCAGAUUUCCUGGUGAUCCAGUCUUUGGUGUCAUAAAAAAUACAAAGUUUUCUCUAAAUUCAAGGUUGAUCUUUGCUGUAUUUGUGCAACGUUUACCAAGUCCCAAUAAGCUUCUUCGUGAAAAUAUUACUUGCUACUAUUGCUAGAUUCAGUCUAGGAAGUAUAAUUCUUAAAUCAAAUCGCUAGUUGAAGUCACUGAGAUUCAUGAUUUCAUGUAAAACGAGUGGUAUUUCAUGGCAAAGAAGAAGAAGAGCUGGUUCAAUCUACUGAGGAGAAUUUUCAUUGCAGAUACAAAAUCAAGAAAGGUAAAUAAUGAGUUCAACUGCUUCUUUUAUUUGCAGAAUGUUGCAUACAUCUCAGAAGGUGCUUAAUUACAAUAUUCACAGAAGGAUGAAAAAAAAGGAUGGGCAUUUGGAGGAUUUAAGAGCAAAAGAUUAGCCUCUCUAUCAGCACCACCACCUCCAAAGAAGAGCAUACUAGGUGCACCUGAAGAAGAGAAGCAGAAUUAUGCAGAAAAUGGAACCAUUAACACUACGGCUGCAGAAAUCUCUCGUACUAAUACUCGAGAUUUCAGGCCCGGUGUCAGCCCUCGAUUGUCCACUCAAGACAAGAAAGAAUCCCAUGAAGUUUCAGCAACCAAUGUCUUUAGCCCUGCUUCACAAUCUCAUCAAUGCCAAUUGCAGAUCCAACAUCUUGCAGCUAUCAAAAUUCAAUCAGCAUUUCGCGGAUAUCUAGUGAGUUUUGUCAAACUUCUCUUUUCAAACUUCUCCACUCUGUUUCUGUAUCUGCAAAUCCAACUGCAGCACUCUUAUCAAACUUCCCAUAUCAAAAGUGAAAUCACAAGGAACCUGCAAAUUACUAGUGAAACACCAAAUUAAAUUGGGCAACAAGAAUUAUCCGAGUAUCAGUUGAAACAUUUGAACUCAUUUUAGAUGGAUGAUCAUUUUCUUUCUUUCUGACAUAACUGUUUGGAUUUUGCAGGCUAGAAAAGCUUUACGUGCACUGAAGGGACUAGUAAGGCUUCAGGCGAUAAUUCGCGGUUGGGCAGUUCGACGCCAAGCCAUUAAUACCCUCAAGUGUUUGCAAAGCAUAGUGAACAUUCAGUCAGAGUUUCGUGCCAAGAGAUGUGAUAUGGUGAAGACCACUCAGCAUAAUCAAGAAAACCAGGUGCAGGACAUGACAGAGAAGGACAUAAGGGUAAGUUAACGGUGAAUUUAGCUCUUCUUAUGUUUCAUUCCUUCGUGUUGACAAAUAAUCCAAAAGCCAAUUGGCCUUCCUCCUUUCAUUUUCUCCUACUGUACUUUUGACAAUACUGGGGCUUUAUCUCAUUAAUAACGUAAAGGUUCAAACUUUUGCCUGAUUUGCUGUAAUUUAUAGUUAACAGUGGAUCCAAUUUGAUGGAAAUGUUCUUUUGGUGUAAAAUCAAUCAAUAACCUCGCCAAAGUGAUACUGUGCUUGACUGGGUAUCAGCAGAAACUUAAGAGUCAAAAAGAAAUUUCUCUAGGUUUCACAAUAUAUAUGAACUGUUGAACAUAUAGUUGAGUAAAUCCACAAAGUUCCAUAACAUUUAGUUUGCUUUCAAUAGUUCACUAGAUCAAGUAUCAUCGUCCUUAGCAUUUCCUCAUCCAUCUACUUACGCUACUCAACCUGAACUAGAAAAAUGAAAGAACAGAUUUAUCUAUUGAGUUUGAGUUUUAAUUUAUCCUAAGAAACUUUCUUCUUGUUCCAAGUAACUAAAUUAUUUUCGUCCCCAAAUCUUAGUUAUUUUCUUGAUAUCUGCAGAUUGAUACAAAUAGCCAGAGAACGUGGGAUGAUAGUACUUUGUCGAGGGAUGAAGCAAAUGCAUCGUCCAUGAACAAGAGGGUGGCUUCAAUCAGGAGAGAAAGAAUAAAGGAAUACUGGUUAAAUCAUCGGGUUAGUUACUAAAACUUUGAAUCCUGAAAUCUUAAAAGUGUAGCUUAAUUCUACCGGCACCAGAUAGCAUAGCAUCACUGACAUGAUACUGUCUAUAUUCAGAGGUCCACUGAGUCAGAACAAAGCAAGCAAAAUGUAAAACAGAGAUACUGGCUAGAACAAUGGAUGGAUUCCCAGUUAGCUAAAAGAGAAGAUCUUCGCAAUAUAGGAACAGCGUUCCCGGUAAAUGCAAAGGCCAAAGAGGAACUAGCUGGCAGAAGACUCAGACUAAGAAUUCAGAAACAAUAUCAGAUUGAAGGAUUGGAUUCUCCUCUAAAUGUUCCAAGAAGAUCAUUUCACAGGAGGCAACGUUCCAACGGAGAUGAGGACUCUUUUGUAGGCUCUCCUUCUGUUCCAACAUACAUGGCAGCCACAGAAUCUGCUAAGGCAAAAGUUAGAUCAAUGAGCUCACCCAGGCUAAGACCAAUCUGUUUUGAUGCUUACUCUGAGAUCAAUUCUCCAUAUAAGCAUAAACUCUCUCCCAUAUCUUCCAUUAAUAGUGAGGCUACAAGCUGCAGUCAGAUCAGCAAACACUAUGGUUUCUCCCAAAGAUCUCCAUGCUUGAAAGGUAUACCUGGUCCAAUCAAGUCACAUAGAAGUCUGAAGGAGUUCAACUUGAUUGUAGAGAGUAAUAAAGAUCAACUGAAUGCCUAUGGAUGAUUCAAUUAUGCCAUCCAACUCUAUGCUAGAAGUCUAAGAACCUCAGCUUUAUUGCAGAGAGCUUAUUGCGGGUUUCAGCUCUUUUGCUUUGACAAGGAAUUGAGCUUGUAUUGCAGAUGUACUUGAAUGCCAAAAUGACACAUGAAAGGAGAUAGGAAUAUUCGAAUGAAACUCCAUAGUUUUUAAGUUGUAUUCAAUUAAAACCAAUGUUACAUGAUUACCAGAUUCCCUAUUCACAUACUAUUUCCAAUCUCGAAUUGUUAUCCACAGAAACACAGGAAUCAGGCCAGUUGUGUCACUCUUUUCCAGCUCACCCAUACCUAAAGCCUGGUCCUUAGCACGGGAGAAAUUUGAUCUUUGGGAAAAGUAAAUGUCAUUGGUGACCAUUUGGAGCCUUUAUCUCGUUACUUUAUGCACCAAAAAUUGAAAUAGAUUCAGGUCUUUAAAAUUUCUGUAGAAAAUGGCAAAUGUUAGAUUAUAGAAUCAAAUAAAAGAAUAAUAAGACUAUUUUUUUAUGGUCAUGAAACUAUCUAGUGUAACCAUUGGAAUACGAUCGAAUUAAGAAUUUGCAAGAAUAGGCGAAAUCAUGGAUAUGGAUCUCAUGAUUGAUAGGCAGAAAAACUCCUGAGGCAGCAGACACAACCCACGUAUGAAACAGAACACAGGAAUAGUUUUCUGGCUUCAGCAUUAUUAUAAGCCUGUAAAUAUAAAAUUAAGUCAUUCUGUCGCUCAUGGCCUGGUGAAUGAGAAACCAACGUGCUCUGCUGAUAUGCUCUCUGCCAGACACAAAAUACUCCUGGUUCAAAGAAGAAUUUCCUGUGCCUAUUACGGAUGAGAUUCUGAUAUAUGCCAAAUAGUACGAAAGACAUUCUUGACUCUCAACAGACUUCUUUCUUUUGGCCCAUAUAGAUAACUUUACUCCAUAUCCAGGAUAAGAAAGCACCACCAUCUACAAAUUCACAAGUCCAGAUAAAGGAUGUAUGACAAUCUACAGAUUUGUAAUAAUAUUGAAAAGAGCAGUACAACCUGUCUUUCAUCAAUUUCAAAAUACUAAACAUCAAGCUACAACUUCCUGAACUUCCUGAACUAAACAUCGAGCUACAACUUACACCCCUAGGAAAUUUUGCUUACCGUGGUUACAGUUCAGCAAAUAAUUGCCAUUUCCAGUUCCAGCUGCAAUUAGCUCAAUCACUUCCUGAGCACCUAUAAGUUAAUUUGUAUCUGAUAAUUCUACAAAAUUACAACCUUUAGCAAGCUAUAUUGAAGGCAAAACAGUUGAACUAUUACACCAAAUGGAUGCUUGAUUUUGUGUCAAAAUUCAUCUUCUUCACAAGCUUCUGCUGCAGCUAUCUCGGAAUCCAACUUAUUUAUCAGCUGCUCACUUAAAUGUUUAGAAACAGAGAUCAUGUCAAGUAUGACAGAUGGAUUUAGGCCUGCACCCCCUCGCUUUGUCAGCCCACAUAUGCGCCCUUGCCUAUUCACAGAAACAGAGACAGCUGAGCUCAUCUGAGAUUCUUCUUCCGAAGUUCCAUCCACGAUGUAGUGCUUACCAACCUGCAAAAUUUACCGUGGAAGAUAUUUGAAUUACAGAUAAUGUUAUAAUUUGGAUAACUAGUACCUGAAAAUAUUAUUCUUUCACCUUUGUCAGAGUUAUAAUGGCAGGAAUUCCACUGGUGUCAAAUUGCAAAAAUUCUUCAUCACUCAAAUCAACCUCUGGCUGCUCAUCAGAGGCAGCUGAAGCCACUUGGACUUUUGGAAGAGCUGUAUUGCUCAGAGCAGCCUAAAAAUCAAUUAUUUUAAUGAAAAUCAAACUUCAUGAAAAGAUGUAGUCAUCAAACAGGUCUAAUCGAUUUAAUCUAGGAUUUCAAAAGCAGUGUCUAAGCUUCUUUCUUGCCACCAAGCAUUGAUUAAUCCGCAUUGGUAAACAAAGUCAAAAGCUGCAGUCACCAGUCAAUUCAUCAUUGCCAAAAAACUAUAUAUAUAUAUAGACCUUUGAACUGCAGUUCAUUAAUCAAAUAAAUCAAAUGUAUAAAUGCACCUUGACUGCAGCGCCCAAGGCAUCUAACAGAUUCCCAUCUGAACUUACAACAAGACCUUCUAUAUAAAGAUCCCAACAGAUUUUCCCCUCAACGAUAGAAAGAGAUGAGAGAUCUAUUCCAGCCCCUGAAAAAGCAAAGAAAAUUAAGAGCCCCAUAUUAAUUAAACAAGACAGAGUACCUCAGCAAAUUGCAUCCCUUGAUGGACUGAUCUUGCUUCUUAGCAUGUUUACCUGCUCCACUUUUACCACCCAAGAGACAGCGCUGAAGAGCAACUGAGAGUUCUGACGACAGCUCUUCCCCUCCUCUACCCUACAUGAAAGAAGAUCAUAAAGAAAACUGCUAACAAUCCAAAUGGAGGAUAAAUUAAGUAUCUACCAUAUGGCAUUCAGCACAGCUAUUAUGUUAAUGCAAAGAAAUUCCAGUGUUUCUGCUCACUAUCGAAAGACACAGUCACCUACUUAAACUAGUAAACCUAGCUGUGCAUUGCUUACAAGCAGGCAAGUAAACACACAAAUAGAUGGCAUCACUACCAUUCAUUGUCAAUUUAAACAUACAAAGGAAGUAAACCAGGGCUUCACUACCCUUCAUUGUUAACCGCAAGAUUCAUAGAACAAGAAGAAAUACCUAGUAGUGUUAAAUGCAAUCAUAAGCUCAAAAACAGGAAAUGAAGUUUCAGUUACAUCCAAGAGUUUCAAGACAAGAUAACCAACCUAAAGAUUCAUGAUACAAUAACAAAAUGCGAAAAAAUUUUAUGUUUGCACAAAAAGCUAAAAAAAAAAACAUUUUGUUUCAACUUUCUGCAGGAUCUCCAUGUUGCUUUUAUAGUGCUCAUAGUUAUUAUCCGCUAUAUUUGUCAUAUCUGUCUGUUAUUAAAAAGAAAAAAUGUUUACUCAGAACUACAAAGAAUACAUGAAUAUCACCUCAAAUGCUGGCUCAGCCGUGGGACUGCAAUCCACGUUGAUUAAUACCUUCCCUUUAUCCGGAUAAGAUGGGCUCGGCUUUCCAAGUUCAGCCUAGAAUUACACAUUGACAACUCACAUAAAAUCCCAACAUCACCACCCAAAAUGUACAAUUCAAAAAUCCCAAACACAUACAAAACAGAACCAGUACUUAAACCCAAAAAAAAAAAAAAAAAAAAUAUUCCACCUUAGCACUCGCGAUAACAUCGGUGGCACCAAGCUUAACUCUAGCUGAACCAUUAGCCUAUAGUAAAAGAAAACCCAAACUUAAAACACAAAAUUUAGCUCCAAAAAAGAAUUUCUAAGAUUAUGUUAGGGAAAAAAAACAAAGUAAAAUGAAUGGAAAAACCCUUACCUGAGGGAUGACACCUGUUUCAAUGUAAAUGGGCCGAUAAGUGUAGCGUUUUCGGCCGUCAGUACGGAGGUCCUGUUCAAUGCCUCCCUUGAUAAAAUGCUUUUCUCCAACGGAAAGUCCCACCAUUGCUGCAAAAACAUGUUAAAAAUGAGAAUAUUACGGAUAAAGAAGCUUAAUUUGGUAGAGGGGCGUGGAAAUUGUACCGUCAAUGGCCGGAGGAGUGGUGAAGAGGGCUUUUGCCGGUGACCGGAGAGUGAGAGACAGAGGAUUGUAGAGAUUUUGGGAAAUUAGGGCUCCCUGGGGUUUUUGGGUUAUAUUUGUAAAAUUGCAUGGACCGGGCACCGGGUCUAUUAUGUGGGGCAAAAUUGAACCGGUCGAGUUGAGUGGAGCAAUAUUUAAUAAGGGAAAUGGCAUAUUUAGUCCUUUUACUUUUCAAUUAAAGGCACGUUUAGUCCUCAAACUACUUACUCGACCUUAAUCGGUUCUUACACCCAUAAUUUGGUGAAAGUUAAGCCCUUCUGUGGCUUUUCACUAGAGGUGGCAAAAUGGGUGAUUUGGGCGGGUUUGGGUUGGGUAAAAUGGGUAAUGGGUAUAAGUGAGUCAACCCAUUUAUAUCCAUUUAAUUAGAUGGGUAUAAAUGGGUAAGUCAAAAAAUGAGUUGGGUAACCCAAUUAUCCAUUUAUAACCCAUUUAUUCUAAUUGUUUACAAGCUCAUAUAAAUUCAUUUUGUAAACUAAAUUAUCAAUUUAUACCAUUUUACACCCAUCAUUAAUUUUAAAUAUUUACUUAUUAUGCCAAAUAAGUCUAAUUAUAAAUUUUUUUUCCUUCCGCGUGCCAUGUUGCAAAAUUACAUAUUAUUUAAUAAUUAAACAAUGAGAAUCUAAAAAUUUGGACUAAAUAAUAUGAAAGUUAACAAAACAAUUUAAUCCAAAACUUUGAACCCCUAGUCUUUUUUCGUUUAUAAAUUUAAAAUUUCAUUUGAAAAGGUAAGAAAGGAAGCUAAAAUUUGUCAUAAAUUGAUGAUGCUAAAAAAUGAUCAAAUUAAUAAAUUACAAGGAAAUAAAGCGAUAAGAUAAAACCAACAAAUAAAACAAAAAUACUUAACAUAAAAAAUAGUUAAAAAUCCUUAUGAAGACUAGCAAUCACUUCAUUUAGCAUACAAAUAAAGACAAAUUUUCAAUAAAUACGAAAUUUAGAAGUAUCUUACCAAAUAGAGAAGAAACUGAAAAUCAAAACCGGUAAACAUACGGAGCUUCGUAAGAGAAUUGCGCAACUAAAAUUUCGUCGCAUUUGUUUCACCAGCUGAUCAUGAUUUCAAAGUCUCAAGUUCUCCUCUCUCUUAUUAGCUCUCUGCUUCCUUCUUAAAAGAAGGGGGAAUGUAAGUUAAAUGGGUUAAAUGGGUUAGAUGGGUUACCCAAUUAAACCCAUUUAAUAAAUGGAUAUAAUUGGGUAACCCAUUUAUAUCCAUAUAUAAAAAUUUAAUGCACCCAUAUCCAAUUAUUAAUGGACGGGUAUGGGUAAAAUUAAUUAAAUGGUUUUAUUUGACACCUCUACUUUCCACUAAAAAAAAUGUGCCAAUGGCAAAUCUUUAGAUUGCAAUUUUCUUUUCUUUUUCUAGAAGUUUAUGAAUUGUUUUUGAUUUAAAGUGUUUAUGGUGAAAUGUAUUUGUCUUUUUCGAGGUUGCAAGUAAUUUGUAAGAUUGAGAUACGAACACUAAAUGCCCUCAGGCGAGAUCCCUUCUUGUUAUGAGAACCUAGAGUUCAUAGAAAUAAGUGUGAUAAAUAAUUAACGAUUUAUAUCAGGUCACGUCUCAAGUAGCAUGAUCUAAACUGUCUUUAAAUUGUAAAGAAGAAAAGCAAAUUAACUCCAAAAUUUGAGAUGCAAUCCAUUUGGACAGCAAGACUUGCCUCUAGGGGUUACAGUUAAGGCAUCAAAUCUAGAUAAUUAGCAGUUUAGAUUAGGUGAUUUCUUAUGCGGUAUGACUAGAACUGUUGCUUUAAAAUAUUAGAGUAAAAGGGGUAAAGCUCUAAAAUGAGACGAUCCUGAGCCCGAGCAGAGAAUUGCCUCCUGAAGUUGCAGUUAAGGUAUCGAAUCUUGCGUCAGUAGCUAAUCUGAGUAACAGUUAGGAAUAGUUAAAUUGAUUAUUGACCUCCACAUAGGUUAGUCACUAUUAUAGGACCUCCCUUGAUAUUUAGAAAGUAGAUGUCCUAUCAAUUCAAAUACUUUGUGAUUUUGCAGCUUUUUGGACUCAACAGUAACUAGAGGAGAAGAGGGAUUACCUCCUGUAAACUCAUUCCCACGUGCAGUAAUUGACUGUAUCUAUGGGGUAAAAUUGUACAUUAAUUACAACGAUGCGUACACUCGUUAAUCACAAUUGGACACUUGACUUUCCUUUUCACCUUUAUGUAACAAGUUUAUUUUGAAUUUUGAAAUUUUGGGCCAAUCUUAGCCCCGAAUCAAUAUCUGAUUUUUCAAAGAUGCUUAUUUUUUUGGGCCAAUCUUGGCCCAUUCAUUAUUAUUUUAACUAAGGUGGCAAAAGAAAGAUUGACAACUGCAGACCGGGUAUAUCAAUGGAUCGGAUCUUAUCCAAAUCCAACCCAGAUUCAAUAUACUUGAGUAGGGUUUGGAUUUAAUUUCUUAAAUUCAAACUCUACCCAGACCCUAUAAGAGAGUCAAGGAUUUGGGUAGGAUCUGAUUUUCUAUGAUCCAUAUCCAAAUUCAAAUUCAUACCAGACAUAUCCAAACUCAUGUGUGUGUGUAUAUAUAUACAUACAUAAAAUUUAGCUUGUGCAUUAACACAAUAUAAAUUUUAUUUGUGAUUAUUUAUGAAUUGAUGCAAGCCAUAAAUAAUUAAUUAAUAUGUUAAUGUAUUAUUCAUGUUUACAUGCAUAUUAGUCUUUAGGAACUUUUAUUCGUAAACUUAUUACAAUGUUAUAAUAUUUAUUAAUUAAUAUAAAACAUAGAAAAAAGAAAUAAUAGGUUUGGUGUUCUUUGAGAUGAUAAUUGAACUUUACAAUAAUUAUAUACCUACUCAUAUUCAUUUUCAGUUAAAGACAAAAAUAUUUAGCAAUCUAUUGUCUCAUGACUGAAUUAUUAGUUUUUAUCAAAAUUAGUAAAUUUAUGAAUUUAGUAAUUAAAUUCACACUAAGCAGGUUCACUGUGUAUGGAUGAAAGGAAUAAAUCAAAUUUAUUAAAGAGAUAAAAGUUAUAAGAAGAUAGAGAAAUUAUAAGCAAAAUUGAUUAUACGUAUAAUAUAUGUGUGUGUGUGUGUGUGAAAUUUAGUUUUGCAUUUAGUACAAUUGUUUUCUUUCGUUUAGUUCUUAUUAAUUUUAUAAAGUGAAUAUAAUAUAGGCUUAAAUACAUUUUCCUUAAUUAGAGAACGGUUUCAGUUCAUCCCUUGUAUUCACGAAAUAGAUAAAAUACCCCCUAAAGUGCAAAGUUUUUUCUGUUACCCUCACUUCUUUUCAUAAUUUCUGAUCUCUUUUUUCUUUUUAAAAUUUUCUUUCAUUUUUAAUCAUCAAAAUAAUUUUUGGAAAUAAAUUAUUUAUUACCUGCAAAUCAGGUGUGCCUUGAGCACUAGUGUUUUAUAAAUUUUUUUCCCUCUUUAAUUCAUGCUAAUGAAAUAACAAAAAUGCCAAAAGAGUCUUCUAAACAUUAAUAUAACUUCGAAAGGGUUGAAAAACAUUAAUUAAGAUGUGGGAUUAUCCAUCAAGCAUAAAUGGUCUGAUAAAUAAGAAAAAAAUCAAAUGCCCACAACCGUUGGAUAAAGGUACUUGAUGAGGGAAGAAAAUAAGUGUAUUUGAAUAGAGUAUUAUUUGAAAUAUUAUUUGGAAUAAUUACUAUAACACUUUUGUGAUGUGAUGUAUGUGAAAUAAAAAGAUAGUUAAAAAUAUAAAAAUGUAGAUUGAGAAAUGUAUUUAUGAUACAAGUUUCAACUAUUGGAAAAUUGAGCAUUUAACUUGUUCUCGUUGACUCGUUACAGGUUGCAAGUUUGGUCGUCUUGUUAAAGAGUCUGGUCUUUGUAAACUAUUAAUGCAGCAGGGCGGUAUAAUAAUGUUGAAAACGAAAGAAUUAACACAUUCAGUGAACCAACCGUCAAGAUUUAAGAAAUAGUUUAUUGACUUAAAAAUUUGAGAGAAAUGCAGUUUUGAUCCUCAAUGUUUAGGUCGUGUGCCAAAUUGAUCCUUAAUAUUUCGAUCAAGACAAGUCUGGUCCCUAAAAUUUGUGAUUUUAAAUAGAUUUAGCACAACAGACGGAAAUAAAAUAAUAACUAACUGUCACCAUCAAAUUGUCAUUAGUUAAGAACUUUGACUUUGCACUUUUGUACAUAAUCCACACUACAAACUAGACGUUUCUUGGGUCAAAUUAAGACCGAACCAAAAAUUUAGCUGGUCAAAAUGUAAUUUUAAAAGCUUGAUAUUUUUCGCUCACACAAUUUCAGACUUGCAAAUUGUUGGCAGUGUUCUCUCCGAUUCCAACCAAAGACCACAGUUGCAACUAAAAUAGAAAGAAAAUUUUUUGUUUGUUUUACUAAACAUAUAUCGGUCUACAAUAGAACAGUAACUUCAAAAUUGGCAGUGACGGAACAGAAUUAAAAAUCCAGGUAUUGAGACAAAAUUUGCAUGAAAUGGAUAUUGUCAGUCAAUUGCUUGGUUGGGAACAAAAUUUCAUAUGGAUGUAGCAGGACAAUCUUCAAUAAUUUGAGCGGUUUUAUGUUGGUUGACAAGUGCAAUCAUAGAGACGAUUUAGUAAUUAAGCACAUACUAGGUGUCAUUUCAAACUGUCAAGAAACUUUGCUCGCCUUGCUCAAAUUAUAAUGUAUUAUUUUUGCCAACAAAUACGAAGCAAAAUUUGUUAAGUUGCAAUUUUUAGGUUCAGACUUCAAGGAUGGUAAUCAAAAGUAUAAUUAACUUUGGCUAGAGAUAGCAAAUCUUGAGUGCCAAAUACAAUACAAUACAAAAUAUGUUGAGGUAAAAUUUGUAGAUCCGACCUUCAAGAAUGGCAUUAAAAUGAUUAAUUUUUGGCUAGAGAUGUUAUCUUGAACUUCCUUUUAUACACUAAUAAAGGGCACACCCCCUUUUUUUUGCCACUUUUUAUUAAUUAUACUCUUCACAUGCAAAGUAUUCAUAAAUUAUGGUAGUAUUGAGUUAGUUUUUUCUUGAUUUUGGCACAUGAAGACGCUGUUAUAUGGGUAGUAAUAUUGUAUGCAUGAUAAUAAGACCAGCGAAAGGAAUAAGCACAUGAUAAAAUGGGGUAUAGUUGAUUGCUACAUUAGAAUAGUAGAGAAAGUAAUUAAAUGGGGUAUUUUAGGGUGUGCGAAAGUAAAUGAUAAGCACACGGUAAAUUUAGAGAGAAUCACAGUCAACAAAGUUUGUAUCAUGAAUAUAUGGAAUUAUUGUCAUAUAGUUUACACGUACCACUCUUCAUAUGCUUACGUUCACCAAAGCUUUUAGCUAUGAUUUUGGCCUAUUAUUUCUAAAUGCAUUUUGGUCUAGCAGUUGUUCAUCUAAAUGACUUAAAGAUUCUUUAGUUUACCAAAAAUAAUAUUGUGGAUAUUACUUGCUUAGAUGCUAAAUUAAGUUAUGAAUUGAGCACAACCAAAAUUUACACACAAGACAGUUUAGACGGUUAAAAGUUAGAGGCUUUUUUUUUUUGUAUUCUAAAUUUUCUUUUCCCUUCUUUUCUUCCUCCUCCAUUGGAGAUGGCUUUUUAUUGUUUGUUGGAUGGAUUUGGUUUUUGGUCUAAUCUCACCAAACAAAUCAAACACAAGCAACUUAGUCUCCUUUGCACUAUGGACACUUGAUCGUUCUCUUUGAUAUUGUUUGAGUUGCCUUUUCAGCUAUUUGAUUAAUUUGUUUAUUUACUUUAAGUCAUUAAUUAUUGGUUUUCAAUUUUAGGGUUUUUUGUUUUUCAAUUUGUUUGCUUGCCCUUAAUGAUGGAUUUUAAUUAUUUUAUUAUGCUAUUUUAGUUACAAAUAACUUUUGUAACGGUUAACAUGAUUGAUAUUCAUUCAUUUAUCAUUAUUGGAAUGCAUUACCAUUGUUCAGCGGAGGAUAAUUUAAGUAUUUAAAAAAAAGGUAUGACAAAAUUCUACUUACACUUCUAGACUCACAAUACCUUUAUAAAGAGUAUAGAUGGAUAGGUGUAAGGAUUCGAAAACCCCAUUUUAACUAUAGGUGUGGGGAUCCUAUUGCCCGAUUUACAGCUUAAGGGAAUUUGAAAUCUCUUCUUGGUAGCUAACUUACCAAAUGCAAAUUGGUUUGUGAAAUUUGUAUAUCGCAAGAUAGAGACUCGAGAAGCCAAGAUGUUGCCCUACCAGCGCCAGAUCCAAACUAGGUGUCUAAUUGGCCUCUACACUCGCAAGAUAGUUAGAUAGAGUGUAGAGGCACCGCCCGGAUCCAUUUCCCACCAUUAUCAAUCAUCAACCGAAUUCUUUAAGAAAAAAAAAUUGCCUAUAAUAGACGCCUUGAACAUCACCAUCCCUGUUCUCAUAAAAUAAAACCUUAAAAAAAAUUGAAUACAUGCCUCCAAGUCUUUCAAUCAUCAUUAUCCCUGUUCUCAUAUUGUGUUUGUCAACAUAUCAUCAACAGAUAAAUCGUUGUCAUGGUGCUACUAUCUUUACCUCUCUGGACAUAUGUAUCUUUUCGCAUUAUUAUUUCACAUCCGAACUGUCUUGUAUAGUAUACAUACCUUGAAUAUGCAAUUAUUACCCAAGCCAUCUGCUGUUUGGUAAGAGGGGAUUGGAAUUAGAAAUUGAAAAAAAAAUCCAAUAUAAGUUGUUUGGGCUACAGGUAUUGGAUUCAAAAUUUUGGAAUGAAUUACUAAAAUUUGGGAGUUCUUAGUUCCUAAUAAAUUGGGAAGCUUUGGUGGAUUCCCAAAUUUAAUCCAUGUGCAUGAUUUAAAAAUUAAUAUUUUGCACUUUCCACACCCUUUCCCUCACGUCAUUCUCUCUCCCUCCAUCUUUUCUUCCCUUGGUCCCUCGCAGCUUUCUCCCAUGUCCAUGACUCAUCUUUCUUCUUCCUUCUCUCUCUUUCCCUCGUACCUCAAUGGUGACCCCUCUAUUUUCCCUUCCCUCUUUCCAUAGUAGUCCUUCUCUCUCCCAUUCCACCUUUCUCCCCCUCUAUAUAGUCCAUUUUUUUCCUUCCAUAACAGGCAGCAAACACUUUGACUCCUCUUCCUUUAACUGACUCAACUUGGUUUUUUUUUAUGGGUCAAGUGUAUUAUUUCGAUGAAUUAAUCUCAAAUCUGUAUAUUUCUAAUUCCAUUGAGUUUGGAAGGAAAAAAUUUUUCUUUCCAUCACAUUCUUUUCAUUCUAACAAGAGAUUUGGUGACGGAGGUUUGCUGGGUAGUGUUUUAGUAAGAGAUAUGGUGGUGGGGUGAGUACGAAAGAGUUAGACAUAGAAGAAAAAGAUGAUGAAUUGAUGAAAAGGGGAAAAAGAGGACAAAAUAUAGGUAAAAAAUGAUAUUAAAUUAUGAUACCUAUUCCUUACAGAUAUUUGCCAAACACUAGUUAUUUGAAUGACAUCCUCACGAAGAACUCGUACCAAUUUUUUAGAAAUGAUUCCAAUUACAAUUCGGAUUCCUUAGCUUGAACCAAAUGCCUACUAAAUCUGUAAUUUUAGAACUCAAUAUCAAAAUAGCCAUGAAAAAUAUUUACUACUACUUGCUUCUUGGAUACUUUUUGUCAAGUUACCUGUCAGCUUGCUCAGCCAGGGCCACCACUACCAACAUCACCACAGAUCAAUCAGCCCUUCUUUCUUUGAGGGCUCAAAUCACUUCAGACCCUCAUCAAUUCUUAGAAAACUGGUCUCCUACAUCCUCAGUUUGUGAAUGGGUAGGAUUCGUUUGCCGAUCUCGUCAUCGUAGGGUAACUGCCUUCAACAUUGCCAACAUGAGUCUUACUGGCACCAUUCCUCCACAACUAGGAAAUCAAUCCUUUCUUGUUUACCUCAACAUGAGUCGAAACAAUUUCCAUGGAGAACUGCCCCAUGAGUUAUCUCAACUGUGCCGAUUACAAGUUCUUGACUUUGGAGUCAAUGAUCUUGGUGGAGAGCUUCCUUCCUCCAUUGGUUCCUUGCAUAAACUCCAAUGCCUGUCCCUCAGAAAUAAUAGCUUUACAGGUUCUAUCCCACCUGGUAUCUCUAACAUGUCAAACUUGGAGAUGUUAUGGUUGUUGUAUAAUUCUCUUGAAGGGACAAUACCAAAGGAGAUUGGAAAUCUACCAAACCUGAAGAACUUGUACAUGUUCUAUAAUCAACUUUCUGGUCCUAUGCCUGCUGAGAUCUUCAACAUUUCCUCUUUGGAAAGGGUUAUUGUUUCAAGUAAUAGACUAACCGGCGGAGCUUCCGAUUGAGAUUUGUCGCCAACUUCAGAAGCUGACAUGGCUUGAUCUAUCAGACGACAGGCUAAGUGGUGGAAAACCAUCAAUAUUGUCUCAAUGUUCAAAGCUUCAAGUACUCAGAUUGUCUAUCAACAACUUCACUGCAUCCAUACCCAAGGAAAUUGGUAGCUUGACGGAGCUUGAGGAACUAUAUUUGGACAAUAACAACUUAACAGGUAGGAUUCGUUCACAUGCUUGCGCAAAUCAAAUUUUGAAGAUGACAAUUUUCUUUUAAAGAUUUGUCUACGAGGGUACAACAAUUUAUAUGUAUAAUUCCAAUGAAAAAGCAAGCACACUAAUAUUUCCAGUUUUCCACCAUGCUUAGAAUAAUCCUACUUAGAUUUAAAUUUCCAAAGCUAUAGACUUUCUAAUAUAGAGAAUUCGUUAUCUUUAAGUAGUGACUUUAAACUUGUUAGGGGUGGCAAUUUCCGACACGACCUGAAAACACAACACGAAUCUAACACGAAAUUAAUGGGUUUGGGUUGAGGUUUCGGGAGUUCGGGUCGAACCCGAAAAGAAAACAGAUCGAUUUCGGAUCAACACGUGGGUGACCCGAUAUGACCCGUUUACGAAUUAAAAAUUAUUUAAUAAACAUAAAAAUUAUUUUAUCUAACUAAGCUAAGUUAUUCUUUUUUGUCAAAGGCAUUAAUUACUUAAUCCUAAAUGAAUUUAUUUAACUUGUGUAAAGUUAAAAUUAUUAUAUUUGGACAAAUAAUAUAUUAUAUUAUUUUUUAAUUUUAUACUGUUUUAAUUUAUUUUAAAUUUGGUUUUGGGAUAAAACACUUUUACGGUGUUUAAUUUAUUUUGGAUUUAGUUUGGAAUUAUUUAUUUAAAUUUUUAUUACUUGAUUAUGUAAUUAGUUUUGUGAGAAAUUAAUUUUAUUAGAAAUUACAGUACUAAAUUAAUAAAUUAAAAUUAAGUUUCGGGUCAUUUCGGGUUCACCCGCCAACCUGCCAACCCGAAAUUUUCGGGUUCAUGUCAGGUAUCUUGACCCGUUUUGGGUUGGCGGGUCAGCGGGUUUUCUGUUAUACUUGGGUCUCAAUCCGACCCGUCAACUCGAAUUCGACCCGAUUGCCACCCCUAAAACUUGCUACUUGAGAUGCCCAAUCUCUGCCCUUUGAAAUUUUUUCAUAAAAAUAAUUAAGUGGGAUUUUGUUCAUUAUAUUAUAUUCCAUUUUAAAGUUGGACUUCCUCGGUGAAUUUUACUCAAAAAAAUUAUACUCUAAACGAUAUAGGACUAAUACAAUACAUACAGAUCAAAAAUAAAUAACCCACCUCCUGAUUUUUAGGAGUUCCUAUGUCUAAGCAUAUCAUGUUUUUAAAAUCGAUUAGUGUAAGUGAACUCUUUUACUUAAACGCCUCUCAUGAGACACUUAAAUUUCUAUUGCAUAUUUUAUGUCUAUUCACUUCAUUUUUAUGGGUUUCUGAUGGCAUCAGUAGAUGCAAAAGGAGAGAUGAGUUUCCUUCUUUAGGAAAAGAAGAAUUUACUUGAAAAUUUGGAACUAAAAUAUGUGCCUGUGGUUGGCAUUUCAUAAAACUAUUAAAGUUAUGUGUCCUUUCCAAUCGCAUUUGUAGUUUAAUAAACCUGUCAUAUGUUUCCUUUUCAUUUGCUGAGGACCAUUUCACUCCAAAGAUUUAACAAACAUAUUAUAGAGAGGCAACUUCCAAAUUGCUAAUUAAUGCAAAAAAUCUGUAGUUUUGGACAUGUUGGAUUAGUUUGGUAAUAUGAAAAGAAAUGAUAUUAUAUUGGUAAUUCAAUAAACACAUGCAAGAGCUUGGGCGGUCACAUUAAUAAACAUGUGCUAGGCUUAGGGUAUUCUUGGCUGGCAACAUGCUUUGAAAAGCAUGCGGCGGCCGCCCUCUCAAUGUUCACAAUAGGUCAUUGACAACAUAAAGUCAUACCUACCUACGUUCCAAAUCAAAAUAACUUUGUCCAAAUUUUCACUUGAAAAAUAAGGUUUAGUAUAAAAAAAAUGAGCCAAUUACUUAGAACACAAUUCAAAAGUUACGACACAAUCUAUUGCAAAAAUUUGUUAACAAUUAAUGUUAAAUUCUUAAUCUAUCGAUGGCAAAAAUUCUUGUUACGAUCAUUUGCCUUAGAUUUUGUUACGUAACUUAGUGUUUUGUGUGUGUGUGUGUUUUUUUUCUAUAACUAAUAACUUAAGAUAGCAAAGUGUUAGAUUUGAAGCUUUGGAAACUAAAAUGAGGUUAUUAAGUAAUCAUUAAUUGUUAUCGUUAGGAAAAAAAAAAGUAAUCAUUAGAGUUGACUCAAUAAUCAAGAAAGGGUUCUUAGAAUUUUUUUCGCUGUCAGAUUCAGAAUUCGAAUCAUAAUUUUAACAGUUGAAGAUAGAAAGGAUAAGAGAAAAGGUGUAUGAUAAAAGGAAAACAAAAAAAAAAGUAUUCAAAUAUAUACUCCCGUCCCACAAAAUUCAUCACUUUUUAAAAAAACCAACUUAAUGUGAAUAGUCUCUAAGAUUGAUAGCUGUAUGCUUGAACUCCCCUUUUGGACCUCGUUUUUCAGUUUGAGUUAACCUUGGAUGUCCUUAAAACAAAAACAAAAAAAAUAAAAAUAAAAAUUGGGAUGGUGGUACCUUAUAUAGUCAUGUGGGACUCACCACCUGAAAUGACACAACACUUUGUUGUUGUUCGAACGCCACGCUGCUCCUUUGGCCGGGCGUAUGUCACAUGCACGAGAUUACACAAGUCAAAGUGGUUUAUGGGCCUUUAUACAAAAUUGUCAUUGACUUCUCAUGUAAUGGUAUUCAAUGGAAAUGCAUGAAAUUCUUUUUACUAGUUUAGGUAAAUGAAAAAAGUUUUGGGACAUUAUAGCAUGAUACUUUCAGUAGGAUAGAAGAAGUAUUAAAAGUUAAAUAAAGAAAGGUUAAACUACGAUUAGGUGAUCAAACUUGUACUAUGUCUUUUCUUUGAUAAAGGGGUGGCACCAAUUAGUUUUUUGAAAAAUGCAAGCUAUUUUCCUUCUUGUUUGCUAAUAAAUAUUCAAAGCCACAUGUUGGUUGAAGAUUGCCGAAACUUAUGACUUUUGUGUCCCAAAAUUAUGACUUGAAAAUUCAACCAUCAUGGCUUGAUUGUGUUGACCAAAAUAAUGGCUCCAUACCGUGUACAAUUGUAUUUUGUAUCUAGCUAGAUACAAACAAAAGUCAUAAGUUUCGACAAUCUUCAACACGGUAAGGAGCCAUAAUUGUUGAAUCUUCAACACCAUCCAACUUUAUAUUUUGCUAGAGACUAAUCAGUACUACUUUUUUUUCUGUCAAAGAUAAGCAAUUAAAUUAGAUUAGAACGCUCAUAGAGUUAACGAAAAGACUGGCCUAAGCAAUCUAAGAAGACCCACCAAACUAAUCAGUACUACUAGUUACCAACUUUUUAUAUUAAAAAUUUUAAAACCACCAUUGACAGUGAAUCGAGAACCUCUAGAAUUAACAGUGAUAAUUGCAUUAUGCAACAUAAACAUUAGGAGAUUAGAUGAAGUUGAUAAAAUAAUAAGUGUAGAAAGUAACACAAUAAACUUUUUUUCCUGAAAUUUGUGUACUAAAAUUAUAUUAGUAUUUAUAUUUGUUAUUUUAGAAUUUAUAUUUGUCUUUUUUGUGUCUGCAUUACACGGUGCAUUUGUCACUAACAAUUAUAGAGGAGUAUGAUUUGAAGACAUUAGCCUUUUCCGUUAAAUGUUUUAGGAUCCUACAAUUGACAAUUAAAAUGUAAGAGCUAUUUAUUCAACUAAGCAACUGACAGACAAGUCUUUCGAACGAAGAUAAAGGAUUAUUUAGUUACUUGCCCCAUUGUUUUUUUUUUCAUCUUUUCAAUUCAAAGACAUCGAUUUACCUGCAAUAUUUUUAAUUGGAAAUAUGGAAAGUUAAGUGAUUCUGAUCUUAUAAAAAAUUCUCAACCAUCAAUUCUCCUAAACUUAUAGUUAUUCUAUUUUUCUUAUCCCUAAAAUUUGAAUUUAUCCAUCCUAAUUUUUUUACACUUACACUGUUUUCUAGUAUCCAAGCGAUAAAGAGUAAUAUAUUGAAUAUUCAUAUGUAUAUAUAACUCUCAAAAUUACAGUGCCUAUAAUACUCUCAAGUAUAUUUCGAAUAUCUCAAGCAAUGAAGGGUAACAUUUUAAAUAUUUGCAUGUAUGUGUAACUGUAAAAAAUACAUUGCCUAUGAUGCUACUAGGAUUUUAUUUAAUUUUAUUGCUAUACAUUUUCUAGAUGUAGAUUUAAGAGUUCAAGUGUAUUUUGCAGGUGUGAUUCCCCAAGAGGUGUAUUUAUAGCUUGGCUAUAACCAGUCGAUUGGUGAGAUCCUUUUCUUUUGUACACGUCUAAUUUUCCUUUGCACAUUUCAUAUUUUCAUCACUCUAUUUAUUGUCACUUGGGACCUCAAAUUUUUGAUUUUACCACUUCACAUUUUAAAGUUAUAAACUCAGCCCAAUUCACCCCAAUCCAGCAACUUGUCCAAGAAACUAGGCAAACGAUAUGUUGAUUCCAUUAUAAAAAUGUGAGAGCACUGUGCUUUAGUCUACUUACGUUAGCAACCUGAGCAGUUUGGGCGAUUUGAAGGUUUCAUAAUUGAAGUGCGGAAAUAUAUGCAACUAAUUAACAGUUAAUCACAGAAGAAGAAGGUACUAAUUAAGCCAGGAUCACUAGCUAAUGCCAAUCUAAUAGAUUAGAAAAGAGCUGUAUGUUUUGUACAAUGGAGGUGUAAAGUCAGAAUUAGCCUAAUCAUCAUGUUGCAAAAUCGAUUUAGUCCUUGUAAAAAGGCAAACUAGUCUCAAAAAGAACGCUAUAUAAUUGAUUGAACAUGUUUAAACCUGCUUAUUCUGCAGGUACAAUACCACAACAGCUUGGCAAUCUGCAGAAUCUAGAAGGGCUAAGUCUGACGUUCAAUAAGCUUGCAGGAUCCAUACCUGUUCAACUGUUCAACAUCUCAACGCUGCAAAUAUUGUUACUUCCGGGCAAUAAUCUUUCUGGAAAUCUUCCAUCAACAGUGGGUUCUGGAUUAAUCAAUCUGGAAAAGCUUUAUCUCGAUGGGAAUGACUUUGAAGGAGUGAUACCGGCCUCGAUAUCAAAUGCAUCCAACCUAGUAUGUUUAAGCUUGGCUGCCAACAGAUUCAGUGGUCCAAUUCCUAAUUCUCUUGGGGAUCUAAGACUUCUAAGAGAACUUAGUCUCUUCCAAAACAAUUUCACAAAUGAUCCUUCGUCACCAGAGUUGAGCUUUAUUAGUUACUUGACAAAUUGCAAGAACCUAACAAUCUUAAUAUUCGGUGACAAAUUGACAAUCCGUUGCACGGCAUUCUUCCGACAUCUGUUGGAAACCUUUCUACUUCACUUGAAGAACUUUACGGAUAUCAUUGUAUUAUCAAGGGAAACAUUCCUGAAGCUAUUGGUAAUCUGUGCAAUUUAUGGGUUUUAAGUCUAUUUGGAAAUCAACUGAGUGGACCUAUUCCGGCCUCAGUGAAAGACCUGCAGAAACUUCAAGUUCUAGAUUUGAAUGAUAACUAACUUGGUGGAUAUCUGCCAGACACUCUUUGUGGCUUAAACAGCUUAUAUGGUAUGAAUCUAGGCCAAAAUUGAAUCCAAGGAUCGAUCCCCUCAUGCUUAAGUAGCAUUACAACUUUGAGGGAGAUUAGAUUUGGUGGAAACUUAUUAAACUCUACCAUACCAGCAAGCUUGUGGAGCCUCAACUAUCUCUUGCAUUUGUAUCUGUCCUCUAAUUCCUUGAGCGGCUCACUACCUCGAGAAAUUGAAAACUUGAAGGUAGUGGUGAAUUUAGAUUUGUCAGUAAAUCACAUUUCUAGAAGUAUUCCAAGCUCAAUGGGGGGUUUGCAAAGUUUAUCUGGACUUUCUCUGGCACAAAAUAGACUUGAAGGAUCUAUUCGAGACUCACUGUGGUCUGUAUUAUAUAGGCUUGGAAUUGCUGGACCUAUUUAGUAACAAUCUCUCCGGUUCAAUCCCAAAAUCCUUGGAAAAACUUGCACACCUGAAUUCCCUUAAUCUUUCUUUCAACAAUUUAACAGGUGAGAUUCCUUCUGUUGCUCCUUUGAAGAACUUCACAAGUCAAUCUUUCAUAUCUAAUUGUUGAGCCGCAAGGUUUGACUUUGGUGGUAAAAUUUUUCAUCCCACGUCGAAGACCAGCAAUGGAAGCCUUCCCUCUUGAUACCUAUAAAUAAGGCUUCCUAUGAAGGAAUCAAUUGCACCACUCAAGAGAGCAUUAUAUAGGCUAUUAGUUUCUUGGGUCAUCUAUCCCAUUUAGUCAAAUAUUUUAGGCUCUCUUGUUUUGAGUUUAGGAAUAUUUUCCAAACUCUUUUAUAAGUGCCAUUUUGGCCUAGGAACCACUUUCCUACGGCUUUUGUAUUUCUUCUUCAUAGUAGAAAUAUUGCUCCUCCUCCGCCCGUGAACGUAGGUCAAUUUGAUCGAAUCACGUAAAUUUUUGUGUCUUUUAUUUGUUUUGUUAUUUGUCUUUAUUGGGUUGCCACAACCCUUUUUAUAUGGUCGGUUUUACCGCCUAAUUAUUAUAUGGCUGGUGUUUACCGCCUAACCAUUAUAUGGUCGGUUAUACCGCCUAUUUUGUUCUAAUUUUAAUUUGUUUAUUCCUAGAUCAGUCCUAACAAGUUGGUAUCAGAGUUAGUUGAUAUAUUUUGCAAGACAGGUUCAUUUGGUGGGGCCCGUUCAUCCGGUGGGGUCCGUUUUACUUGGGCCCGCUCACCUUGUGGGGCCGGUUCAUCCGAUUGGGCCCGCUUAUCUCGUGGGGCCCACUCACCCUGUGGGACCCGCUUAUCUCGUGGGGCCCGCUCACCCUGUGGGACCCGCUCACGAGACUUGCAUAUCUGUUUGACUAGUUUUUUUGAGACAAGUUUCAUGUUAUAGAUUUUGUGGCAACAAUAACGAUAACAGAAACGGUUAUCGAAUAAUUCGACAGGAAUGUCAACUUCGGCAUGUGGCAGCUCAAGAUGAAGGCCAUUCUUGUUCAAGACGGAGUUGAUUUGGCAAUUCAAGGAAUUGAGAAAAAGCCAGAAGAUGUAAAGGAUGCAGAUUUCGCCGAUAUGAAUAAGAAGGCUAGAUCCAGCAUAAUUUUGAAUCUCUCCGAUGAAGUUUUACGGGAGGUAGCAAUGGAGACUUCUGCCAAGGCUAUGUGGGAUAAAUUGAAAGUCUUGUAUAUGAAGAAGACAGUCGAGAAUCGGCUAUAUUUGAAGCAGAGUUUGUAUAUGUUUCGGAUGUCUGAAGGUACAUCUAUACUCUCCCAUCUUUGAUAAAUUUGAUUCUAUUAUUAUGGAUUUGGAGAAUAUUGAUUCGAAAAUUGAUGAUGAAGAUCAGACCAGACAUAAAAAUGUGGUGUGCAACUAUUGUAAAAAGAAGGGUCAUGUUAUCUCUGAUUGCUUUAAAUUGAAAAAUAAAGAAAAGCAAAAGGAGAAAAAGAGUGAGACCACCGAGGCUAGUAUUGCAGUUGAUGAGAAUGACUGAGCCAUUUUCUGUGCAACGAAAAAUAAUUUUAGGUCUAACAAUGAGUGGAUUAUAGAUUCGGGUUGUUCAUAUCAUAUGUGUCUCAAUAGGGAUUGGUUUUCAACUUAUGAAUCAACUGAAGGUGAAGUUGUCUUAAUGGGUAACAACGCCGUUUGUAAAGUUAUUGGCAAAGGCACAAUCCGGAUUAAAAUAUACGAUGGUAUUGUGAGGACGCACACAAAUGUUAGACAUGUUCUAGAUUUGAAGAAAAAUCUCAUCUCUUUGAGCACUCUUGAGUCUAUUGGGUGCAGGUAUUCUGGUGGAGGUGGAGUUCUCAAAAUCAAUCGAAGUGCUCUUGUUGUUAUGAAGGCACACAAAUCUGGUACUUUAUAUAUUUUGCAGGGAUAUACUGUUAUAAGUGCUGCUGCUGUUUCAACAUCAUCUUUAUCAGAUACAGACAUUACCAGAUUAUGGCAUAUGCGUUUAGGGCACAUGAGCGAAAAAGGCUUGGGUAUACUGAGCAAAAGAGAACUUCUUUGUGGACAAAAUACCGGACCAUUGGAAUUCUGUGAACAUUGUAUUUUUGAGGAGCAGAAAAGAGUCAGCUUCAGUUCACCAGCAAUUCACAAGACAAAAGGUACUCUUGAUUACAUUCAUUCAGAUCUAUGGGGUCCUUCUCGUGCUCCUUCUAAAGGUAGAGCCAGGUACAGGUUGACUUUCAUUGAUGAUUAUUCAAGGAAAGUUUGGGUCUAUUUUCUUAAGUAUAAAAAUGAUGUUUUCCUAACUUUUAACCAAUGGAAAGUUUUGAUUGAGAAACAAACAGGAAAACUUAUUAAGCGGUUGAGAACAGAUAAUGGCAUGAAAUUUUGUAAAGGUGAAUUUGAUAGAUUCUACAAAAAUGAAGAAAUUGUUCGGCAUCGCACUGUUAGAAUGACGCCUCAACAAAAUGGUGUAACCAAACAUAUGAACAGAACGCUUUUGGAGAGAGCAAAAUGUAUGAUCUCCAAUGCAGGAUUGACAAACGAUUUUUGGGCAGAGGCAAUCAAUAUGGCCUGUUAUAUUGUCAACCAUUCUCCUUCUGCAUCUCUUGAUUUAAAAACUCCUGAGGAAGUUUGGUCAGGUAUUCCUGCUGAUUACUCCAAUUUAAAAGUUUUUGGGUGUCCAAUAUACAUGCAUGUGAAUAAUGAAAAAUUGGAGUUUAGGGUUAAAAAGUGCAUUUUUCUUGGGUAUGCUUUUGGGGUGAAAUGAUACAGAUUAUGGUGUUCUGAUCCCAAAUCUCCAAAAUUUGUAAUCAGUAGAGAUGUUACUUUUGAUGAAUUGUCUAUGUUAUCUUCCAAAAAGGAGUCUUCUAGUCCUUGUACUACUGAUAGUACACAGAAGCAGGUGGAGCUUGAUAUUGGCAGUUCUGGUCCUUCUCAGACAAAAUUUUCUUUUCAUCAAAUGCCAGUAGAUGCACCUGAAUCUACUGUUGAAGAUAAUUCAGAUGAAAAGGAGUAUUCCAUAACCAGAGAUAGACCAAGGAGAGACAUUCGACCACCACAAAGAUAUGCAAAUUUAGUUGCAUAUGCUUUGUCUGUUGCAGAAAAAAUUGAUGCAGUUGGUGAGCCUUCCACCUAUUCAGAGCCUUUCACCUAUUCAGAGCAAGAAACUGCUUCUGAAUAGGUGGAAGAAUCACCAACUGCAUCAGUUUCUUCUGCAACAGACAAAGUAUAUGCAACUAAAUUUGCAUAUCUUUGUGGUGGUCGAAUGUCUCUCCUUGAUCUAUCUCUGGCUAUGAAAUACUCCUCUUCAUCUGAACUAUCUUCAACAGUAGAUUCAAGUGCAUCUACUGGCAUUUGAUGAAAAGAAAAUUUGGUCUGAGAAGGACCAGAACUGCCAAUAUCAAGCUCCAUCUGCUUCUGUGUACUAUCAGUAGUACAAGGACUAGAAAACUCCUUCUUGGAAGAUAAUAUAGACAAUUCAUCAAAAGUAACAUCUCUACUGAUUACAAAUUUUGAAGAUUUGGGAUCAGGACACCAUAAUCUGUAUCUUUUCACCCCAGAAGCAUACCCAAGAAAAAUGCACCUUUUAACCCUAAACUCCAAUUUUUCAUCAUUCACAUGCAUGUAUGCUGGACACCCAAAAACUUUUAAAUUGGAGUAAUCAGCAGGAAUACCUGACCAAACUUCCUCAGGAGUUUUGAAAUCAAGAGAUGCAGAAGGAGAAUGGUUAACAAUAUAACAGGCCAUAUUGAUUGCCUCUGCCCAAAAGUCGUUUGUCAAUCUUGCAUUGGAGAUCAUACAUUUUGCUCUCUCCAAAAGCGUUAUGUUCAUACGUUCGGUCAUACCAUUUUAUUGAGACGUCAUUCUGACAGUGCGAUGCCAAAUAAUUCCUUCAUUUUUGCAGAAUCUAUCAAAUUCACCUUCACAAAAUUUCAUGUCAUUAUCUGUUCUCAACCGCUUAAUAUGUUUUCCUGUUUGUUUUUCAAUCAAAACUUUUCAUUGCUUGAAAGUUAGGAAAACAUCAUUUUUAUGCUUAAGAAAAUAGAUCCAAACUUUUCUUGAAUAAUUAUCAAUGAAAGUCAACAUGUACCUGGCACUACCUUUAGAAAGAGUACGAGAAUGACCCCAUAGAUCUGAAUGAAUGUAAUCAAGAGUACCUUUUGUCUUGUGAAUUGUUGAUGAAGUGAAACUGACUCUUUUCUGCUUCCUAAAAAUACAAUGUUCACAGAAUUCCAAUGGCUCGGUACUUUGUCCACAAAAAAGUCCUCUUUUGCUCAGUAUGCCCAAGCCUUUUUCGCUCAUAUGCCCCAAACGCAUAUGCCAUAAUCUGGUGAUGUCUGUAUCUGAUAAAGAUGAUGUUGAAACAGCAACAACACCUGUAACAGUAGAUCCCUGUAAAAUAUAUAAAGUAACAGAUCUGUGUGCCUUCAUAACAACAAGAGUACUUCGAGUGAUUUUGAAAACUCCACCUCCACCAGAAUACCUGCACCUAAUAGACUCAAAAGUGCCCAAAGAGAUGAGAUUUUUCUUCUAAUCUGGAACAUGUCUAACAUCUGUGAGUGUUCUCACAAUACCAUCGUACAUUUUAAUCCAGAUUAUGCCUUUGCCAAUAACUUUACAAACGGCAUUGUUACCUAUUAAGACAACUCCACCUUCAGUUGAUUCAUAUGUUGAAAACCAGUCCCUAUUGGGACACAUAUGAUAUGAACAAUCUGAAUCUAUAAUCCACUCAUUGUUAGAUCUAAAAUUAUUUUUCGUUGCACAGAAAAUGGUUCAUCAUUCUCAUCAACUGCAAUACUAGCCUCGGUGGUCUCACUCUUUUUCUCCUUUUGCUCUUCUUUAUUUUUCAAUUUAAAGCAAUCAGAAAUAACAUGGCCACUCUUUUUACAAUAGUUGCAUACCACAUUUUUAUGUCUGAAUUUGGAUCUACUUCUACUUUCUGUAUUUCUCUUUUCAGAUCUACCCCUAACAAACAAGCCAUCGGCUUGACUCCUACUAGUUUUUUCAGUAAUAUCCCUAUCUAUCUGCUCUUUAGAUUUUAAUACAGAUUUAAUUUUCCGAUACGAAAUUGUUUCCUUUCCAUAAAUCAUAGUAUUACGGAAAUACUUAAAGGAUUGGGGAAGGGAAUAUAAAAGUAAUAGGGCCUGAUCUUCAUCAUCAAUUUUCGAAUCUAUAUUCUUCAAAUCCAUAAUAAUUGAAUCAAAUUUAUCAAGAUGGGAGAGUAUAGAUGUACCUUCAGACAUCCGAAGCAUAUACAAACUCUGCUUCAAAUAUAGCCGAUUCUCGACUGUCUUCUUCAUAUACAAGACUUUCAAUUUAUCCCACAUAGCCUUGACAGAAGUUUCCGUUGCUACAUCUCGUAAAACUUCGAGAUUCAAAAUUAUGCUGGAUCUAGCGUUCUUAUCCAUAUCAGCGAAAUUUGCAUCCUUUACAUCUUCUGGCUUUUUCUCAAUUCCCUGAAUUGCAAAGUCAACUCCGUCUUGAACAAGAAUGACCUCUAUCUUGAGCUACCACAUGCCGAAGUUGACAUUCCUGUCGAAUUAUUCGAUAACCGUUUCUGUUAUCGUCAUUGUUGCCACAAAAUCUAUAACCUGAAGUUUGUCUCAAAAAAAUUGGUAUCAGAACUGGUUGAUAUAUUUUGCAAGACAGGUUCAUCUGGUGGGACCCGUUCAUCUGGUAGGGCCCGUUCAUCUUAUGGGGUCUGUUUAUCCUUGGGCCCGCUCACCUUGUGGGGCCCGUUCAUCCGGUGGGGCCCGCUUAUCUCAUGGGGCCCGCUCACCCUGUGGGACUCGUUCACGAGACUUGCAUAUAUGUUUGACUAGUUUUUUUGAGACAAGUUUCAGGUUAUAGAUUUUGUGGCAAUAAUGACGAUAACAAAAAUGGUAGUCGAGAAAUUCGGCAAGGUUAUGUCAAGGUCGAGAUUUGUUGAGCCGCAAGGUUUGACUUUGGUGGCAAAAUUUUUCAUCCCACAUUGAAGACCAGCAACGGAAGCCUUCCCUCUUAAUACCUAUAAAUAAAGGCUUCCUAUGAAGGAAUCAAUUGCACCACUCAAGAGAGUAUUAUAUGGGUUAUUAGUUUCUUGGGUCAUCUAACCCAUUUAGUCAAAUAUUUUAGACUCACUUGUUUUGAGUUUAGAAAUAUUUUCUAAAAUAUUUUGUAAGUGCCAUUUUGGCCUAGGAACCACUUUCCUAUGGUUUUUGUAUUUCUUGUUCAUAGUAGAAAUAUUGCUCCUCUUCUGUCCAUGGACGUAGGUCAAUUUGACCGAACCACGUAAAUUUCUGUGUCUUUUAUUUUGCUUUGUUAUUUAUCUUUAUUGGGUUGCCACAACCCUUUUAUAUGGUCGGUUUUACCGUCUAAUUAUUAUAUGACUGGUGUUUACCACCUAACCAUUAUAUGGUCGGUUAUACCGUCUAUUUUGUUCUAACUUUAGUUUGUUUAUUCCUGAGCCAGUCCUAACACUAAUCCUAUGCUGUGUGGUGCUCCAAGAUUUCUUGUCCCUCCAUGCACUACUUCUCCUUUUCACACAUCAAGUAGGAAGAAGAUAUUAUUAGUCAUAUGCAUGUUGUCAGGUACUUUUGUAACAAUGAUUGCUCCUACCUCAGCAAUUUUGUUUGUGCGAUAUAGAAGGAAGAAUGUGGUUCCAGCAACAAUUGAUUUAUCGCCCAAGAGGACACCAGAAAGAAUCUCGUAUUAUGAGCUGUUACAAGCAACAACGGUUAUGACGAAAGCAAAAUGGAGUGCUUGUGGCUGUGAAAGUGUUCAGUUUGCAUAUGGAGGAAACAUUUAAGAGUUUUGAUGCAGAAUGUGGAGUUUUAACAACAUUCGCCAUAGAAACCUAACCAAAGUGAUUGGUUGUUGCUCUAACCUCAACUUCAAAGCCUUAUUGCUUGAAUACAUCUCCAAUGGGAGCCUUAAGAAGUGGUUGUACUCCAACAACCAUUACUUAGAUUUAAUGCAAAGGUUAGAGGCCCUUAAUUCAACAUUGUAGAGUAUGGACUUGAAGGUCUAGUGUCAACAAGAAGUGACGUGUAUAGUUUUGGCAUAGUUUUGAUGGAAACAUUCACAAGAAUGAAGCCAGGUGAUGACGUGUUUUCCGAAGAUAUGAGCCUAAAGCGCUGCUGGAUUGAAGAUUCUCUGCCUGACACAACAUUUCAGGUCAUAGAUACCAACUUACUCGGGCCAGAAGAUGAGUAUUUCACGAAGAAGCUGGAGUGCAUUUCCUUGGUUUUUGAAUUGGCUUUGAACUGCUGCGCUGUAACUCCAAGAGAUAGGAUUAACAUGAUCGACGUCGUCACAUCACUGAAGAAGAUAAAACAUAACCUCAAAGAUUUUGCUAGGGAAACUUGAACAAAGAAAGUAUAUUCAAAUUGAUUUCAAGUACCCGUAGAACAUAAGCCACGAAUUCUACUACUCACAACUGAUGCUCGAAACAUCAUCUUUUGCAGGACGAUGCCAAAUUUUGAGAUAUAAGCUAGAGUAUUGUCUUAUCCUCUCAAUACACCAAUGAGUUUUUUCCAUGCCAUUGCCAGGUUAUAGUUAUGCAAAUGACUUCUUUGCUCAACAUAAAACUCAAUAAGCAUGCUGUAGCUUUCUUAGGUUAAUUCUUUUGCCUACAUUCGGUUGAAAAAACUCUAGAGCAUCAGCUUGUGAUGUUUUCUUUAACCUGAAAUUUAGCUAAAACUCGAUAAAGGAAGCUAGGAUUUUUUUUCCAAGUUUUCAGGUUGACGUUUCAAAAAAGGAAACAAAGCAACACAUCAUAUGCCGGAAAUGUUGAUGCUAAAUUGCAAAUAUAUCUCGUCGGCCUGUAAUGGACUUGCCAAAUUGUGAGAAUAGUUCAAAACUAAUGUCAUGUCAGAGUUUAAACUAUGGCAAAUAUUUCACCUGAAUAAAUUAUUGACUAUCAAUACCAUAUUAAAGCACAAAUAUGAUUUGGUGAUUUAGCGAUAUAAUUUUUUCUUUUCUAAAAUGUCCUUAGCAGUAAUAUUAAUGAUUUUAAUCAUUAAUUUUAGGGAUUAGAACGAAUCCCCUAUUGCUUUUUCUCUCAAAAUCUCUCAAAUUGCGAGAGGCAAGUACUAGAGUUUAGAACUGGCAACCAUGUUUGAUUAAAUAAUCCUCAAUUAGGAGAUAAAAUCUGAUGAUUAGAGGUGGAUCUCUAAGGAUGGAGAAAGCACAAAGCGUGCUGAUGACAUAGAGAAAAAUUGUAUUGAGAAUUUGAGGAGAGAGUUGUUUUGGCAUAGAUAGUUAAGUAAAUGCGUAUGACAACCUUGAUGUUUAUUCGGUAUGCUUCAAAUUUUACUAUUCUCAGUGAUUACAUUACCGGAAACUCUAUGUAUAUGUGCUGCUGCAUUAAAUUGCAUGUUGCUUAUUUGAGUUAAUUCUGCUGCCUGUUACUACAGUCUAAUUACAUCCAAAUUGUAAAUAAUGGUAUGCAUAUGAGGGUAAUGGUCAACACUGGAAAGGUGAAAUUAGGUGCAUCAGGGGCGGAGCCAAAAAAAAAUUUUAGUGGGGGCAAAAAUAACAUCAAAAUUUUUAUCUACUCUUUUUCUAAUUUUUUAAGCAAAAAAAUAAUAAAUUCACCAACAAGUACAAAUGGGGGAAGAAAGAAGAGCCGUCGGUUGUGAAGGGAAAAUGGGGACCAGAGGAGGAAAGGGAAUUGGGGAGUGGGGACCAAAAGAAAAGACUGAUAUAAUUGGUACUUGGCUCUGUUGGGGGAAAAAAUGGGAGACCAGGGGAGGAAAGUGAAUGAUAUAAAAUUUGUGACCUAUUUUUUCACAUUUGUUCUAAAAAAACUCUGGGGGCACCUUUACGAUUAUAUCAAAAUUGUAUAACUAUUAUACAAAUUUGAGGGGAGGCAGUGGGGGCCCAUGCCCCCAGUGCCCCCACCUUAAAUCCGCCCCUGAGGUGCAUGUCACUUGCCCGGCUCAGCUCAGUUCUUGGUUUUUAGCGUAUAAUUUACUGCACUACCUAGUUCCAUACGCGGUUCAAUUGUAGCGCAGGCCCUUGGAGUUUGUUAACUAACUAGGGGUCGAAUAGUAAGGUGAUGCUUUACAAUUUUUCUUGAGUAUCUAACGCUGGGAACUUGGUGGAUAGUAUUUCUUCUUGAGAGUGUAAAUGAAGUUAGGCCUAAAGGUUUCUUAUCUGUCUCUUAUUAUUUUCAUGAAAUUUCAAGAGAUUAAAUUGCUUGCAGGGAACCAGGGAUUCUAGCAUGAUGUUACCGAUUUGUGCUCAAGAACUACAUCUUGUUGAGUUAUGCUUAGAUACCAAAAGAAUAUGGUGAUUUGAGUCUGGAUUUCUGAACAGCUUACUAGUGGCAUUCGGAUUGCGUUGUGGAGCAGAAGUUUUAAUUUGGUUACAUAUCAAGUGUAGAAUCAUUUUAAUUGCAAUUUUUUUUUAAUUAUCAAGUAUUUAUAACAAAAUGUAUUUGUAACUCUUGUAAGAGUAAGAUGGGAAGUUAACACACUGAAUGCCCUUAAGGAAGUAAUAUACUCCCUCUGUCCUAAUAUUAGAGUCGUUUUUUGGGAAUCUAAUUUUUUAUGCAAACAUGGUAAUCAUUAUGUUUAGAAGAGAUGGCAUUAGUAAAUUGACAAAAGUGUUCUUUGAAUUCAAAAUAUUCUCUUAUAGAUGUGCAUUGGGAUUUUAAAAAGAAAAUUAAAAAGCUUGUGUUAAAUUUGAAAUAGUAACUCUUAUUUUAGGACAUUAAUAAAGUGAAAACAUGAUAAUAAUAAUAGGACGGAGGGAGUACUAGUUACUUCAUCAAUCUGGUGCAUCGUAUACCUUCAACAGGUUGAGUUUGCUGGAGUUGCAGGAUCAUCGCAUGAGACAAGUAGGGUCUAGAUCCAAUGGUACUGUCUUAUGUGGCAUGAUUUGGACUGUGAUUUUAAAUUUAAAUUAAAAAGAAAAAAAAAUUGCAAAAUUUGAUAUGCAACUGGUUCUGGUUCCCUAUUUGCCUGGUAAAGUUGCAGCUGACUGCACCAGCAGCUAUUUAUUAUUAACUUCUGGGAACAGUUAAUUACAUUGACCUCUAAAAGGGUUUAUUAUGACUAAUGAACACAUCCCUAGAUUUUAGAAAGUAAAAAGACCUCCCUAUUUAUUGGGAUUUGUUUGAUUUUGGAGCUUGAAGCAUGAACUAUCACUAGUUUAACCACUAGUCGUGAGGACUAGUGGCCAGGGAGUUAAAUUCCCGCCUGGUAGAUCAGAGUUCAAUUUUUGACUAACAAGUUUAUGACGGGGAGGGAAUAAAGGAGUGGGGGAGGUGAAAAAAAAAAACAACUAUCACUCGUUUGCAAUAGGGAUUGUGUUGUGUAGAGUAAACUCAUUCCCACAAGUCAGAGAUUUUAAUAAACAGAGAAAAACAAGUGAAACUAUUUGGUAAGACCUGUGUAUAGCACACAUAAAAACAUGUACAUUAGUAAUUGAAUAUUGAAAUUUUGGACCAAUCUUGGUCCUGAACCAUCAUGUGUAUUUUGCAAAUUUUCUGACUAUUCCCCAUCUUUAUUUACAGUACUAAAAAAAAAAGAAAAAACAAGGCUAGAGGAACAUUUUUACAAACUUGGGGAUCUUGCUAAGAUCAUGACAAAAACUCAGGCGAAUUUACUAUGAUAACAUUAUCUUUUUCAGUUUUGAAGGAUUAUGAGAUCAUCUAUUAAAGAUAAGUCUGAAUUUGCGCCCACUUCAUGGGAAAUGGUCAAUCUCUACCAACUUUCUAGAAUAGUGGCAGUUUCAAAGGUCAAAGGAAAAGACGGACUGUUUUGCAGUACAAUAAUACCCAAAUCUCAAGUAAAUGAGACUGAUAUAGUACAAUGGAGGGCAUUCAGACAAAAGAGGAGUACAUGGCUGUACUAAACCAAACCCUGAAUUCUUUUGGUCUAUGUUAUAACAGGAGCAAGGCAGUACCAAACAUUGGCUCCUACAUGUAUCACAUCAGGCAUCAUGGUUGUUAUCCUUGUGCUGUCAUGUCCAAAAAUGCUUCAAUCUUAGUCAUGUCUAUGCAUUCUUAAUUUCUUGUGUUAGAUAUAUGGUGUCAUGAGAAAGGAUAAAAUGUGGAAGGAUCCAACAGGGGGCAAUAUAAGAAUACAGUUGUCACGACAUUGCUAUUGUCAAGAAAAAUCUCUAAUUUGUGUCCCAUAUGCUCUCAGGUCAGCCCCUGCAGGAUCUGUGUUCAUUAGGGAAGAUUUUGCAAGAAUAUUCUCAAGUGUUGGAUGAGUGGUAAACUUCAAGUUUACCGCACCACUGCUUGAUUUUUUUCAGUCGUACUACAAAAUGUAUAAAUUCUCAAGAAACAAUUUUAGAAACUUUCCUUGAAGUUUCUGACUGACUAUUUUACUGACGUUCCUAUAAAUUUCAUUGAUCUCCCCGUUACAAUCUUGAGGCCCAAUGCUUAUAUCAUUUAUAGUGAAAGGAUUUUACUAGCCUCACAACUUUUCAAAAUAUUAUGCAAUUAUGCUAAGAUGAUCAAUUAAAUUGUCCUUAAACAUUAUUAAAUGAAUUUAACCAUAAUUAUGAAACAUAGAAUUUUUUGACAUACAACCAAAAAAGGCACCAAUUGUAGGCACCCUUUUCUGAUUGACAAACCCGACAACUUGUGUGAAUGUUUUCACUCUACAAAAUAUUGAUUAUUGCCUUGCAAUUAUGUUUGUAAAAUCUAUUCUUGAUGCUAAAUGUUGUUGGUGAAUUCCAUGAUUCGCCUUUAAGGCUUGAAGAGGCCAUAAUUUUUCUUUCCAAUUCUUGAACUUACUCUCGCAAAUUCCAGCACUACUUAAUUGACUACACCUCAAUUGUUGAAUGUUAACCAACGAAAUUUCCUGUCAAAUUCUAUGUUCCUGCUGUUACAUUCAAUCUCAAGGAAAUGGCCGCAAACACUUUGAGUUGUUUCUUACUUUGCGGUUGCCUUGCAAUUUCAACAAAUUGCGCUUGCGCACUCCUUCAAGCUUUUAUUUGAAAAAAAAAUAAGUAUUUACUUUUCAUACGAGAUUAACUAAUGUAGGGCCCAAACUAAUGUAGGAUCUGCUCUCCAAACUAAACUAGGAGAGGAGUGAAUUAGGCUGUUUACAAAUUAAGUAAAUAAGGGUUAUUAUCAUUUUACCUCCUUAAACUAUAUCACCGCUUCCAGUUUAUUCCCUAACAUUAUCUUUUAAUUACUUUACCUCCAUAAGUAAUUCAACUUAAUAUGUUAAGAAAUUUUGGACAAAAAUACCCUUUUAUUUUAUAGCAUUACUACAUUGUUAUUAUCACUUUAUUCGUUUAGAUUAUAGUGAUACAAUCACUUUAGUUCUUAAUAUUAUUUUCUAAGCAUUUUAGAUCAUCGUUAAUCUAACUAGUAUGGUAAAAUUUUUUUAAAUAUAUUUACCCUUUUUAUGUAUAAUUAAAAAUAAAAAAGUUGGAAUGGUUAUUCUUCCUUUUUUUCACUUUAGGAGAUCAAAAAACAUAAAAAUAAAAGGGUUUUCUCAAACUUCCUUUUUUCACACUUAUUAAUACUAGGAAAAGAAAAAGAGAUAGAAAAGAAGAUGAAAGAAAAUUAGAUUUUGUAAAGAAAGAAAAUAAAGAAAAGUCUAACAUUAUUGUAUUACAUUAAGGUUGUCGGGAUUAGGAUUGAAAUUUGGUAGUAAACAGAAAAGUGAAAUAAUUUUAAAAUAAUAAAAGUAUUUAAUUCUUUCUUAUUUGUAAUUUUUUUUUUUAAAAAAAAAUUUGAGCUCUCUCCCUCUCCAUCUUUCUAUUCUUUUUUUGAUAUUAAUAAGAUUGCCAAAAAGAAAGAAAUUAAUACUUUGACUUUUUUCCUUGAUACUAAAAAGGGAGAAGAGCCUUUCUAAACUUUUUAUUAUUUUUAUUAUACAAAGAGGAGGGUAUUUUUUUCUAAAGUUUUUUAACUUGCUAAGUUGGUUUAAUAGUAGGAUAAAUUGCCUAAAAAAUAACUUUAGGGGGUCAAUUGAUAAUGGGACUAUAGUUUACGGGGGUAAAGUGAUUAUAAUUUUAAGGGUUAAACAUGUUUUUUCACUUUAAUUAACAAAGGCAAUUGUUAAAAAGAUUCGAAGAAAAAAAUUCCUCGAGGGACGUGCGUUGCGAUAUUUGCAAACUUUGGGAUCUUGCUGAAAUGAUGACAAAAACGCAGACGAGAUUACCAUGAUUUACUCUUUAUCAUUUUCAGUUUUCAAAGAUUAUGAGACCAUCUAUGAAAGGUUAAGUCUUAAUUUUGCACCCACCUUCUGGGAAAGAAGGUCCAUCUGGAGAAGAGAUUGAUUCCAACUUUCUGGAAUCGUAGUAAUAUUAUAAAUUGACACUUUCUAAGGCAAAGAUGGACUCUUUUGUAGUACAACAAUGCCCAGAUCUCACAAAAUUGACACUGACAUAGUACAAUGGACUUAUUCAUAGUUAGAGAUAAAAGAGGAGUACAUGGUUGUACUAACCUUGAAUUCUCUUGUCUGUGUUAACAGUACAACCAAGGCAGUACACAAUUUUGCUCGUGUGUACAUAUAUAUAUAUAUAACAUCAAGCUUCAUCAUUUCCAUCCUAUUUCUAUUAUGUCCAAAAAUUCUUCAACUUGGCAAAGAAAAGAUAAAAAGUGGAAGGAUCCAACAGGGGCAACAUGAGAACACAUAUGCCACAAAAUUGCUGUUGUCAAGAUAAAAUCCUUGAUUUGUGUUCAAUGUGUUCUCAGGUCGCCCCUGCAGGAUCUCUUCACUGGCAAAGUUCUGGCAAGAAAACAUGCAUGCAAUCAGUGUUGGAUGAGUGGUAAAGUUCUGAUUUACCACAUUACUGCUUGAUUUUUCAGUAGUACUAAUCACUCUAUAAAUUCUCAAGUCAGUUUUGGAAUAAUGUGAUUAGUUUGUUUUGUUGUACUUUUCUAUUAACCACCACUACUUACAGAUUUUGGUGACCUAAUUCAAAUAUUUCCCAUGGAUUUUAAGAUUUAUGAUUAAUCUUGUUUUCAACCACGAACUCCUUUGCACUUUUCUUCUUAGAUUUAACAUUGUGCAACUCAUUCCGAUUUGGACCAUCAACAGCUCAGACUGGGUAGGCAACCUAUAAAUUAAGCGUCAGACUGGUCAGCUAUGUCCUUCACUACCUUCAACACAUGUAUAUGUAUGUAUGUAUUUAUGUAUAUGAACAUAUAUAUCCUUCACAAUCUACAAUACACAUUGGGGGGGUAUUUCAACAGCCUACAUAUUAAUCAUGUCAGGUGAACUAUCCUUCUUUCCUUGACCCUAGAAAUCAAGGUUACUAGUUUGUAUUGGACAUCACAAAGUGCUUUCACCCCAGAGCAAAAACUUCAAUAUGACCCGGUCUACUAAUCAUUUUGAUAUUGUUACAGAGGGCAUCACUUCAGGAUACAUUAUUGUCAUUUUGUCACCCUCAUUUCUUGAUACAUCUCAUGCUACUCCAGUUCUUCACUCUCAGGCCAGUUCAAUACCGAAAUGUUUUGAUUUGAUCUAUGAAAAAGAAACUCAAAUCAUACGGGUUUUCAGAUAGGGCCAAAAUCAGGAUGGAAUAACUUUGCUUGUAGCCUUCAUAUCUACAACAUUACAAUGGCAUACAAACAGAAAGAAAAGCCAUAGCAGAGCAACGACAAGUAACAACCACCAAGAUGAAAGAAUACAACAUUAGUAAAUAUAAAACAACAGAAAGGUGCAAGGGACAGACCAGGAAUCAGAUUUCUUGAAGUUGAAAACUAAGGAUCAAAAUUGCUGUUCCGUGACUUCCGUCUCCGACAAAAACCACUAGAGUUGCUCUAAACUAAAAUCCUUACAGCUGAUGCAAUGGCAAGUAGUUCUUCCUCACUAGCUUUCUUCCAUACUCCACCUAUCAUCAUAUGCCCCUUGAUAUCUUCGGAAGUAAGAUUUUCCUGGUCAUCUAUUUCACAACCCUCUAUUGUCUUUCUUAUUUUCUUUACAUUCAUCUUAUCUAAAUCAUCGGCAACAGAAUGAGGUUCUCUCUUCUUAGAGCAUUGGUUUGGAUCCCACUGAUCUUUCCUAAUUGCUAAUGUUGGGAUUUCAGGAGCUUCAAAGUUGCAGUCAAGAACUGGAAAUCGGCCAGCAGAACCAAGGGACUGAGGCAACAUACCAAUGGGACAUGGAUUCCAAGAUUUUACGAUCACCCAUCUUGUAUUUUUCUCAUUGUUGUUUGUUGACAUCAAAUUCUCAGUCUUCCUCCGACGAAGUUUGAUUAACUCGAGGCUUCUGGCAGCAAAAUCAAUAGAUUCUUGUUCAUGGGAAAGGAAGUUCUCAGAGACACUAUCAUUGGAAGGGAAAGCUUCACUAACAUCCAGAUCCGGUCCAGUCAGCUGUAAAAGUUUCUCAAGUUUAGAAAUCAAAGAUCUAUCUCCCAGGAUACGGGCAAGAAAAAGAGCAGAAGUCCUCAGCUGAAGGUUGCCAUGAGAGCAGGUGACAAGACAUUUAUGUAGAAGCUCAAAAAUAGUUGCUUUAGGAUGAUUCUUCUCUAUAAGAAAAUCUUCGCAUUCGGCACCAGAAUUUUUGAGCUCCAAAGGCUUCACUGCACUAAGAUUUCUGACAAGCCACUCAAAUAGAGUAGCAAGUUGUUCAAUUUGGUGAGACUCAUCAAUAUGGGCUGAGGAGAGGUGCUCAUCUGAUGAGGGAUCAAAUUAUUUAUCAUCAGGUCACAAACAUAAUAUGUUAUCAUUUGAAAUUAACACAAGGGAUAUAAAGACAAACUUUGCAUGAUGACAAACUGUGAAUUGUAUUUAGUUCUUAUCGGCUUUCAAAAGAGUAUCUAUUUAUUUGUCUAAUGGGAAAAGGCAUCUUAAAGAGUCUAGCCUCCAAAUAUCCAUAAGUAUUCUUUAAUCUGAUAUAUGACUACUCGGGAAACCAGCAGAACAGGUAUAACAGUGUGAUUGGGUUUCCAGUAUUGCAUACGAUUUUAGGUGCUAUUCACUGAAACCAAAGCUUUUUAUUGGUGACGAUGUGAAAAAUCUAAACCUAUAAGGUUACACAACAAUAUCAGUGCAGUUUAACAAGACAUCUAAUGUGUAUGUAUCUGUGCAUGUAGAAAUGCCAAAAUCUCAGUAGGUACUUACCUACCUAUUUCAUUGUUGUUGCCUCCCUUGGUCUCAAUCUUUAUAAGCACAGCCUUCAGAAGACUCCAAAGCAGUUCUGGUUCCUUCUUGAACAAUUUUAUGACAACAGGUUUCCAUGCAUUGAACACAGUUGGUGUAGUCUCAGAUCUAUGACUGGUUUCUUGAUUCUCACAGAGCUCCACCAUGUUUGACAAAUCCAUUGCCUUCAGCAAGAGUUCCAGUAGAACAUCUACUACUUCUCCAGAGAAGGAAGAAUAUAACCGUCGAACAUUCUUUAACAGCUUGUUUACCUGUUUCUUAGAAACUAAUAACAGCCAGCAAACAUGAAAUGAGGAUUUCUGCCAAUUUGAUAACUUCUUUCAGUAAAAGAAAUUAAUGGAAAAAUGCUCAAAAAUUUCAUCCAUAUAAUAAAAACUACAUGUCCCAUAGACAACUUUCACUAUCUUACUGUUUUCUAUUUAACCGCAGGGCUUGCGAAACUCAAAAUCUCAUACUCACCACAAAUACAAUAAAACUGACAUUAACCUCAAGUGUAACCUCAAGUUUAAUGCAUGUCUUAUCCAAGACUUAGGGCCAAAUUUACUUAACGGUAAAGAGCUUCCUACAAAGAACAUUUACACAAUUAAAAAAAAAAAGAACCUUUCUUUUCCCACUUUUUGGUAUGGAUGAAUUCGAAAAAUAUGACAUAACUAUGAUUGCAAUAAAAUAGCCAUCUUGAAAGCAAUGGUAAAGAAACAUUCUUAUUGUAUUUCCUAUUGUUACCUUAUGCCCAUUGCCUUUGCUACUAUGAUAGCCGACAAUACAAAUAACACAAUAGAACUAAAGAAAUAGAAUCAGAGUAACUGUAACCACAGAAGCAGUAACAUUCUCAAUAAGGUAAGACUAAUUUUAGUAAUGAAAGUCGGAGAUCAGAGGUUUCCAUCAGUGGUAACUAGCAAAAGUAGGAGAUAUACUGACUAGUAAGCAAGCAAAUGGAAUCCUAGCAUAGUUAGCUUAAUUUUUCAUGUCAGGGUGUUAAUUAAGGGAGGGAAAUCAAAUUGUAACUAGAAGCAGUUGAAAGAGGAGAACACAUUGUUCUAUUCAUGAAGGUGAGGAUUUAAUGGGUGUGGAAAACUGUUGGUGAUGAGGGCCAUAUGAAGACAGGAUGUCUACAGCUAGUCAAUAGUCAAAUGACGUGUGCUAACAGAAGCUGAAAGUGAGUCCAAAGAAAAAUAUGUUUUUCAUACCAGGCAUUUUGUCAUUCAGCCAAAUUUCGUAAAUACUCUUCAAAGAUAUCAUGGAAUAGACCAAAGAAAAUUUACCUUCUGAACUCACACAUCUCCUAGCUCUAAUGUAAUUUUCCAAUCAGUUAUGAUUUUGGUGCGAACUUAUUCCAAUUUUGCCUUAGAGAUACAUAAACAGUUCAAGAAUAGUACAGGAAAUACUUCAUAUUGACAACUAUUGUUUGAUGAACACUUAGAAAAUAGAAAUAUUUUUUCCAGUAAACACAAAUCAUAAAAAAUUACAGCAUUUUGUUGGAGACAUGAUCGGGAAGCUUUCAAGAAAAAAUGGACCAUAUGCACUUAUGCAUGACAGAGGAAAUACCAGCUUAUCCACUUUCUGACCUAGCAAGCUAUUUUGUCUCCUGGUAUCUGAGCAAUCAUUUUCUGGAAUAUAAACUUUUCUGUUUGGUAGGCCAUAUAGAAUAAGGCAUGCCUUCCAAAAUUUUGAUUAAAACAACUAAGUUGACAUCUAAUCUUCUUCAGCAUGCAUUGAGUUUAGAUAUGGAAAACUCAAAUAAUUUUCCAAACCAUGGAUUGUCAAGUGUUCAUUUACAGUUAACAGAUUUACUCACCAGAAGAUUUAGAAUUGGUAUGCUUCAUGGCCAUUAAAGAGAGAAAUUUGUUAGGCCCAUGAAGACAUUCUAAAUGCUUAAAUCCUGAAAAAGCAUCAAUGUAAAUUAUAUAAGAAUAUAAUCAUUGACAAAGAAUAAUCCAACAAGGGAAGGCUAAGAUUACAGUCUUUAUUCUCAACAGUAACAAUUCUCUUCCUCUAUGUCUAUCUCUCUAAGUCACAUGAUAUUGAAUAUUUGAAUGUUCAAGACGAAGGAGAUCUUUUUUAAAAUGGUAAAGACUAGAAUUGAGGGAUGCGUCAUAGCAGAAGUAACAAAGUGCCCUGGUACCAUUAAUUUAUUAAAGACUGGAAGUUCUAACAAGUAGUCUAUUGUGCUGCCAAAGCAAGGUGAAAACUUUGAAUUUCAUCUAAGGGUUAAGCAUAUAAAGGAACUAAUCAGGCGAAAAUCAUUGGACAAAAGAGAGCAUUCUGUCAUCUAUUUUCAAAUAGAGAAAGUUCGACAUGAAAAGAGUAUUAUGAACUAACAUAGUGAAGAAUGAAGGUAUCCACUCACGUUUCCCUUUAACUAGUGAAGAGCCUGAUCUCAAGCCGCACUUUGCUCUCAAACAAGAUGCCAGUUCAUAUAACCUAUGCUUAAUUUCCACUCUAGCAUUGCUAAUUACGUCUGCUUGAUUUGGAAUAGCAUUCUUCUGAGGUUCCCAGUAAUAUUCUUUCAACCAAUCAAGUGCCUGAACGUCAAAAUCAUGUUAAAAAAGCUGUGAUCUUCAAUUUCAUACAAAGAAUUGAAAUGAUUAAGAAGUAUGUUAAGUCAAUUAUGGUUCUAACACAAAGCUUGCAUGUGCAACUUCAAAUGAAUUUCCAUUACUGUGCUCUCUUAGCCAAGCAAAAAGUUCAUGCAUGACAAAUUCCAGUAAGCACUACAGUUGAUAGAUAUAUAGAUCAAGGACAAAAUGCUACCUUCAUGGAGGCAAGACGAACCAGGUGAAGAGAAGGGAGAUCACGAUGAGAGCCCUCUACAAAUAAAGAACAACCAACUCAGAAGAAAACUUAUCCAUAAGUCAAGCCAUUCCACAUCAUUUAUUACUAAUUUUCGUAUUAGGAAUUGAACUCAAAAAAUAUGCAUUGGUAAAUAAUCAAGGGAACAGAUGAAUACCCAUUUUUCCUUUUUCUUUUGGAAGUACAGGAAAACAAGGAAGCUUAACCAAUAUUAUGCAUCUUAUAUGCUGACAAUCAGCUACUACAACAUCAAAUGGUGAUCUGCGUAAUCUAAAACUUUGUCGCUACAUUUCUUAGAAGAACUAUGUGAGUAAAAUAAGAAAUGAAGAAACAGGAUGUAAAGUUGUUUACCAUGACGAAUAUCUAUGAGCAUACGUGGAAUACCAAUAGCACCAGCAGCCUCUGCUAUUGAGACCUCUGUCUUCUUGCGAGUUUUCUCAAUGACACCAUUGACAAGCCUUAGAAGACAAGAAGCAAAAUUUUUAGCACGAGUUUAAGGAUAGAAUAAAGCAUGCAAGGAAGAUACAUGAAGCAGGUUCUUAAUUAGGCAUACUUUUGCAGGGGUCACAUAAGUACUUGGGCCACUACUCAAUGACUGUAGUUUUAAGUAUACACGCACUCAUGGCCCUCACACCCCGUUUUGACAAACAUUUUCUUUCCAUCACACAGCCAAUGAGGUAGGCAAUGAAGAGUGAAGAAAAAUGAAAAAUGACAUUAAUUGGAUGCCUUGGAAAACAAUGAAUGCAAGAGAAAGGCAUAGACAAGAGCUGCUUAUACUAUAACAUAGCACUACAGAAAUUUUAAAAGAUUUUCUUACUGUCUGCCUUUUAUUUAAUAAGUCACUUCAAUUUUCUUCUGAAAAUUUUGUAUUCAUUCAUGCCAAUCACAACAAAAUAAAGAACUGGCACAAUAACACUCUAAAAACCAAAAGUUUUUAAAAUCUCCAGGGGUAAAUAACUCCCCGAGAACUGAACCAUUAUUCCUUCAUGUACUUAACCAUCAGAGCUUAGCAAAAUGUUUUCAUCACCUCAUUGAUGCUUUUUAAACAACACACAAGUAUACCAAUUGAAUCUUCACCAUUGACACCACAAUUACUUGUCAAUAUUGAAAAACCCAGUCUUCUUGGAGCACUUUCAUUUUAGUUUAAAUAAGCAAGCCAUAUUUGAUGAGAUAGCUCAAUUGAUCCCAGAGGUAAAAACACAUUAAAUUUGCUAAGUAAUGAAGAACUACCUCAUGAUUGCCAUACAAUACAACAUGGCCAGCAUUUCCUCUGAGUCCACAGCUUCUCCAGGUAAGUCAUGCCUAAACAGUAAAAAUUCAUACCUCCAAUCAGCACAAAAUUCACAGAUUGCAAUGUUCACGAAGGGCAUGAAUCGAACAUCAUGUAAGUACAUUCUAAACAAAAAAUAAUAAUAAUAAAUAUUCCAAAUAAAUUAUACAUUUUGAUGAUUCAUGGCCUUACAAACAGGUAAAUACAUAAAAACUGUGUCCUAUUUAUGAACGUUCAUUUCAAAAGCAUCAGACAACAGACCAUUUCACUUUUAGCCACCUUAAACUAAUCAAAUUUGUAAAUCAGGGUUACCUAAAAAAAGGAUCUUUCUGCUGAAUUUCUACAAUUGACGCAGUGACUUCAACCACUACAGGCAGGCAUCCCCUGCUCCGCCAAGCCGUAAUCUGAAGAAACCCCCAAAAAAAUCAUUCUUUAACAUAAUAAUAAAUGAGAAAAAAAUAAUAAAUUGAUGAAUUUAAAUUUGGCCUUCAAUUACUCGUUGGAGAGCUGAGGCAACGGAUGGUGGAGAAGAAGAGAAGAGGGAGAUUCUGACAAAGUCCCACUCGUCCCAGCUAAUCCAUGGUACCAAUUUGAAGCUGUGUGAUUGGUCCAGAACGACGUCGUUAGCAGGUGGUUCAGUAAACCCUAGCAGAGGCUCCAUUGUUGAAGGGUUUUAGCUUCUAUAAUCUCUGUGCAAAGUAAUCUAAAAUGAAGUUUUCAAUUUGCCCCGACCCGAAAUAUUAUUGCUCCUAAUUAAAAUUGGAUAAGAAGAACCGGACCCGAUGACCCAUCAGAUUCUAAUAACUACUAAAGAGUUUUUUUUUUUUUUUUUGUCGGAGGACCAAUAACUACUAAAAAGUAAAUAUGCAUAUUAGAGAACUAAAGUAAUUUAGAAUUCAUUUUGAUCUAGCUGAGAUUUUAUUUUAUUUUAUUUUAUUUUUAAUUUUUUUAAUAUAGGGAGGGACGAAAUUUAAGAAGUGAAGAGAGUGCAGCAGAAUUUAUUAAAGUACGGAUUAUGCACAUGAAUAUUAGAUAUAACCCGGGUUUGGAUUGUCUUUUUUUUCCAAAAACUGUUUUUGUCUUUGAGAAACAGCAUAUACUGUUAUGUAGAUCUACAGUGAAAGAAUAAUAAAACUGCAGCGUUUUUGGCAAAAUACUCAAUUGUCUUGUUUUCGGCUUUCCUUGCCAACACUACCGAAAAUCACUUUCCCAAAUUGCUGAGAUUGAACGCAAAGAAAGAUUCAGAACAGGGACUUGGUCAGGAGCUUGUGCAAAGUACUCCUCUGAAGCACCAUUGCCGGCCAUCGAGAGGGAAAUUUGUCAGUAAUCGAAGCAGAUUUCAGCUCGCGACUUCAAAUCCAAACCUUCUCUGAGCUCUAACCCCCUCUUCACUCUUCGAUCCAUCUUGCUAGUACGCCCCUCUUUGAGAGCGACCUUGUCUACAAGAGCCCACCCUCGCGCUUCAAUCCAUCAUGAUCUUAACCCCCUUCCACAGCGAAUAGCACAUCUCGAACCCCCACAGCUCCGACCCCUCUCGCGCUUCAAUUUACUGUUAAGGUUAUGUUUCUAGCAUUUUGCAGCUUUCAAUUUACUGUUUCUGCUGCUUAUUGUAAAGAAUAAUGUGUGGGUUGCUCAAAAUUUGCUGUCCGGAAGGUUAAAAAUUUUAGACAUUGAGGUCAAAAUUUGCUUGCUGCUUUCACUUUUUGUUUUAGCCGUUUAGAGAUGUUGGACAGUAGAUGUAGAGAUUAUUUGUGCAGAGUAUUGUGAUGGAUGAACCAUUUCUCGCCAAUGCUGAGAAUGAACCACGAAAAAUUGAGCUGGUGUGAUGAUUGAGACGAUAAACUAGUUUGCUCCAAAUUCGAUGUCAGAUUUGUUUUAUAUAUGUUGAGAAAAUGGAUGAUCACAAUACGGCAUUGACUUCAAUUCAUAUCAGGUCUAAAAUUUUGUAGUCCAACCGAAAACAACUUUUGGUUAACUAAAAACUGCCUAUUUCUUCCUUUCUAUUCAAAACAUGACUUGAAGUAGUUUGUUCCCGCAAUUAUGUAUAUCAAUUCAUUUAGAAAUACCAUUCUGUGCAUGCUGUUCAUCUUCGAUGUGCAGCUGGGAUCAAAUUGAAAGGGAAUACCUGUCCUUCUUUCUGUGUUGGCAAAUUUUGAGCUGUUAAGCUUUCCCUAUGCCAGUGAGAUUUCUGAAUGACACCAGAAACCUUAGUAAAAUCUUGAGUGUGUCCGUUUUAAGGUUAUUUAAAAGUGAAACUGUACAGGAGGGAAAAGCUGUUGAACGAAUAGUAAUAUGAGUGGUUCUUACUGUAGUUUGUGUUUUAAAAGUUAAUGGAGAAUGAUGUGUAGUCGAAAUUCCUGUUCUUCAAUGCUUGUCGGGUGCUGUUUUGCCGGAGUUGGUGGAUGCAUUCGAUAGUCCUUAUGUGCGAUUAACCAAAAUGCCUUACUUGCUUGAGAUUCAUUAGAAUUGCCUAAAUUCAGUGAAAGAAGCGUAUGUUUCUGCUUCUGAUGGAAAUUAUUGGCUUGGAGCUACUUCUGAUUGUGCUUUGGCAUAUUAUUCCCCUCCAUGAGUGUGUCCAGCUUUGCUAAUGCGACUGCAGUCAUGUUUUCGUAUUAUUGUAGCACUAAUUCUUGUGUUUUUCCCAAAAUGAAUUGUCUGAUGCUAUUUUUGUGAUUUUAAAUUGUCUUCUCCGACUAUUACUGAGAUUGGUAUCUGCAGUCUAACUUCAUACUGCUGUUUGGUGCUAUAAAACAGGGUUGGUUGGUGUUUUCAUUGCUGUUGUCUAAGGUUACAUGCCCCCUAUUACUCGCCGUGCUUCCAAAGGUAUAGUUUGCGUGGUUCUGACUUUGUUCACUGCCUUGUUUAGUGUGACUAAUUUUAUUCCUCAAUGAACACAGCAUUGAAGACGAAAAAUUGUGAGAAUUGUUGUGCAUCCAACUCAGCUUGAGGGGAAAACGAUUUACAAAAGUGCAUUUCUAACUACUACAAGGUAAUACCUGCUAGUCCUCUACUUUCGCUACUUAUUAUUUCAUCUCUGUCUUGCCUCGAGGUAUAAUUACCAACGUGUCUGAUUGCCUUUGUUUAUGGGUUAAUAAGAUGAGAAAACAAAGGCGCAAUCCAGGUGGGUAGAAAUUUUAUUUCACUAGGCAGCAUGAAAUAGAAAUUGCCAACUGCCUUGUCAGCAUGCAUAGAGCUAAUGAAAUUAAGGACAAUAAUAUUGGUAGCUACAUGGUUCCCGAAAUUCAGCAGCGGUUGAACGGCCAAUAUGGCACAUCGUUCACUUCGGACAGUAUAAGAGCCAAAUACUAUGCCUUGCGAGAACUGGCCAAACUGUACAUUGCCUUCAAGAGGCGGGAAACGGGACUAGGUUGGAAUAGCCAGAACUUUACCUGGCUCAUGGACGAUAGCAAGUGGGCCGAGCUUGCACGGGUAUAUUUUGUCAAGUAAACUAUUUUUAUAUCAAUUUAUGGCUGUUAAAAGUUAAUCAGAUUAUACCUGCUGCUCCCUCAAAUAACCUUUUGGCUGUGUUUUUUUUUUUUUUGUCACGUGAACCCAAAAUUUUUAAAAUUUCAAGAUGACUGCACCGUCUACCACUUGCUUGAGGAAGUUUUUGUCAACUAAGGAGCAACGGGAGAUUUCAGCGCUGGCUUUGAGAACGAGCCUCGUACUUCAGCCGAGGAGAGAUACAUGGAGAACGUUGCACGAUCCUCACGGGGAAAGGGAAGGUCGGACUAUGCGCACGAGGGUCUUGAAUUAAAAUUGGCGGUUUCAUUAAUCAAAGUUAUGUCUUUUAGCAAAAUGGUAUGUCAGGGAUUUGACACUUUAUGUAUUAUUGUUUAAAUAAAUCUUAUAUACACUAAUAAUUCAUACAGUAUUAUCGAUUAGAUUCAUGACAUAUGAGCAAAUUUUGAACUUUAAAUUUUAAAUCAGUAGUGAUAAUUGUGUAUAUACUAUUAAUAUAUAAAAGAUUAAUUCAUGUUAUUUUCCUCCUAAAUGUCAACUGAUAGCAUGCAAAUGUUGAGCAUAAAUACACAGCUGCACAUGGUUAUACAAUAUUCUAUGCCUAAAAGCACGCAAUUGCAAAGAAUUUCUUUGUCAAAUUAAACUCACUACUCCUUGCGGCCCAAUCAAAAUGUCAAUACUUUCUAUUUUGAAAUGUCCUAAAACUUUUUAUUCUCUCCUUUCAAUACAAUCCCCCCUUUAAUUAUAUAUAUGUUAUUAUUUAAAUUCAAAUUUUGAAUUUACUGAAACAAUAUAAAAAAAAAUACAAAUAUUAUAAUCAGACCAUUAUUCAUAAAAAGUUAGACUCCCUUUGAUCAUACGAGACGGAUGAAGUAUUAUAUUCCAAUUCCCGAGGCCUUUAUCCUCUCUUCCUCUUGGAUUUGUACAACCAAGGAGCUGAUAGAUUAAUUUAACUUUUUUUUGUGGGGUAAGAAUAGACUAAUUUAACUAAAUCCAAAGAACAAAGCACCAUUAGUACAUAUUUUAUUCACUAAUGGCACAACUUUACAUAAUAAUCAAAGAUUCCCAUCAAUUUUAAACAAAACCCUGUUGCAUUCACCAUACCAUAUGCACUUUCACCGGUGGGAUUCCAUAUACUAACGACCUUAAGAACGCUGGUUAUUGCACAACCCCACAAACCACCAAGAAAUGGCCGCUCAAACUCACCUGUUUCAUCCACUCCACUCCUUAUCUCUGCCACUGAAAACCCGAUGUAAAUCACCUGACUUUAAACCCAAGCUAAAACCCUCCACAUUCAUCAUCUCCAGCAAGCUCCGGGCAGCGGUGGUAGGAGGAGGUCCAGCUGGAUCCUCUGCAGCUGAAGCACUUGCUGCUGGUGGCAUAGAGACCUUCCUCUUCGAACGCAGCCCCUCUACUGCCAAACCCUGUGGUGGAGCAAUCCCACUUUGUAUGCUAGAUGAGUUCUCCAUCCCUCCUCACCUCAUUGAUCGGAAAGUCACCCGCAUGAAGAUAAUAUCUCCGUCCAAUCUGGCCGUUGAUUUUGGUAAAACUCUGAAGCCCCAUGAGUUCAUCUCCAUGCUCCGCCGAGAAGUGCUUGAUGACUUCCUACGCCGCCGUGCUGAGUCUUGUGGCGCCGCACUUAUCAAAGGACUUGUCACAAAUGUGGAGGUUCCCCUAACAAGCAGCUCUUCAUAUGUUAUUCACUAUAAUAAGAAUAAUUCACAGAAAUCUCUUGCUGUUGAUGUUGUUAUUGGUGCUGAUGGAGCCAACAGCAAGGUGGCUAAGGCCAUAAAAGCAGGAGAUUACACUUGUGCUAUUGCUUUUCAAGAAAGGAUUAAGUUGCCUGAGGAGAAAAUGGAAUAUUAUGAAAAUUUGGCUGAAAUGUAUGUCGGAAAUGAUGUUUCACCUGAUUUUUAUGCGUGGGUUUUCCCCAAGUGCGAUCAUGUGGCAGUGGGAACGGGGACAGUAUGCUCAAAGAAGGAUAUCAAGAUGUUUCAACAUGGCAUAAGAGCAAGAGUUAGGCCAAAAACUCAUGGCGGUCAAGUAAUUAAAGUUGAGGCUCAUCCAAUCCCUGAGCAUCCACGUCCAGUUAGAGUCAGGGGACGAGUGGCUCUGGUGGGGGAUGCAGCAGGAUAUGUGACGAAAUGUUCUGGUGAGGGAAUUUACUUUGCUGCCAAGAGUGGGAGGAUGUGCGGGGAAGCAAUUGUCAAGGCAUCAGAAGGAGGUGAAAGAAUGAUUAGUGAAGAAGAUUUAAAGAGGGAGUAUUUGAAGAAGUGGGAUGAGAUGUAUUUAACUACAUUCAGGUUUUUGGAUUUGUUGCAAAGGGUGUUUUAUGGUAGCAAUGCUGCUAGGGAGGCAUUAGUGGAGUUGUGUGGGGAUGAGUACGUGCAGAGGAUGACAUUUGAGAGCUAUCUGUAUAAGAAGUUGGCCCGGGGGAACGGAUGGGAUGACAUUAAGAUGGUCAUGAAUACAAUUGGGAGUCUAAUUAGGUGUGAUAUUGUAGGCAGAGGGAUUGAAAUGUUUGACAAACGAGUUCUUGCACAGUUGUAGUGUAUCAGGGAACUAGUUAAAUGAAAGAGAAUCAAAUGAAACUUCAUCAGUACUUCCCAGAGAAGUACAGAUCCAGGAAGUUUUAGCUUUAAAUCACCUAAAAACCUUUUGGUAUGAACAAAUGGUUGUGCCAUUACUCUAUUUCAGUUCUUCAUAAAGCAGAUUCAAAUUGUUGUUUCCAAGAAAAUCUUUGCUGCGGUGGUCAAUUUAGCCUUUCAUCAUUGCCUUAAGUAUCAUCCUGUAAAGUAAUGAAUAAUUAAGAACUUGACUACAUUAUUAUAACUUCUGGGUGCAUAAAUACAGCUUUACAGUGGAAAGAAGUGAAACAUUUAAGCAAGCUAUAACUUUUCAGCAAAGCUUCAAGUUGAAUUAACAGUUUCCUACCAUACACACACUAUUUACCUUGAUCCUAACAUUAUAGCCCAGUCGAGCUAAGAGUUUCUUACCCACUUUGUACCUCGAUUCUAACAUUAGCCAGCUCCUGUUUUUGCCUCUACUGAUACCACAAUUUAUUUGUACAACUUAUUCGCUAUAUGCAUAGAGUUCAAGUGUUUCAAGAGAAAAUCAAAUCCCAUUUUCACACCAUUCUGUAUCCAUCCUUUCUUGACCCCUCCGCCCUCCGCCACAACCAAUUUCUUUCUUCAUGUAGUGCACAUUGUGUUUGAAUCUUUUGCGACAAGGUUUUGAAAAUAAAAAAAACCCAAGUGCCUAGUGAUGAAAAAGUAAUUAGAGCAGUAAAAGGGUUAAAGCUUGAUAUAUUUCCACAUAUAAUAGGACCCAAAUAACAACCUAAUAGUUGAAUAGGUGGCUAUGCAGCCACCAAUCAUCCCUCUUGGUUAAAGACAUACAAGCAUAGAGGAUAUAGGCUCUGAUUUAGUAGACGUAGUUUGCAGAACUUGGAGGAAUAUGUGCUUUGCUGCCUGUGUUAUGCAGCAUUUCUGGGACUUAAUUUAGUCAAGGGAGAAGAUUUUGAAAGCAAUGCAAGGCAGAGAUGGAGUUGAGGAUUGAAAAGAAUGAACAGGAGAAGAGCGUGCAUGAAAAACAUAGGCAGGGGGGAGGGGACUAGCCAAGGUAAGCCCCUUAAUUAUGACAGAGAAAAGACAAAUAUGCAAAGAGGAAAUUACAGAAUAUUAAGGAAAAGAAUUCACCUUAUACUUAGAAUCUCUCUUGAUGAAGUGCAUAAGAUGCCAUAUUCUAGGCCAAAGAAGUUAAUUCUUAAAAAUGCAGAGAACCAAAGCUUCAAAAUAGAAUGAAAAAAAUCAGUUUAUGAUGCUAACUAGCCUUUUUGAUUUUAAUAACUAUUAAUAUACUACGAAUAGAACUAUAUAUGUUUACACAUACAUAUACAGUACGGCCUUCAACCCGCACUUGUCUCCGAGACUCAUACCUGACUCCACUCAAAGUGCCCUUAGCUAAAGGUUUUCUCAAAAGAUUAAUGUUUCUUCUAAAUGUGUUUCAAUUUUAGGUAGCCAUGUAAAUACUAUAUGUAUGCCUCUGUGAUUUAUGUCAAUUUCACUCUAAACAUUUUAAAGCUUGGGAUCCUCCUCAAAACACCAGAGUAUCUUAAUCUAUAACUAACAUGGUCUUAAUUUGGUUGGGCAGAAAACAAUCACAAGCAUAAAAUGUAAUUAUCCUACUCAUGUUAGGGUUAGCAUUUUUGUAUUUUCAGAGACCCUAUCCAACAUUACUCCCCCAAUUCAAAGAAUUCAGACUCUCUUGCAAUUAUUCAUGCACUGUUAAGCUGCAUCUGUAUAUUAGCAUAACACCAGAGAAGCCUAAGCAGUAUGUCUCUCAUAAUAUAACAUAAAAAGGUUUGCUGAUACACAACAAAGUCACUUAAUACCUGCAAUUCACUAAAACUUUUGCACAAAGGGUACUUUAAAGUAUCAAGAUGUCACUAAUUUCACCAAUGAUCCACUUAAGGUCCUCUUUAAACCAUAUGCUUCAAAUUCUUAUUUGGCUAGAAAAGUCCAGAUAACUUGCACCUCAACUGCAAUUUCUCAUAUUAAAUCUCUAGCACAAAGUAGCUUCAUAUAACUACUUUUUUUAUAUUAACCAAAAAAAAAAAAAAAAACAGCAAUACAAGAACCCAGAAGAACCAAACCGAUGAAAUCCUUUUAUUGUUCUAUUCUUAAUAACAACAAGAUAACAUGAAAAAAGGUUGCUGCACCAUUUUUAAUAAGCAUUGCAAUCAGACCAUCAAAAUGAAGUGCAAAAGGUCGAAGUUGAAAGAAUGUGAGCUGUGAAACUAAUAGACAUGAAAAAUACAAAAUGAUCUUAAUAAAAGCUACCAUAAAUUAAGGAAUCAAAACUGUGAGCAUAAGCGAAAAGAGUUCAUGGAAGAUAAAAAGAGUUAAAAAGCAGAGGAUCUUACGGUUUUUUUUUUUAAACCUUUUGUCAUUCAGAUCAGAUAGAGCCAGCAAUUAUAUUCUUGUAACAAACAUAACCAGAACACAAACUUUGAAAUUUCCCCAAAUAACCAAGACAGGGAGGUUCCUUGCUUGUCGGCAAGUGGACAGAAAACAGAAAUACCUACAAAAAAGGAAAAAAAAAACUAAAAUGGAACAAAAAAGUAAGCCCGAUACUCCGGUAUUUGAUGCUGGAGAUGGAUAGUUUGCAUCCACCUGUUGAUUUUGCAGGAGAUGAAUAGGUUUACUUGGGGCUGAUACCGCUGAAAAUAUAAGGUUGGAAUUGAAGGAAUUUUGUGAUGGUUGAAGAUGAUACAAACAUUCAAUUGGAAAUUCCCUGGGAGAAAGAGAUGAAAUUGAGGUGGAACAAUGAGGUGGAGAAGGAGUUUUGAGGGUUGGAUUUUUGGGAGAAGAUGGAUUCCGGCGUUCAUGAAGCAGUGGCGGCCCUGGAGGACGACGCCUGGAGGGAGGAGGAGGAGAACCACCCGUACUAAAGGACUGGACGGCCCCCUUUUUUCUGACGAGGACGACACGUGGCAGAUUGUAAUGUCCUGCUUAGUGACGUGUCUGUACAGUCAUCAUACACGUAAGCAUCAUGAAUGACAUGGCAUCCAUGUCAUCAUCACACGAUUUGUAUGACUCGCUGUACGUGGUCUGCAAUUUCCUUCACUUUCUUCAUAGUUAGGUCAAGUUAGGGUUUGUUUUUAUUUCUGACAAGGUUUUUUGUAAUUAAUUUGUUAGUUCAAUUUAUGGAUUCAUUCUUUAAUUCAUGUAGAACACAUAUUGCCUUUUUGGUUAGUGAUUUAAAGAUUUUUUAAUUACCUUUGACAAUUUAUUAAUUGUCUUCGACAAUGUAUUAAUUUUUUUUUUAAAUUUUCUAGGUUUCUGGGAUUAGAAAAUUUUUGUGCAGUUUUCAAUUUUUUCUUUUAGACUUUGGUAGAAAGCAAUAUACAUCACACUAUUUAGAUUUUUUCAUGUUUUUGACUUAAGAGCAAAAUACAUCUGUUCUUUUUUUUUUUUCCCAACAACGAUACAUUGUAUAACCUACUCUAUCCUAAUUUAGAGAGAGGAGGAGCCUAAAAAGGCUUGUGUUAAAAGCUAGUGGGUAUACUGUGGCGACCCCACUUCCCCCUGAGGCGAACCAAAGGAUUGGCGGGCCGUCUGCCCAACUCUCGCCAGGACUCACGCGAGCAAUCUAACCCGAACCCUUUCGAAGAAUAAACUAAUCUAUUACAAAAUCAUCUUCCCCGAAUAGAAUCAUAUCUAAAGCCACAUUACCUUCGGAGAUAGCAAUGAUAAAAUUUCCAGUCGAGACCCUUAAACGACCUACGUGCUACUUACCAAAGUACAAAGUCAUAACAAACCGGAUAGAUAAAAUGCAUAAAUCCAUAAUACAACUUACAAGCCAAGUAAUCGAACUAAGGUUUACACAUUUUCCAGCUUCAAGUGGCAAUCCAAAAAGGAAAAUACAUUAUCCCCAAAUAACACAUUACAGCCCACAGGAUAAGAUAUAGUGUUCAAAUGCAGUCCAAAAGAAAAACAUAAAUUAAGUAAGCAUCCAACUUUCAGUUUCCAGAACCUGUAAAGGAAAACAAUAAACGUGGGGUGAGCUAAAACUCAGUGGUGCCCCAAAACAUACAAGCACAUAAUUUCAAACAGCGAUUAAUAACUGCACAAAUUUAAACAGUUAGGAAAGCGUAUAACAGCACAAGGUAGGAUACAUGGGCUCUCAGGAGCCAUUUCCCUCGCUUGAGCACCAAUUAUCGUAGUUGACCCUCCGUCAACUCUCACUACUUAUAAGCCAUGUAGAUCCACUUAUUUUAAUCCUAACCCGUCACCAUUCAUACCUCUGCUUCGGGCCCGGACUUCGCCUACCGACGCAGUAUACUCGAGAUAUACCCGUAUAAAAUUAGUCGAGGGAUUCACCCAAUGACGUGAUUGCAAUCAGAUACAUGCGUCGAGAAAUUUACCCAAUGACGUGAUUGCAAUCAGAUACAUGCGUCAAGAGAUUCACCCAAUGACUUAUUGUAGUUAGAUUCAAGCGUCAAGGAAUUCACCAAAGACGUGAUUGCAAUCAGAUACAUGCGUCGAGAGAUUCACCCAAAGACGUGAUUGCAAUCAGAUACAUGCGUCGAGGGAUUCAACAAUGAUGUAACUACAUUUAGUUUCAUGGUAGUUAGAUUCAUGCGUCGAGGGAUUCACCCAACGACGUAGCUACAUAUAGAUUUAGGAGAAAAAUGUUUUGCACAAGUCACCACUCGAACGGCUAGUGCGAUAAAGUACACACAGCUCACUUCGAUGGAUCAGAAACCAAUUUUUUUCAAAUUAUCACAUAUCCAGUCAAGAAGGUACUUUAAGCAGGUAAGCAUAGAACAGGCAGGGACACUCACCAAGAGUGGAGUUCAGAUAUCAAGUUGGGGAUCGAAUUCCGCGUCCUCGAAAAACCCUAAAAACCAAAAUUUGAAACUAUAAGUUUCUACUUAGUUUUUAAGCUUAUAGUCAUUAAAGUAUAUUUAAUAUACUACUAGUUCACUUUCCCUUAGAAAUAUCAAGAGUUCCUUAGAUUAAAACUUGACAAAAGUAGAAAAGAUAUUUCCUAUGGUUUUCCUUGAGGUACUUUUCUAGAAUGAAGUAACUAGUAUUAUUUUAUUGAAAUAAGUCGAUAAACCUCUGAAUAUCAAAGCUAAAAAGUUACUUUGAACAUUUCUCUAAAGAUACGGCUUUUGCAAGAUUUAUUUCCAAAAACUAUUUUUCCUAAAAUAGGGUUUCUUGCCGAGCAAGUUUUCCAGGCUUUUAACUAAAAUUUGUAAACUCGUAUUUUGAAAUUUUUUUUUUCCUAAAGUUAGCUAUCCAAAUGUAAAGCUUAAGGAAAGAAAAGAAAUCGAAAUAAGACCUAGAAUUUUCAAAAGCUAUAGAAUUAAAAUACUAUAGCUAUCAAGACUAGUUUGAGCUAAAGGAACUUAUCGGUUUCGAAAAGUUUUAGGUGAAACACUAGAUAUUGAGUUUUUAUAUUAUAAUACUAGCUGGGAAAUAUUUUUGCUUGAUUUGAUAACAGCUACUCGAGUUCACAAAGUCGAAACGACUUGCACAGCUCCGGUUCCGUGAAUAUAAUCGAAGUAUAAGAUAUAGUGCUAAAAAAAUGGGGAGAACAAGGACAGAACAUAAUUAUGAAUCCCUUUCUCGAACACAAGGGCAUCUAUGAGGCAUUUACCCCUAUUAAGAAAUUUGAAAAUCCCGAACUAGUGGGAUUCCUCCCUUUUGAAGGGAGUUUUGAUAAAUUUGGGGAGUUGUUUUUGGUAAAAAUUCAUGAAAAUCAUUCAUAUGUAUGUCUUUUGUUUAACUAUGUUUUUGUAAAUAGUUUUGAAUCAAGUGAUUUUUGAAGACACGUCUUGUUUAACAAGUAACAUGCUAUUAAAAUUGAUCUUUAUCUUGAAAUUCAAUAAAAUGUACAAUUUUAUAUAUACUGUGUUACUUACACAUUCUUUUCAGAUGGCCAAGAAUAGAAUCCUCUGAUCCUUUAGAUAUAUCUCGAUAUCUCACGAAUGUGAAUUUGGAUUUUAAAAUGAGAGGAGUAGCGAAAUGACAUCCGAAAAUAUUUCAAAGAGACCCGAAUGGUAUAAAGAGAAACUCAAACCGAAUUGGGAUUAAGAUUAAGGAAAUAAAAAUCAAUGGUCACUUGAUAAAAAAUAGUUAAAUGCAGUCUGUCAUGGUCAAUAUUAUUAAAAGGAUUAGCUCGUGCUUACCAUAAAAUAGUCAAAUCAUGACUAUUCAGACUAGGAGACAAAGCGUUGAGGGAGAUUUUGUCGGUGGAAGAUGAGGCCAAAUGAAGAGUUUGUCCCAAAUUGACAAGAUUCUUUUAUUGUCAAAAAGGUAUUGCAGGGCGGAGCACUUAUUUUCACUGAUAUGGAUUAACAAGAGUUUCCCUUAAUCGAUUAAUUUAGAUAUAGGUAAAAUUUUACAUUAAUGAAAGUUUCCUUUCAGAAUUAAUGCAGGGAACAGAAUUAAAGUCCAGCCCUCUUUCUUUCCCAUUGAGACAUUUUAUCCCUAGUGGUCUCUUUUGAUCUUGUAGAAUGAAUGAUUUCGCUUGUCAACCUGAUGAGCAACCCUAGGGGAAGACCCUCCUAGACCCUCCCAACCUUGUAAUUAUCAGAGUUGGACCUUUCUCCCAAUGGAAAUUGAACUCGAAUUGUUCUCAUGGACUCAAGACCUCUGACACACAAAGGCAAUCAGCAACCUUAAGCAAAUAAUGCUGGAUGAAAAGACACCACGAUUAGGGAACAAGCUAAUCGAUAAAGUCAGAUUUGAAUCCUAAGCAAUGAACUCAAGAAUUCAAGAGUAAGUUCGAUUAAGAACUUGAAGGAAAAAAUCCUCACGAUUUCUGGUUGUAAUAUUCCGUCUUUUCACUCAUACAAUAGGUGCCUUUUAUAGGCUAAAACUAGGGCAAAUCCGGCCCACAUAAACCUGAAAUAGGAAUUCGGUCCGCAUAAAGAGCUAGCUCUUUAAGACUUCUCGAUAAGGCCCAAUAAGUAAUAAAAUACUCAACGACCAACAACUACUAGACUAGGCAGUCUUAAAAUAACUACCAACUAAGCUAACAAGUAUGAGAUCAUUCUUUCACUUCAAACAUACAAGUGAACAAGGUAACUUCAUGGUCCAUCAAAUCUUCAAACUUAACUUGCUCCUUGCUUGUAUGGUGAAUGAUCAAGGCUCAUAAAGCUUCCCUCACCUUCUUGGUUCUUGAUCUUGUCAUCGGACCACCAAUGUUGAUCAAAGGGUCCUUGACCCAAGGUUGAAGGUGUUGCACACCCGUAUCCACAUCAUUCCCUCCCUCCUCGAAAGGAUUCGUCCUCGAAUCGUCAAAGUCUGUAUCAAAGGCAAAUGGGGAUAGGUCAGACACAUUAAAAGAUACGCUUAUGCCAUACUCAUUUGGAAGUUCCAAUUUGUAGGCAUUGUCAUUUAUCCUUUCUAGGACACGAAAAGGUCCAUCUUCUCUUGGAUGUAACUUGGUCCGUCGAGAUGCUAGAAACCUUUCCUUCCUCAUGUGUACCCAAGCCCAAUCACCAGGUUCGAAUACAACAUGCUUUCUACCCUUAUUCGCAUGUUGUGCAUAUUGCGCAUUUUUCUUCUCAAUUUGAGCUCUAACUCUCUCAUGCAAGGUCUGAAUAGCCUCUGUCUUUUUGAUACCAUGUGCGCUUAAACACUCAUCAACAGGAAUAGGUGAUAAAUCUAGAGGGGUUAGCGGCUGAAACCCAUAAACAAUUUCAAAAGGAGAAUGAUUAGUAGAAGAAUGAGUGGUUCGAUUAUAUGCAAAUUCGGCAAUAGGCAAACAUUCUUCCCACUUUUUCAAGUUCUUUUGAACAAUGGCUCGAAGUAAAGCACCAAGGGUUCGAUUGGUUACCUCAGUCUAACCAUCCGUUUGAGGAUGACUAGAAGUAGAAAACAGCAACUUAGUUCCCAACUUUCCCCAAAGUGAUUUCCAGAAAUAGCUUAAGAAUUUCACAUCCCUAUCACUUACAAUAGUACGCGGUACCCCAUGCAAUCUAACCACGUCCUUGAAGAAUAAAUCAGCAACAUGGCGCGUAUCAUUGGUUUUCCUACAAGGGAUAAAAUGAGCGAUUUUAGAAAAUCUGUCCACUACAACAAAGAUACUAUCCAUACCUCUAGAAGAUCUUGGUAAACCAAGCACAAAAUCCAUGGAUAAGUCUGUCCAAGGAGCAUGAGGUACGGGUAGAGGAGUGUACAAUCCAUGAGAAUUACCCCUUACCUUUGCUUGCUUACACUUUAAACACUUAUCACAAAUGUUAGCAACGUCACGCCUCAUUUGAGGCCAAUAGAAGUGUUCAUGCAAAAUGUCAAGAGUUUUAUCAAUGGCAAAAUGUCCCAUCAACCCUCCGCCAUGGGCUUCUCUAACAAGUAAUUCCCUAAGUGAACAGUUGAGAAUACAUAGGCGAUUCUCUUCGAACAAGAAGCCUUCAUGCCUAUAGAACUUUUGAAAUGCAGCAUGUUCACAGGCUUGAAACAUAUUAGAAAAAUUGUCAUCAUGUGCAUACAAGUCUUUAAUGUGCUCAAAACCAAGCAACUUAGUGCUCAUGUUAGUGAUCAAGAUAUAUCUCCUAGACAAUGCAUCCGCAACGACAUUAUCUUUCCCCUUCUUAUACUUAAUGAUAUAUGGAAAGGAAUCAAUAAAUGCAAUCCAAUUCGCAUGUCUUUUAUGCAACUUACACUGACCCUUAAGGAAUUUAAUUGAUUCAUGAUCAGUAUGUAUCACAAAUUUCUUAGGCAUAAGAUAAUGCUGCCACACUUCAAGAGCACGCACAACAGCGUACAAUUCUUUAUCAUAAGUAGGGUAAUUAAGAGCUCCCCCACUCAACUUCUCACUGGAAUAUGCCAAGGGUCUACUAUUUUGAUGUAAGAUAGCCCCUAUGUCGAUUCCACUAACAUCACAUUCAACUUCAAACAUCAAAUCAAAAUUAGGCAAGGCAAGAAUAGGUGCUGAAGUCAACAAAUUCUUAAACUUAUGAAAUGACUCUUCUUGCUCCUUUUCCCAUUGAAACCCCACAUUUUUUUUAAUUAUCUCAUUCAAAGGUGCUGCAAUAGUACUAAAGUCUUUAACAAAUCUCCUAUAGAAACUUGCAAGACCAUGAAAAGACCUUACCUGAGACACAUUGGUUGGAGUCGGCCACUCCAAGAUGGCAUUUACCUUGGCGGGAUCAACACUUAUGCCAUUUGCACCAACAAUAUACCCAAGAAAGUUAACUUCAGGAGUGCAAAAGACACAUUUUUUCAUGUUAACAAAUAGCAUAUUUUCACGCAAGAUACUUAAAACAAGUCGCAAAUGUUCAACAUGCUCAUCUAAAGACUUGCUAAAGAUCAAUAUAUCAUCGAAAUUAAUGACAACAAAUUUCCCAAGAAAAUGCCUUAAAACAUGGUUCAUUAAUCUCAUGAAAGUACUUGGAGCGUUUGUUAAGCCAAAGGGCAUUACAAGCCACUCAUAAAGACCAUACUUUGUUUUAAAAGCAGUUUUUCAUUCGUCUCCUUCCUUUAUCCUUAUUUGAUGAUAACCAGAUCUUAAAUCAAUUUUAGUGAAAAUGAUUGCUCCAUGUAAUUCUUCUAACAUAUCAUCUAACCUAGGAAUAGGAUGACGAUACUUAACAGUAAUUUUAUUAAUUACACGAUAAUCUGUGCACAUUCUCCAAGUCCCUUCUUUCUUAGGCACUAGAAUAACUGGAACUGCACAAGGAGUAAGAGAUUCACGAACCUGUUCUUUUGCAAGGAGGGAAUCGACUUGUCUUUGAAUUUCCUUUGUUUCCUCCGGAUUUGCUCUAUAGGCUAGUUGAUUUGGUAGAAUUGCUCUAGGAAUAGAGUCGAUUUGGUGUUCAAUGCCUCGAAUUGGAGGUAAUCCUUUCGGUAGUUCCUCUGGAAACACAUCCUUGAAUUCUUGCAAAAGAGAGUAAAUUGCACUAGGAAGAGAAUCGGUUAGGCCUAGUGUGUAAAAAGAAAAAUAAUCAGCUUCCCUGUACAGAAGUACUAUGAGAAGAUUUUGUGCAUUCAAAGCCCUAUCUACCUCACGUACACUUGCAUAGAAGCUCUUUUUUAUUUUCACUUUCAAGCUCUCAGUCUCACUGAGUUUUUUUUCACUCGAAUUUUCUUUUUCACUCAACUCGGCCUCUACUUUCUUUUUCCCCUCAUUCUCUCUCACAUUCAACUGUUCCUUUGCCUCUCUCGGUUGCCUUUUCUCUCUCUCUUUUCUUAAAUGCAAUUAUUCUUCAUACACUUGUGUAGGUGUCAAGGGUGAAAGAGUGAUUUUGAGGUUGUCCAUAAUGAACUUAUACUUAUUGGUGAGUCCAAUAUGAUCAGCGUGUCUAUUAUACUCCUAAGGACGCCCCAACAAGAUAUGACUAGCAUGCAUAGGAAUUACAUCACAUAAAACUUGGUCCUUGUAUCGACCAAUAGAAAAAGCAAUUAAAGUCUGUUUGGUCACCUUGACUUCCCCCCCAUCAUUUAACCAAGACAAUCUAUAUGGUUUAGGGUGGUAAGUCCAGGGAAUGUGUUUUUGCUCAACAAAAUCAGCGGCUACACAAUUAGUACAAGAGUCACUAUCAAUGAUCAUAAGACAUACCUCAUCUCCAAUUUUGUAUCUCGUAUGAAAGAUAUUGGUUCGUUGGAGAUCAUCUUCUUGAGUUUGUGCAUUGAGCACUCUCAUGGUCACCAUAGUUCGAGUUACGGGGUCCUUUUCUAUCUCAACCAUGUCAUCAUCCUUCUCUUUUUCUUCCAGCGGUGACAUGUCCGCAUAUUCCUCCUCUCCUUCGCUUUGCCACAAUUUCUCUUCAUUCAUGUACAUGAUGCUUCGGUUAGGGCAUUGAGCCAUGAGGUGGGCAAUUCCCUUGCAUUUGAAGCAUGCCUUUGGCUGGUUGGUAGAUGUAUUUGCUCCUGGAAGAGUCGGCUGCGGGGUUGGUUUAGAAGAAGUUGCACUCGGAGGGAACGGUUGUUCUUUCCGCUUGUUUUCCCUCUCUCGAUUACCUUGCCUUGGCCAAACAUUGGAUGUUGGUAAUUGGUUCCUUCUCCAAGGAGUGAAAGAGGAUGUAGUGGUUCAGCCACUAGGUGUCUUUAGAGGUAAGGCUUGCUUUUCCACUUUCUCUACAUAAGACACCAUUUGUUGAUGCUCAAAAUGGUCUUGAAACUCAACCUUCUUCCUAAUUUCAGGAUUUAAUCCAUUAAGGAACCUCGCCAUGGUUGCUUCCGGAUCCUCUUGUACAUUAGCCCUUAUCAUCGCUACUUCCAUUUGUUUGUGGUACUCAUCAAUCGAGUUAGAACCUUGAGUAAGUCGUUGGAGCCGAUUGUACAAGUCCGUGGUAUAAUGGAAGGGUACAAAUUGUUUCCUCAUCACUUGCUUCAUUUCAGUCCAAGUGUCAAUCGGUUGUUCCCUAUUUCUCCUCCUCGUGGCACAUACUUGCUCCCACCAAAUAGAUGCAUAAUCUUGAAAUUCAAUAACUGCAAGUUUCAUCUUUUUCUCUUCAGAGUAAUUGUGGACUUAAAACACUUGCUCAACUCACCUAACCCAAUCCAAGUAAGUUUCAGGAUCAUUUUUCCCAUGAAAGGUAGGCAUCUUGAUCUUGAUGGAACCAAGAUUGUCAUCGGUUCUCCUAGAUUGGUCUCGACCUUCCCUCGCUCCUCUUUGGAUUUUCCUUGAUCGAAAGGAGGUGUGAUAUCCCUCAUCAUCCGUAUCAUGAUCAACACUCUGAACACUCGAAACCCUAUUGUGUGUAUCUCCGGUACCUCACAUCUCAAUGGCAGCCAAUCGGUCGAAUAAUUGUGUCAUCACCAAUUCAUGUCCCUCCGUUUGUUUUCAAAGAGCUUGGAGCACCAGUUUGAGUGACACGUCGGUCUCAGACGGCUCGGGCAUGUUCCCCUCUUGAGACAUAUUGUCCAACCUGCAAAACAAGUGUAUCCCAGUCUACCUUGCAAGCACUCGUGUAUCACUCAAGGAAACACACUCACUCUCAAUUUUCCUUCUCGAAAUUCUUAAAGCAACUCAAACUCUCAAAAAUUUCAGAAUUAAUUACCUUGUAAGCAAGUAACAAGACACAAAGCAGAAUUUUGUAAAUCUUAGAAAAAAACUCUCUACCCGAAGCUAGAAUUUUUUUUUGAGCUGCUAUUUUUGCUGAGUUUCUGGUCAGUAUUUUGGAGGUAAGUGGUGCUUUUGGGGUGCUCAAAUAAUGUAUGAACCAGUUCUCAAAUUUCAGUUAAAUCGGCUCGCAAAGACAAAACAGAAUUGAAAACCAAUCAAGAUUUAGAGACUCAAGUUUUGGGAAACCAAUCAAGAUUUGAAAACUAAUCAAGAAUUGGAAACCAAGCAAGAAUUGAAAACUCAAGAUUUGGAAAACUUGAUUUCCUUUGUGUGAGAGCCGAUUCCUUCUCUUCUUCCUUUAUUUUCGUUCUCUCUCUCUUUUUUUUUAUUUUUUUUGCUUCGGCUCUUCAAGGAACACAAAUUCAGGUCACACCAACAAGUUCAAGAAAAUGGAUGAAAAGUUAUGCAAAUUUCAAGAAGAUCCUAGUUCUUGAUUUAUUGUUCAAGAACUUUCAAAAUAAGACUUGGUGGUCCAAGAACUUCAAGAAUUUGUUCAAGAAGUUCAAGAACUUCCCCAAAUUACGUUGUGGUGUUUAGGGUUUGCAAGAACAAUAACCAAUACUCAAGAAAUAGGCAAAACAAAAUUUCAACAAUACUCAAAAGAAAAUUCCAGCAAUACUCUAGCAAGUUGGAUACUAAAACAACAUAAGGUAUAUGACUCUUUUUUUUUUAUCUUUAAACCCUAACAACCCAAACACAAGUAUAAUAGACCCAAGAACUUGGACAGAAAACACAAAAAAAGACAACACCCAUACAGAUUUUGUUUUCUCGGAUGAACAGUAACGUGAACAGUACGCUACAGUACGAUAAACAGUAUUCGGUACAGUAACGAUGAACAGUAAUCGCUAUAGUAACGAUGAACAGUAAUCGCUACAGUUUUUUUUUUUUUGACAAAAGACACAAACUAACAAGAUAUGAACAAUUUCAAUUAAAAGAGAAUUAACCUGAUGCUCUGAUUACCAAUUGAUGAGCAACCCUAGGGGAAGACCCUCCUAGACCCUCCCAACCUUGUAAUUACCAGAGUUGGACCUUUUCUCCCAAUGGAUAUUGAACUCGAAUUGUUCUCAUGGACUCAAGACCUCUGACACACAAAGGCAAUCAACAAGCUUAAGCAAAUAAUGAUGGAUGAAGAGACACCACGAUUAGGGAACAAACUAAUCGAUAAAGUCAGAUUUGAAUUCUAAGCAAUGAACUCAAGAAUUCAAGAGUAAGUUCGAUUAAGAACUUGAAAGAAAAAAUCCUCAUGAUUUCUGGUUGUAAUAUUCCGUCUUUUCACUUAUACAAUAGGUGCCUUUUAUAGGCUAAAACUAGGGCAAAUCCGGCCCACAUAAACCUGGAAUAGGAAUUCGGUCCGCAUAAAGAGCUAGCUCUUUAAGGCUUCUCGAUAAGGCCCAAUAAGUAAUAAAAUACUCAACGACUAACAACUACUAAACUAGGCAGUCUUAAAAUAACUACCAACUAAGUUAACAAGUAUGAGAUCAUUCUUUCACUUCAAACAUACAAGUGAACAAGGUAACUUCAUGGUCCAUCAAAUCUACAAACUUAGCUUGCUCCUUGCUUGUAUGGUGAAUGAUCAAGACUCGUAAAACUUCUCUCACCUUCUUGGUUCUUGAUCUUGUCAUCGGACCACCAAUGUUGAUCAAAGGGUCCUUGACCCAAGGUUGAAGGUGUUGUACACCCGUAUCCACAUCACAACCCCUGAAAAUCGCAAACCCUACAUUGGGGCAAAUUUAGUUUUGAAAAAAAAAAGAAAAAAAAUCCCACACUGGAACAAAUUUAAUUUUUAAAGGAAGGCCGAAAGAAAAGAAAAUAAACAAAAGAAAACCUCAAUUAAAAAUAAACUUGAGCAAAUUUUGAAAAAUUUCAAAAGAUGAAUAGAAUGACAGAAGACAAAAAAAAAAGAAAAAAUGAAAGAAAAGAGAACUUUAGUUGAGAAUAAACUAGUGUAAGUUUUGAUUUAACCUUAAAAUAAGGUUGGCACAAUAAUGCGAUUUUAGAUCAUUUAAACCACUUUUGAAAUCCGCCUUCAAACCUUAACUUUUUUAAGCGCCCCACCAGACCCCAUUACAAAAGUCGAAAGUUCUGACUUCUGUUCUUUGCCAUAUCUUUGUCAAGAAAUUUUCUAAUUAACUGGUACAUGAUGUUCAUAUACUGAUGCGAGAAAAAUUUUUAGAUAUGUUUCUGAAUUGAUUAGGUUUGAGAUUGACACUACUCAUCAGGUGAAAAUUCACAAGGACACCUUCAAAAAGGAAAAGAGAUCAUUAUAAAAAAAUAACAAAAAAGGGAAAAAGAAGAAGAAAGAAAAUAAAAGUCAAGAAAAAAAAAGAGAAGAGAGAAAGAAGAAGGAAAGAAAAUAAAAAGGUGGGGGUAAUCUUAGUGCAAACCCGAAAGGGCACUAAGAUAUGGUUUCCCAAGGAAAGCAAAGAAUGUAAUAACUGGCAAUUCAGUUCAUUUGGAUUCCUAUUCACAUUGAAAUUUUUCUGCCAGCAUUGAAUUCCCGACGGACGAUAUCUAAAAGGUCAAACAGGACAAUUUGUUUGAGGUCAAAGUAUUUUGGUUAUCAAAUAUAGAUUGUUGAGUUUAUGAUUCAUCACUCUAAGAUUAUUUUUCCUUCAAUACAAGUUGAUGGUUAUUUUUGGCAUUACAUUGACUUUUAUUAUUUUGUAUAAAAGAAAAUUUUUAGGUGUUGUAGGGUUUCAUUUGUCUCAUUGGAUUUUAUCAAAUAACAAUCUCCACGGUUUAUCGAAAGUGCAUAUGUAUAAAUUUUCAUAUUGAGUUAGCAUUGGAAGCUAAGACAGCCUGGAUAUGAUUUGCAGCACAAGGCUGGAUUUUGCAGCAUCGAGGACAAAACAUUAAAAUAUUCAUGUUUACACGUUUCUUAAAAGCUAGACAGGUCGAAUUGUGGUGACAUUAUUUGUUCUUUCUUUUGCAGGUCCUUACGUGUUUUAAAUAACAAAAUUUGGGCAAAUUUUUUAUAUAAUCGUGGAAUGUCGUUCAAGAAUUGAAUAUUUAUGGUUCAGACCGAGGAAGAGGUGUGAAUGAAAUUCUUAAGGAGGAACAAAAAUGCCAUAAUGCAAAGUGAAUGAUCGGUUGCACAACAAUUGGUUGAAACUGGGGCAAAUUUUUCAAAAAAAUUCUCCAAGUGAGUAUUCAAAAACUUUUUCAUGCACUAACGCUUCUUUCUUGGCAAUUUAAUUUCCUGUUGGUGAGUCUCAGCGUCUGCCACACACCCUUCUACCCUCUUUCUUAGCAAUUUAAUUUCCUGUUAGUGAGUCUCAACUUCCGCCGCGCACCCUUUUACCCUCUUCUUGGCAAUGUAAUUACCUAUUGGUGAGUCUCAGCGUCCACCGCGCACCUUUCUACCUUCUUCUUAGCAAUGUAAUUUCCUGUUGGUGAGUCUCAGCGUCCGCCACAUGCCCUUCUACCUCCCUUCUAUCCCAUUUCUUGGAGCGUAAUCGCGUCUCUCCGCACAUAUUUUUCUAAUUAUGUCAAUUUAAUUUGCUUGACCGUUUUGACUAAAAAUUGUGCUUUCUCAUGAUUAGAAGUUCUGAGAGUUCAGACUCCUUCGAUUCUGCAAAGAUCAUAAGUGGUCAAUGCACUUGUUUCAUUAUUGUUCACUGGUAUUUGAACUACAUUUGACCUGAUUCCCAUAACGGGAUACGUAGGUAACUUUACACGAGUUCGGUCGUGUCUCUUGUAAUAUUAUUGCAUUAUUCUCGCCCAAUAAUUUUAGCUAAGUGUUGGUUUGUUAUUUUAGCUUAGGUGCAGUUAGAAGAGACAAAUAAGUAUUUUGACGUCUACGUUUUUGUCUCUAAUUUCUUUGAAACUCAGACAAAGAGGGGCAAGUUGUAGAUACCAAAAUUUCAAUGCUAUUUAAUUUAAUUUAAUUUUAUUUUAUUUUCAUUAAUCAAAAAUUGCAAAGUGAUAGUUAGCUAUUUUUAUUGAAUUAGGGUUCAUUUUCUAUUAAAUAAUUUUCGAAAAAAGAAAAGUCUCACAAAAAUUUGUUUUUAAGUUUUUCAAAUUCAAUUUCUUCCAAAUAAAGUGGAAAUUUACAAAGCAAUUUCAAUUAGUAGUCUAACAUUUUAUUUACCCUAAAUUUAUUUUUAAAAAAAUAAAAAGAAAAACAAAAAUAGGUGGAAUGCAUGUAAUAUGGUUAGGUGGAGUGCAUGUAAAUGAUCCAUGUGAUUUUGACAUUUUGCACAUCACAACAUUCAAAGGAUAGGUGGCAAGACAGGUGGAAGAUGGAGAAAGAUCUGGAAACAAAAGGGAAAAAUCAGGAAAACAAGGCAAAAGGGAGCGAGCAAGAGAAAGCAAAGGGAAGAAAAAAGAAGGAGAAAGGAAAAAAAAGAAGAGGGUUUUCGCUGAGAAAGAAAGAAAAGGGAGAAAGAAAGAAAAACUGAGGAGGGAAACAAGGGAACCUAGGGAAAAUCUGGGAGAGAGGUUCAGGCCAAACAAGAGAGAAUAGGAAGAAAGGAAAAAAGAAGAAAAAGAGAAGAAGGAAGAGAAGGCUUCGAGCGAGGGGAGUUUUGGGAAGAAAGGGUGGAGGAGGGGAAUCUGCUGGAGCAAGAAAGGAAGAGAGAAACUGGGAGGAAAAGAAGAAAAAGGGUUUCGGGAAAAGAGAGGAAAAAGAGAAGAAAGGAAAUAAAAAGGAGAAAACCAGAAAAAGAGAGGAAAAAGGGAGGAAGUUUGGGGAGGAUUAGGGAGAAAAACAGAAAGGCAAACGAAAGGAAAAGAAAGACAAACAAAGAGAAAAGAGGGAAGAGAGAAUUUCUGCAAAUUUUUUUUCAGAAUCAGGUUGGAUUUUCAUCACCUUGAGAUGCAAUUUUCACAAUUGAAUCGAUCUCUUCUUGGAUGUUUUAAGCAAUCUAGGAUAUUGAUGAAGUGAGGGGAGCAAUUUUUAUUUAGACAUUGUGGAGAAAAAGCGUCAGGAAAGCCUCCAAAUUUGCCUUCCAAAGUCGUGGAUCGGUUUGACUGAUGCAUCUACAAAUCUGCAAAAAUUCUUCAAAAAGUGUCUCUGUUCGUUCCUUUGGCUCUCAUCACAUCUAGGAUUCAUCUUUAGGUAAAUCUUACGCGUUUUCCUCAUUCAUUCCAGUUCACAUGCAAAGAUUAAACUCAUCAAAAAGGAAUUUUUCUUUAGAUUAUUGCCUCGCAAGUCCAUAGUGUUGGUUGUAUGAUUUGGUUGGGUUUGAUGCAUCUUAUUUGACUAACAAAUAAUGAGGUUUAGAAGUUGAUGAGAAACUUAUCUAUCUUGAAUGUGUGUCCUUGUUGCUUUUGCACGUCUUGUGGCUCAUAAUCAAAGCUUUGUUUUGAGAAUUUUUGUUGGAAACUUAUGAAUAAAAAAGCCGUCAGCUUUCUUGCUUUCUUUCCUCCGUGAAACUGAAUGGAUGUGAUCCAUGGGUUGUGGGUUCUUUUCCUAGUAUCUUGUUUGUUUUUCAUGAUUUGGGUUUUAGGCUGUUUUCUUGAAGGGUUGGGUUUGAAGUUUUAGCCAAUGUUCAUCUCACUUUGCUGCAUUUUUAUGUCCAGUUACCUUGUUAGAUUUCUGGGGAUAGAUAAUUGUGUUUAGGUGAUGUUAAUAACGAUGGGGUAGAAGUUCUUGCAUUUGGUUUUAGUUGUCGAAUUAGUAGACGUUGCUUGAGUUAUUUCGCACAAACAUAUCUAGGCGAAUGAGGAAAGAUUGCUGAAGUCUCAAAGCAACGAAAGUUGCAGAAAGCUUCUUCGUAAGAUUGCAUGAAAAUUUCAGAAAAAUUGCAUUUUAGACCUUCAAGUCUUAAGUAAUGCUAUGGGCUAAGAAUAUGGAAAACUCAAUCAAUUUUACCCUUUUUGAAAUUCAAUCAAUCCUUUUAUAUUUUAACCAUGUUUUAGACCUAUUGCUGCUAUGGCCCAAGAAUAUGGAAAACUCAAUCAUUAAUUUGCAUUUUGUUUGAUAAAGUUGAAUCAACUACUUGGUUUGAAUUAACUAUUAAUUUGCAUUUUGUUUGAAUUAACUAUUUGUUUAGUUUAAAUGGCAUUUAAUUUGAAAAUUUUAGGAACCUUGAGUUGACUUCAAAUGAUUUGUUUUGUGUUUAUCAAAGAAAUUGGUACCUUGACCAUUUCCUUUGUUUUGAGGAUAAAAAAGAGAAUUUUCAUUUUAUUAGGUCACCAAUUCAAGGGAGGUACACUCUACUGCUUAUUUUUUAUUUUAAUUGAUCCUAUGAGAAUUUAUGUGUGUAAUUGCAUGUUUUUAUGUUUUUUAUUAUUUAUUUUGUUUUGUUUAUUUAUUCACUUUAUUUGUUUCUUUUAAUUUCAUAUAUUCAUUUUAAUUUAAUUUUUGAUUAUUUAAGAGUCAAUUAAAUGUUAAAUUGUAAUAGUUAGAUUAUUAUUUUAUUUUGUUUCGUUCUUUCCCUCUUAGAUUGUAGUUAGGGUCCCCAAAUGUAAUAGUUAGGCCUUUAUUUGCUCUUAUUUGCUUUGUAUGUGCUUGCAUGUUUACGUGUUUACUCACUUUCUUAGGGUUUUUGCAUCUAUAUAUCAUGCUCAUGUGCUAUGUGCUCUAUGUGAUCUAUGUGUUUACUUGCUUUUAUCAUAUUUUAUAUGAUUUAUUAAUUAUAAUAAAUGCAUGAUAUCACCACACUAGUCCAAUGCUAGUUGUGGGUCUUUAUUCCAAUUUCUCACUAGUCUACUGCUAGUUAGAGCUUAUAGACAUGUGUUAGUCUAACACUAGAUCCUUAGGAACCGUUCACGCAUUAGAUCAUGUUUGUGCGGUAAAAUCACUACAUUUCAUGCACAUUUUCUACUUUUAGGAUCCUUACCAUUUUGUAUGAUAUUUUCCUUAUAUAUAUCCUUUAUCCCUAUAUGUAAAAUAUGACAUUUAGACGUGCAUUUCAUUUAAGAAAAUUAGAACUAGGAUAUUUUUUUUUUGGCUAACUCCGUCCAUGAGGGGGGGAUGCCACCCCCGCUUUUAUUCAUAAAUCACAAAAUACAAUGUUUCUUGCAUUAAGGGGUUCGCACCCUCCUAACAGAAGGAGCUCUCAUGCUAUCUAGGCUAAUUCCUCCACGAGCCAGCCUCAGCCAUUCAUUCCAAUGCUCAUAGAGCUUAACAACAUGGUGGGGGUGUGCUACCUCAACAUUAGCCAGAAUAUCUGUCACAUUAUUUGCCUUUCUGAAACAAUGGACAAGUCUCGACGGAUCUCCUGCCAGCUUCCAUAUUUGCUGGACCUCCCAGCGGAUAUGCCAAUGACAGUGAAGCUGGAGUUGAAGAAUCCCCACCAAAACUAGAAAAUCCAGUUGAAUGCUAACAUUCAUGAACCCCUUUUGAGCAUAUAUCUGAAGCCCCGUUAGAAGUGCCAGCGUUUCUGCCUGGACGCUAGAUGUCACUCCAAAAAAAGCCGAGAACCCUACCAUGGGGUGUCCCGAUGGAUCCCGUAGCACUCCUCCGCCACCACAUGGCCCAGGAUUACCCUUGGAGCAGCCAUCCGUGUUCAGGGUAAGUGCUCCCAUUGCAGCUGGCUCCCAACAAACAAGUUUGAGCUCGAAACGCCGCUCCGACUGAGACGACCAAUCACACAACUGCAAGAAUGAUCGAGCCCCAACAUGUUGCUUGAACUGCCCUUCAAGAAGUAAUUUGGUCUCCAAAAAAAUAUCUUGGCAAAUAGAAGGAGGAUGCAGUUGAAUGCCCUCAAAAACUGCUCUAUUCCUAGCCUUCCAAAUGUGCCAACAAAGUAUGCUCGGGAGAGUAUGAUUGAUAAGUGGAUAUUUAACGUACAUUUUGUAUGAAUUUGGCAUUAAUUUUUGGUAUGAUCUGAGAAGAUUAAGCCAUAUUUGAACUCUUUUGGUGAUAAUUGCUUAAAUAUUGAUUAAGGUUUCAAAAAUUGAUAAAUGAGUGAAUUAAUGCAUUAAUUUUGUGAAAUUGUGAAGGUAAUUGAUGUAUGAAAUUCAUGCACAUCCAGAGGACAAAGUAUACAAGAAAUUGGGAGCAAAAAUGUAGAAAAAAAGGAAGAAGUGAAAAACUGGAAAAAUGUUCAACACGGAUCCGAUCUCGGAUCCGUGUGAAUAAGAGGGAUCCGACCCCUCGUCUGUACUUCUGGCGGAGCGCAUCCGAGGUCAGGACGAUCCGACCUCGGAUCCAUUAUGAAAUCCCUCGGAUCCCUCGGAUCCGAGCUCGGAUCCAUUUUCACUCCUCGGAUCCGAGACUCGGAUCUGUCUCUCUCCUCAGCAAGUGUCACAGCUGUUUUUCUUUACCUUUUUCACAACUUUCCACCUAUUUUGAGGGCCAGAAAUCGGUGGCACAUUCUUCUGCAACAAAAGAGAAGACCAAAUGAGUAUGGACAAAAGGAAAUAUCAUAUCUUUGACUUCUUUUUACAAAAUCUGAGUGGAGGAAAUUAUGAAGUGAGAGGAAUGGAAUUUCUUCCACCUUUUAUGCAGAAACACAGAGGAGAAGCCUGGAAUACCAUACGUAGCUAGUUUUCUUUCUUGUAUCUAAUUUUCUCUCUAGAUAGGAGUUCUUGGAGAAGUACUUGGAGAGUUUCACUUAUAAUCAUAUUGUGCAAGAACAUAGCAGGAAUUGGAGAGUUUCACCUUCAAUUGGCUAAGCUUUCUUUUAUCUUUCUUAUACUUGUACUUUAUGAGGUUUUGCAUUAAUAAACUUGUGAGUUUGAUUGUUAAAUCAUUCAUGAGUAGCUAAACUCCUUCAUCUAGGGAGUAGAUGAAACUUAUGGCUAAAUAAUACUAAUUGAAUGUGAUCUACACUUGUUAUAUCUUGUAUUAAUUUGUCUACUUGUGUAGCUGUGAUUACUUGUUAUUGAUUGAUCACCAAUAGCAUGUUUAUAGUGUUAUUAUUCAAUGAGAAUUGGUAAUAACAAUUGAAACACAUGAGUAGAGCUUGAGUUGUAUGUUCAUGAAAAUAGAGAUACACUUAGGUGGAUUAGUGAGCAUUUCAUGAAAUAAAACGGAGUAGUAGUAGUAUUUCACCAUGAAAAUAGGGAAAUCUAUAUUGCUCUAGGCCAUUUCAUCAUGAAAAUGAGACUUGGUAAUCUUGGAAAUAAAUCUCUGGUUAAGCAAGAAUAAUAGCAAGAAGUAAAUCCAUUCAUUUGUGUAGUUUAUGCCAUAAGUGGAAUCUACAUCCCUAGAAUCUUCCUUAAGUGAAAUUUAUCUAUUCGCAUUCAGCAUUUGUUAAACUAGAUUUGUAUAUCAGAUUUGUAGAUUACAGCAUUAGAUUUUCUCUGCUCAAAUUAAUUGUAAGUCUAAAUAAUAGAGAGAACAAGGGCUUAGUAAUUGUUUAAAUUGCUCCUCGUGGGAUCGACCCGAUACACAUUUUGUACUACAAUUGCAACCUGUAUACUUGCAGUCCAACGGGUGUCAAAUCGGAAUUAAACUUGCAUUGAUACAAAAAUCCCGUCAAGUUUUUGGCGCCGUUGCCGGGGAGCGGCAAUAUUAGGGCCUAAUCAUCUCUAUUAAUUUAGAUAUUUUUUAGUGUUUUUUUUUAUUUGUUGAAUUAAAACUGAAAAAUUUCUCUUGUUUUUGUUUGUAGUGUAUGCACCGAUCAAAUCGAGAAGUUGCACAUUUCGAUCUUGAAAUUGAAAGAACAUUACACAGAAAAAGGAGGAGUACAUCACAUCAAGAGGAACAAGAGGUUUGGCAGCCAAUAGAAGAUAUUCUGAUAGAAUUACAAUUUGAAGAAGACAUGGCAGAAAAUGAAGCAAAUAGGCGAGUUCUACGAGAUUAUGCUCUACCGGGAACACAAGGAUCUCAAACGAGCAUAGCAAGGGCUACGGUAAAUGCUAACAAUUUUGAGAUUAAACCAUCACUUAUCCAAAUGGUUCAACAAUCUCAAUUUGGAGGUAAUGCAGUAGAAGAUCCUAAUACACACUUAGCUACAUUCUUGGAAAUUUGUGAUACAAUUAAAAUGAAUGGAGUUAGUGAUGAUGCUAUAAGGCUAAGAUUGUUCCCAUUUUCAUUGAGAGAUAAGGCCAAACUUUGGCUACACUCUCAUGCUCCUAAUACUUUCACCGGAUGGGAUGAUUUAUCAAGAGCAUUCUUAAAUAAGUAUUUUCCACCAGGUAAGACUGCUAAGCUAAGAAUAGAUAUCACUAGUUUUAGCCAAAUGGAAGGUGAAUCAUUAUAUGAGGCAUGGGAAAGGUUUAGAGAUUUGCUUCGGAAAUGUCCACAUCAUGGACUGCCGGAGUGGUUAAUCAUACAAACCUUUUAUAAUGGUUUAUCUUUCUCCACUAAAACUAUUAUUGAUGCAGCCGCAGGUGGAGCUUUAAUGGGUAAAUCACCCCAAGAAGCUCAGAAUUUGAUAGAAGAAAUGGCCGCAAAUAACUACCAAUGGGCCAAUGAAAGAGGUAAUACAAGACGUCACGCAGGUAUGAUAGAAAUGGACACUCUCAAUAUGCUGAGUGCUCAAAUGAAUAAUGUGAUGAAGUUGCUAAAUAAACAAGGUGGAGUUGGUCCAAGUUCAUCUAAUGCACAUGCAGCAUGUUGUUCUAUAUGUGGAGGUGAACAUGAUAUUAAUGAGUGUGUUGAUUCUGAGCAGGUACAAUUUGUCAAUAAUUACAACCGAAAUGCUCCAAAUAAUCCCUACUCGAAUACUUACAAUCCGGGGUGGAGAAAUCAUCCAAACUUUGGAUGGAAAGAUCAAGGCAAUCAACAAAGGCCAACCAAUCCGCCGGGAUUUCAACCAAGGCAACCACAGGCUGAAACUAAACCAAGUUGGGAGAUCGCGGUGGAAAAACUUGCUAAGGUGACUUCGGAUAGAUUCGAGCGAGUUGAGGGGCGGUUGGACCAAUUAGCUGGGAUGUACAGAAACUUGGAGGUUCAAAUUGGUCAAAUUGCCAAUGUGAUCAACAAUAGAAACCCUGGUGAAUUACCAAGUAAAACCGAAGUGAAUCCGAGAGAGCAUGUCAAUGCAAUCAUUCUUAGAAGCGGUAAAACGGUUGAGGGAUUCGAUUUUGAAAAUUCAGGUGGUGAAAAAGACAAGAAGCAAGCAAUUGAAGGGGAGCAAGAAAGUCAAAAUGAUCAUGUUAUCAUUGAUAUUGAUGCACUUCAUCCCAAAUUAAAUUCUAAUGUGAUACCUUUUCCUCACAGGUUGAAGAAAGAUGGACAGGAUCGGGAGUUUGAAAAGUUCUUCAAAAUGUUUAAACAAUUGCACAUUAACAUUCCUUUCAUUGAUGCUAUAACACAGAUUCCCUCUUAUGCACGUUUCUUGAAAGACAUCAUGUCAAAGAAGAGGAAAAUUGUAGAUAAUGAGAUGAUAGCAUUAACGGAAGAGUGUAGUGCAUUGAUUAAGAAUAAACUCCCUCCUAAAUUGAAAGAUCCGGGAAGUUUUUCUAUUCCUUGCACUAUUGGUCAAUUGCAUUUUUCUAAUGCUUUAUGUGAUUUAGGUGCAAGUGUGUCACUUAUGCCGUUAUCGGUUGCCCGGAGAUUGGGACUUCAAGAGCUAAAAGCUACCAAUAUUACAUUGCAAUUGGCGGAUCGGUCAAUCACACGUCCCAUGGGUAUUUUGGAAAAUGUGCUCAUAAAGGUAAGACAAUCUAUAAUACCUGUGGAUUUUGUUGUCUUAGAUAUUGAAGAAGAUGUGAGAAUGCCAAUUAUUCUAGGACGACCGUUUUAGCCACUGCACGAACUAUAAUUGAUGUAGAAAAUGGUAAGCUUAUAUUACGGGUUAAUGGUGAGGAAUUGGAAUUCAAUUUGGAUAAUAAAGAAGGGAAUAUAGAGCCUACUGCUCUUGUUUCUAAUAUGCCAUAUGAUGAAAAGGUUAACCAAGAAAGGACCGAAGAAGUUAAAUUUAUAAAUGUCCUUGGUACUAACUUUCAUGGUGUAGGAACAAAGGAGGAGAAGAUAAGGAUGGAAGUUGGCUUAAUAAAUUCGCCAUUCCAUGAAGAAAAUGGUGAAAAGUUGAGCCAAUUCAGAAAAGACAAGCAAAAUCCACUCCAAGGUGAAGUUGAGCCUCUCUAUGACAAGUCUAAUAUUUCUCCUUGGCAUUUGAGGAAAUUGGACUAUGAAGAUCAAUGCAUGGUUCACCACAUGGUGGAUUGGCUCGGGAGUUUCAACCCAUGGGGAGAAAAUCUCUCUCUAAUGCUCUAAAGUGAUUCAACUUUUUCAGUCGAGCCAACGACUAUAAACAAAAGCGCUAAUUGGGAGGCAACCCAAUAAUAAUUGUGUAUUUGUGUGUUUUUAUGUGUUUCUUACAUUUUGGUGGGAUUUAAUUAACUAAUUAGAUGUAUUUCACUUGUUUGUAGGAGAUACGGGAGUUUUAUCAUCCAUUUUGGAGGUGCACUUGAAGAACAUGUUGGCAGGGAGUUUUUCUUACCAGCUUGUGUUUUAAGUGCUUAAAAUUCCCAUGCAUAUACAUACAUUGUGCAUUUCAAGUAUAUUUAAGUGAGUUUUGGUGAUAUCAUGGUUAUAAAGGCUCAUGGACUCAUUUGAUAUACAUUUAAUGCCCAAAACUGCCAUUUUAGUGUAAAAAUGAUCAAAGAACCUCACCCCUCGAUUUUCAAUGUAGAUAUGUUUGUUGUGUUUUGAGAGGUUGGAUAUUAUGUUUAUGGUAUAUUACAUGUGCAUGGGACGUUGGAAUUGAGAAAAGGGAUGUCCAAUGUGUAAUUUGGAAUUGGCCGAAAAAGGGAGAAAAAGUUUAGAAAAAUUGCAGUUUCUGCAAUUAGUGCAGAGAAAUACAGAUCCGAGCUCGGAUCCUAAAAAGCCAGACAGAUCCGACCUCGGAUUUAUAGAUCCGAGCUCGGAUCGUUUCCAACCCAGAUAGAUCCGAGGGUUCGUCUGUGUUUCUGUUGAGACUGAUCCGAGCCCUGUCGGAUCCGAUGCCUUCCAGAACGGAUCCGACCUCGGAUCCUUUCGCGAUAAGAAUGGAAACGAGGCCUCGGUUCCUCAUUUUCCAGAUUUCUUUUUUCUCUCUAUCGGAAACCCUAUCCCCUUUCCUCCAAUCUUCCAUUUCAUCCAUAAAAUUCCCAAUUUUUCACAAUAAAAACCUUCCCUAACCUUUUGUGAGCAUUAACCCUCAACAAUUUGGAAUCGAAAACAUCAAAUUGAGGGGUUUUGAUCUUCAAGACGUGAAAUAGGGCCAAACUGAAAUCUUGCAAUUUGAGGACAAAUUUGGGCUUGUUUGUCUUCCAUUUUUGCAUCAUUAUCAUCCUCCAUCAUCACUCUACACAUUUGAGGUAACAAUUUGCAAUUUUCUUUGAGUUUACAUAAUCUCUAAUUUUGCAUUUUUCUAUUUCUUAGGUAUAUUGUGAUAAAUUUGUAUUUGUUAGAACUUCUUGAUACAAUUGUGCUACAUUGCACUUAAAUAAAUUGUUACAACUAGUUUUAUGUUUAUUUUUGAGAAAAAUUGUGGAUUUGGUGAUAAUUUUUGACAUUUCUUUCUCAAUUUUUGGGCUUGAGUAUUUUAUUGACUUAGAAUUGUGAAUUUUACUAUAUGAACUUAUUUCGAGAGGUAUAAGUCACUAACAUACCAAUUGAACAUGAUAUGCUCUCAUUAGAACAAUAGCCUAUGGGAUAAAAGAGUGUGUCCCUGAUCAAGUUGACCACAUUGAACCACUUUUACUUAAGAUAAUUAGCAUUUGUUUGGAUGAAUUGGAACUCAUAUGUAUGUACAUUGAGUGUUAUAAAUGGGAAUGGAGAUAUUCUCAAGUGUUUGUGUGUUUAUGGAUAUAAUUUUCAAUUAUUUGCACUUAAUAUGCAUGAAAUGGUUUCCUUAUUGGUAAUAUCCUCUUUACAUGUGGGAAUUGGAUUUGAGAAGUGUUAGGAAGUUUAUUUGUUUAAAUUUUGGUACAGUUUGGCAGGGAGUUUAGCCCUUUUUCAAGGGGAAACUCUGCCGAAAUUUUUUUAAAUUCCUAGUUAACAUGUAUGAGCAAGUUUCUAUCAUUUCUAAUACAUACUCAUCUUGUUUAUAGGUGUUAUGGCUCGUACAAGGAGGGAUCGUAUUCGUACUCCUACACCAUCGUCAAGUGAAGAACAUACACCUUCUGUGCAUGAGGAGUCGCCUGAGGAAGAAUCUCCUUCGCCUGAGUCACCACCUCGCUCUCGUCGAAAGACCGCAUCCACUAGCCGUGACGAGCCACUUCCUGACUAUGAUACCACUCGUUUCACCUCGCUCGAGAAUCAACAGUGGUACGAGGCUGGUUUGGACAAAGAGAUUAUCGUUGAAAAAUAUUUGGCACCGGAGGUGGAUGCACACUACCACAUCUCCACGGCAUUUAAACGACUCGGAUGGGAGACUAUACUAAAUUUGCCAAAACAUUACUAUCCCAAUCUGGUCCGGGAAUUCUACGCCAAUGUAGAAAAUAAACAAAGUCACAGUGGCAACCUCAUCGUCUCGUGGGUUCGAGGAAGAAGAGUGGCUCUCAAUCGCGAUACACUGAGACAAUUCGUCAAAUUCAAAGAUGAAGGCGAAGAUGUCAAAUUGACCAAGGAGUUCAAAGCUCGAGACCCUUGGGAAGUGGGAGAGGCCGUGGGACGACUAAAGGGUCAAUACCGUGAGCGAGGAAGUUCGAAAAAACUCACAGUAUAUGCUGACUCCUUCGAGCAUCGGUACCACCUGAUUUUCUACCUUUUUGCCUUCAAUGUGGUGCCGAAAAAGAGUGGCAAACGAGAGAUCCGAAAUAGCGAUCUCUAUUUUCUGGAUAAAAUGAUACAUGGAGUGGGUAGGCAGUUGACUGGUAUUCCUCUACCCAGCAUUAUCAUCAGCUAUAUGCGAACCACAGCUCGUAUGAGGGCCGGCGAGACUUGUUUUGGAUUUCCUCGGCUGCUAUCCCUCAUCUUUGAGAAGCUCAAGAUUCCCAUUGGAACCGAGAGAGCUGUGGUAACUAGGUCGGCCGAGGAGGUAAAUGAUUCGUUACUCAAAUCCUUGGAUAUUUCUACUGAUUUUGGAGCUACUUUGGUCCGGGACACAGGAGAAGCAUCGACUUCCACUCAGCCUCCGCCCCACACUGAACCACAAGCGGAAACUCAAGAGACGGAGGCACAGCAGCCUCUUCCUCCUCCGGUUCCACGACCACCUCCUCAACCACGCUCCAAGUGGCAAGAGCUUCUCAAUGCUAUUUGCUGUAUGGAGACCCGAGUCGUCGAGCGCAUUGACCAGACGGAACGGAUGAUGACUGAGCAACUCGACCGACAUGAUCGCCGCCUUCGUGCGAUCGAGGAUCAUUUCCAUAUCCGACGGUCCCCUACACCGACACCUCAUCAGGAGGAGGGCCAUAUUGGUACCUCACAGGGUCCUCAUGGAGCCGAGGAGGCAGUAGACCCUCGUUCCGAGCAGCCAUGACGCUACUUAGCGGAUUUGAUCUUUUAUGUCUUUAUUUAUUUUUCUUUUCUUUUGUUAAGACAACCUUGUAGAUUUUAUUUUUCUUUUAGUUGAAUCAUCUUGUGCUACUUAUGGUAUUUGGUACCUUUGUUGUCUCAUUUUGGACAGAAAAAGGAUGAUCGUGAUGAUUAAAGGCUUCAAAUUGCAUCACCACCUAUUUGAGGGAAGUUUCAGUUCUUUUACCUUCCUCUACAAUGAGGACAUUGUAGAUUUUAAGUGUGGGGGAGGGAUUACUUAUCUUAUGGGUGAUUGUGUGUUGAAAUGCAUGAUUUUAGUUGUUUAUGGCUUAAAAAUGUUGGAAUUAUACGUGGAGAUAGUCAUGAGGAUAAUUUUUGUGAAAAUUGAGGUUGUUGGCAGGGAGUUUCAUCCAUUUUUAUGGGGAAACUCUGUCAAAAUUUUUCUAAAAUAUUUUCCAGUAUUUCAUUGCAAUUCUUCCAUAAAAAUGGCCAAAAUGUUAAAAUUUUAAGUGUCUAAUUCUUCCAUUGGAUAAAAUGUUAUGUGUAUUUUGGAAAAGUUUAGUUCUUAUUUGGCCUGGAAUGAAUUAUUAUGCAAUUAGGAUAUUUACAUUUUAGAAAGUAUAUUUUGUUAAAUAAGAAAAAUUAUGCUUAGAAUUUUGCAAAAUUAAUGAGAUUUAUCAUUUUUACCUAAUUUUAUAAGUAAGUGAUUGAUAUAGUCAAAGACAAGGCCAAAUUCUUCCUUUAAUUAUAUUUAGAGGGAAAAAGAAAUUAUAUGUUAAAAAAAAAGAAUAAUAUUAUUAUUUUUCUACUCCAAUGAUUCACAUACUGAGUAACCGGGGGUUGGCAUUUACAAAUGUCGACAUUCGCGUAAAAAAGUAUUGGAAUUAAGAGUAUGCUUAGCAAUUUAAAUGAGUGAAAUGUUGAGUAACCGGGAAUUUUCACCUAAAAGUGUUGAUUUUCGCGUAAAAAGACAUUUUCAUUAUUUAAAUGAGAAGAAAUGUGAAUAAAUCCCUCUAAUUUGUUAAGUUUUGGGAUGAGGAAGGCCAUAAAUUUGACUAUGUGAUUUACUUAUUUGUGGAAUUAGGAUAGAAUGAGAGAAUUGAUUUGAAUUUAUCAAAAUAUAGGCAUAAUUAUUUUUAUUUAAUUGAAUAUUAUGGGUAUUUAGUGUAAUCUGAGAAAUGGCAUAAUAAUUGGUUUCUAGGUUUUUGAGGAAUUAAAUUUGACAAGAGUACGCAUAUUGUUUUCUCUAUCUCUAUUGAAUAUUUGAAGUAAGUUUUGUGUAAAUUUGCUUGAGGACAAGCAAUGAUUCAAGUGUGGGGGAAUUUGAUAAGUGAAUAUUUAACGUACAUUUUGUAUGAAUUUGGCAUUAAUUUUUGGUAUGAUCUGAGAAGAUUAAGCCAUAUUUGAACUCUUUUGGUGAUAAUUGAUUAAAUAUUGAUUAAGGUUUCAAAAAUUGAUAAAUGAAUGAAUUAAUGCGUUAAUUUUGUGAAAUUGUGAAGGUAAUUGAUGUAUGAAAUUCAUGCACAUCCAGAGGACAAAGUAUACAAGAAAUUGGGAGCAAAAAUGUAGAAAAAAAGGAAGAAGUGAAAAACUGGAAAAAUGUUCAACACGGAUCCGAGCUCGGAUCCGUGUGAAUAAGAGGGAUCCGACCCCUCGUCUGUACUUCUGGCGGAGCGCAUCCGAGGUCAGGACGAUCCGACCUCGGAUCCAUUAUGAAAUCCCUCGGAUCCAUUUUCACUCCUCGGAUCCGAGACUCGGAUCUGUCUCUCUCCUCAGCAAGUGCCACAGCUGUUUUUCUUUACCUUUUUCACAACUUUCCACCUAUUUUGAGGGCCAGAAAUCGGUGGCACAUGCUUCUGCAACAAAAGAGAAGACCAAAUGAGUAUGGACAAAAGGAAAUAUCAUAUCUUUGACUUCUUUUUACAAAAUCUGAGUGGAGGAAAUUAUGAAGUGAGAGGAAUGGAAUUUCUUCCACCUUUUAUGCAGAAACACAGAGGAGAAGCCUGGAAUACCAUACGUAGCUAGUUUUCUUUCUUGUAUCUAGUUUUCUCUCUAGAUAGGAGUUCUUGGAGAAGUACUUGGAGAGUUUCACUUAUAAUCAUAUUGUGCAAGAACAUAGCAGGAAUUGGAGAGUUUCACCUUCAAUUGGCUAAGCUUUCUUUUAUCUUUCUUAUACUUGUACUUUAUGAGGUUUUGCAUUAAUAAACUUGUGAGUUUGAUUGUUAAGUCAUUCAUGAGUAGCUAAACUCCUUCAUCUAGGGAGUAGAUGAAACUUAUGGCUAAAUAAUACUAAUUGAAUGUGAUCUACACUUGUUAUAUCUUGUAUUAACUUGUCUACUUAUGUAGCUGUGAUUACUUGUUAUUGAUUGAUCACCAAUAGCAUGUUUAUAGUGUUAUUAUUCAAUGAGAAUUGGUAAUAACAAUUGAAACACAUGAGUAGAGCUUGAAUUGUAUGUUCAUGAAAAUAGAGAUACACUUAGGUGGAUUAUUCAGCAUUUCAUGAAAUAAAACGGAGUAGUAGUAGUAUUUCACCAUGAAAAUAGGGAAAUCUAUAUUGCUCUAGGCCAUUUCAUCAUGAAAAUGAGACUUGGUAAUCUUGGAAAUAAAUCUCUGGUUAAGCAAGAAUAAUAGCAAGAAGUAAAUCCAUUCAUGUGUGUAGUUUAUGCCAUAAGUGGAAUCUACAUCCUUAGAAUCUUCCUUAAGUGAAAUUUCUCUAUUUGCAUUAAGCAUUUGUGAACUAGAUUUGUAUAUCAGAUUUGUAGAUUACAGCAUUAUACUUUCUAUGCUCAAAUUAUUUGUAAGUCUAAAUAAUAGAGAAAACAAGGGCUUAGUAAUUGUUUAAUUUGCUCCUCGUGGGAUCGACCCGAUACGCAUCUUGUACUACAAUUGCGACCUGUAUACUUGUAGUCCAACGGGUGUAAAAUCGGAAUUAAACUUGCAUUGAUACAAAAAUCCCGUCAAUGAUAAAGAGCCAGACGUGGCCACGCCAACCACCAAGAAGCCAGACGGCCCCGCACAGACGUGACUAUGCUAGAGAUGCCACACAACCUCUCAAAGAAUGCCCAUAUUGCUAUAGCAACCUCACCCGUGGCAAACACAUGCUCAAUGGCCUCAGCCGCCAGGGAAGGGCAACACACACAUUUUGACGGGACAUGAACCCCAAACGUGCAGAGCAUGUCAUCUAAGAGCAUCCGACCCAUUAACAGCCGAACCAUAAAAAAUGAUACCUUGACGGGGGUUAGACGCUGCCAAGCCCUAGAGAGCAUGAUUGAAGCAUUAUCGACAUGCUGUCCCUUCUGAUAGGUUGAAUCUAAUGAAAAUUUCCCAGACAUCUCCGGUAUCCAUACCACCUCAUCCGCAGAAUGUUCAGUCGGGACCGAUUUUCUCAACACAGAAGACAUCAUAUCCCGUGGUAGACACUGAGCUAGGAGCUGAGCAUCCCAGUGACCCUGAGCAAUAAAGUCUCGGAAGGAUAGAUGUGAGGCCACUGGAGUUUUGAGGAACAACGCUCAACUACCCAACCAAUUAUCAUACCAAAAAUGACAUGACCCGUCUUGUACUAACCACAACAUGGAUAGCUCAACCUGGCGGCCGACAUCCAGCAUCCAUCUCCAUGUCGCUGAGGCAAACACCUUACACUCUGCCUGGCAAGGAUAAAUGCCUCAACAAUACUUCGCCUGCAUGAAGGAAGCCCACAGGGACGUCCCAGUCCGGAACUGCCACCAAAGCUUGUAAGAGAAAGCCCUAUAUACAUCACUAAGCCAGCGAAACCCCACCCUCCCUCCUCAAGCGGGAGACAAAGCUUAGCCCAGCGAAUCCAAUGAUACCUUGAUCCUUCCUCCGAAGAUCCCCACAGAAAGUUGCACAAGCUCGCUCAAUAACCCGGAACACAGCCUUGGGAAUUACUGCCGCAGACAGCAAGUGAAUCGGAAUAGCGGAUAGAACAUGUUUUAUCAAAGUGAUCCUUCCCCCCGACGGUAAAAGCUUAGUUUUCUAGGACAGUAUUUUCCCAAGGAUCUUCAGACACACCUCCGCAAAGUAGGCCGUCUUACACCUGCCGACAUAUAGGGGAAAGCCUAAAUAGCGGGUAGGAAACGCCUAUCGCAAAAACCCUGUAAUAUGCUCGAUUGUCCUACCUCUUGCACUGGAUAGUGACGAGUGGACCAAAUAGCCACUCUUCUGAGCAUUGAGCAAUUGGCCUAAGGAACGUUGAUACAUAUCGAGCACCCGCAUAACCUGGCGCAAAGAUGCGUCAUCUGCAAAAGCCAAAUGGGUUACCGCAGGGCAAUCCUGGGGUACCUUAAACCCGUGGUAGGAUGGCCAGGUUACAAGAUCGUUCAGUCCCCGUGAUAGAACCUCCAUGGCUAGGAUGAACAAGGCAGGGGAGAGCGGGUCCCCUUGACGAAGACUCCUGCUCGACCUAAAAUAGCCGUAAGAUGCCCCAUUAAUCACAACCGAAAAUCAGACAUUAGACACCAACCGCCAGACCAUAUCAAUAAAGCGUUCUCCAAACCCAAACUUCCGCAAUACUCUAAUCAGAUAAAGCCAGGACAUCCGGUCAUAAGCCUUGGCCAUGUCAAGUUUGAGCACUACGUUCCCCCCUCUCGCUUUCUUUCCUAUGACUGCAACAAUUUCCUGAGCCAAUAAAUAGUUCUCCGUAAUAUUCCUGCCUCUAACAAACCCUGACUGCUGGGGAAAGACCAGCUUUGGCAACAAGACAGCCAGUCUAUCAGACAAAAUGCGCGACAAAAACUUUAUUUAUGAAAUUGCAGAGGCUUAUAGGCCGAAAGUUAGAGAAGUCUUGAGGGUUUGAGACCUUUGGGAUGAGGACAAUAGAAGUCGAAGUAAUGAAACGCGGAAGAUCAGCCCACAAAAGAAGCUUACCACAACAUUAUACACAUCUUGGGCGAUAACAUCCCAUACAAAGGUAAAGAACUUGCCCGUAACCCAUCCGGUCCCGCCACACUGUCCCCAUCCAUGGCAUGCACCACAUUUUUCUCUUCUUCCAUUGAAGGAAUGUCCUCUAGAGUCAGGUUCUCUUCCCUCGUGAGGACAUGAGAGAUGAGCAGAAGCAACUCAGUGCUAGGCACCACAGACUCAGAGUACAGUCUCGAGAAGAAACGAAUGGCCUCAGUGGCAAUUUCCCCAUCGCCCUCCACCCAAGUCCCCACUUGCGUUUUGAUCCGGUGGAUCGUAUUCUGGACUUUACGUUGCUUAACCACCGUAUGGAAGAACUUAGAAUUCUAGUCCCCACUUGAGAGCCACCUAACACGUGCCUUUUGGCUCCAAAAUUGCUCCUCGAUUGCCAAUGCAUUCCGAAACUCCGCCUUCGCCUCCUGUAGCAAAUGUGAGCGUCCUCCGAGUCCUCGCUUUCCGCCCCUGUCUCUACCAGAACCAUUUUCGCCUCUGCCACCUUGACAGCCUCAAAAACAUUUUCAAAGAAGCAUUUAUUCCAUUGUUGAAUGGCUCUCCUCACAGUCAAUAGCUUAGUACACUACACACGCCAGGGAGACCCAUCCGCUGGGAGAGCCCAAGCAUUGCGGAUCACCUCCAACAGGGAGGACAGUGAUAUCCAAACGUUGAGAAAAUGGAAUGGCCGCGGCUUAUCAUCCUAAUGGGUGGCAAACGUGAUCUUUAAAGGGGCGUGAUCGGAAGGGUGCCUAGUCAGAUGAACCAUUGAAAUAGAGGCGGACAGGUCCGUACAUUCGCCGUUAACAAGGAGCCGAUCCGACCGCUUCCACACCCGAGCUCAACCUCACCUAUUAUUACACCAAGUGAAACUGGGUCCAGAGAACCCGGCAUCAAAAACUUCAGCCUCCUCCAUAAAUGACAUGAACUCCAACCCCACCGCGGACACAAAGGAGCAGCCCCCUCGCUUCUCAGUCGGAGCCAAGAUCACGUUGAAAUCCCCCCUAUGCACCAGGGAUGCGACCGUGGCUUGUCAAGUAAGAGAUCCCUCCACAAGUCCUUGCGACACUUCACGGAACAUCUCGCAUGGGCCCAGGACAACAUUAAGGAGCCAGGCAAUAGUGGAUGAUGAGCAUCUAACGUGAUAUAUUGGUUAGAAGACCCAACCUGCGAGCAAACAAAUAGUGACUUAUAGAAUACCCAGAGAUCAGCCGAUGUAUUAACCAUGACAUAAUCAAACGAAAGCUGCAAUCGUGUAGACUCAAUCUUAGGUUCACAGAUGCAAAGAAAUUGAACAUCAUGCAUGCGAAUUAACCUGAUCAAUCUCCUAAGAUUGGGAGCUUUCGACACCCCCCGAAUAUUCCAAAAUAGAGCAUUAACCAUGGGAUGAGGCAUUGAAAGAAUUUUGAGACGAUGUUGAAGAACAAAGCUGCCUGUCUGAGGGAAACUUAGCACACAUACCUUUCACCUUCACCUGCGUAAAUCCCUGCUCCAACUCCGUGGCCUGAUCAAUGUUAAGCUCCAACAGUGAUAGGUCAAUCGCGGGCCCAUGCGACCUGCUCAAUCUUGGCGACAAAUUCCUUGUUGCCCACGGCAACUCCUUCUCAUGCGAAGCUGCUGGCGAACCAAGCUCAACCGAAACAAGCUCCUUGAACCCACCUUGCAUGCAUGUGUCCGCCCUUCCAGCAGCCUCUUCCUCGGUCACCCUUCCCUCAACCGCACUAAGCUCCUUGAACCCACAUUGCAUGUCUACGUCUUCCCCUCCAGCAGCCAUUUCCUCGGUCACUACCAUCUCCAACCCAGCUCCUCCCUCAGCCGCUUCUUAGGCCACCAUCCCAUUGGCCGUGGCUGCACACUCUACUUCCCCUCCCGUAACCAUCAUGCAUGCGGGUUCUUUUGCCUUGGACGCUACCCCCUCCAACCCAGCCCUCUCCUCUGCCACCCCUGCGUCCCCUAUCAAACUAGGCGCACACAUCCCCUCCCCACCAACAACCAAACCUACCACGUCGCUGCCCACUGCCUCCUUCGCUACACCCACACCCAGCCCCUCUGUUCCCUUGUUAUUCACCGCCACCCCUUCCUCCGCAGGUAGAAUAGUGCCUUCACAGUUAGCCAUACCAUCAGGACUCCGCACAGCCUGCACCCUAAUCCCUUUGCCACUCUCCUUGUUAGCAGGAAAGCGACCAGGCCGUAGCGGGCUUUGUUGCACUCAGCGGUCGAAUGGCCAAGCCGCCAGCAUGAAGAGCAGUAAGAGGGCAGAUGCUCCACCACAAUCUCUUGCUAGAAACCUCCUCUCCCUCGACAGCCAUCCACACUCGAGAGCAGGUUGGUUUCAACAGAUCAACUUCAACACAGGCUCUGGCAACGCCGGGCCUUGUACCAGAUGCAGUUGCCGAGUCCAAGAACAACGGUGUACCCACAAGAGACAGAAUAGAGAAUAGCGAAUGUUUAUCAAAAAAAUGAAUUGGGAGUGCCGGCAAUGCAACCUCGGUACAAGCGAGGAUUCCCUAUGGACAUGGAAUUCCCUAGUCCAAUGAAACACCCUCAUAGGGUACUUCCCUAUGUUCCACAGCCCUCUCGUCCAGAUACGAUUGAAGUCCGUCUCUGCCGAACAUCUCAGCAGCACAUGUCUAUAAUCCAGCAAGCCGAUUGAGAUGUCGUCCUUCAGAUUGAGCAUCGUAAAAAAUUUUCGCACUACCUCCAGUGAUGGCCGGCCAUGGGAGUAUUUGCCCACUAGAGACCAAUGAAAAGAAGUAGCCAGCUUGUUGGCCUCCUCCUUGGAGAAGACUAUUGCUGCCUCCUUUGUACAAAGUGGCUAGUCGCAGAUGGACAGGAGAAGGAGCCGGUUCCGAGAAGAGUUGUGAAGAAGAUUUCUUGGCCGUUGGAGAGGCCAUCUGACCCUCCACGGUCUGCCUGAGGGCGGCCAUGGGCUGCCGCCAACCCUAGCAACGUUCCGACUUUCUUGGAGCAAAGGGUUUCGGAGGUUGUUUUCUAUAUGUUGGCUUUUUAAAUUAUUCAUUCAACUAGAUUAGAUCAUUUGCUUGAUUAGAUAGGAAAUACCCCUCGAAUAUGGGAUAUGGACAAGUAUGGCUUUCUAACCUUAGGACGCUCGUAUUCCCUCUAUAAAAGAGAAAAUCUAAUUACGAAUCUUAGCCUCCAUACUCGUUAUGUUGCAUCCUUCUCUUUUAGGUCACGUAUAUUUGUAUAUUACAAUUUUUUUCUAUUUUUUCAAGUUUCAUUGUUGCAUAUUGUGACCUCUUCAAAGAAUCCUAUAUGGGCAUCACAAUUAAUGCGAUUUGCACCAACUAAAAUUCGAAGAGAUAUAUUGACCCUUCUAAUAGCCAUUAGGUCUAGGUUUGCAUUCAUAUAAUAACAUCCAAAUAUGAUAAGUUUUUAGGUUAAAUUAAGAAAAUUUUUGACUAAAUCACGCAACUAGUCUUGAUUAGGUUGAAAGGGUGUUUUGGAUUUUAUCUUUGCCUUCCCUUUCUUCAACCUUUGACUCCCGAACUUUUCUCUCUGAUUUUCAAAGUCUUGGAAUCGUUUUAAAAAGGGGAUUUUCUCUACUUUUAUUUAAAAUUUAUUUUAGGUGACUUGAUACAUGUUAACUCAAUACCAAGUGUUAACUCCUAUUAUUAAUUAAAAACUCUUUUUAAACUAUUAUUUUGGGCCAAAAUCGUCGCACUUUAAGCCCCAUUUUUAGACCAUUUUUCUUUAUUUAUUAUCUAUAAAUCAAAAACUCAUUUUUACUCAAAAUUAAUCAAAAAUUUAUUUUUAUAAACCCGUAAUUUUAUUUUUUCAAAAAUGGGGACGACAUGCAACUAAUUUUGCAUGCCUUUUGUUAUUGCAUUUUCAAAUAAAGGAUGGAAUAAAAUACAAUUGACACUUCACCAAAUCCAUGAUCCAUGAUAUACCCUUGCGAGAGCUGGUUGUCAAACAAGAAUUUCAGUAUUUUUACUCGUCCUUCACUCAAUUUUCUCCGAUAGAUGCCAGCCUAGUCUCCUGCUACCAUGAAAAUAUGUCAGCUUUCCUAGUCUAGAGUUCUUUUCUUUUGUAAUUAUGGAAUGCUGGAAUACUCACCCUUGCAAAUAAAAAUCCUUUGACACUCAUUUAUCCCACUACUACCCAUCUGUAUACAAAAGUUAUAUUUACACUUUAUUUUUGUAAUACUACUAAAUACUUUUGCAAUUAUUUCUCAUAUAUAUUUAUUCUUUUAUCUUGCCUUCUAUUUUGUUUGCCUUCCUAGGGAGGCUUCUCCGUAUUGUCCAUCUUUAGUCUCUUUCUGCAUCUCCAAUUCGUAAUUUUGGAUGCAGUCUUUUCACCGAUUAUUGCAGUAUUCGUAGUUACUCUGGCAUUUUCAAUCCUAUUUCUAGACCUAAUAUCUAGCUUUUUAGGACUAAAUUUAUUUACUUCAUAGCCUCUUCUAACACUGCCAGACCAAUCAUCCUUCUGCCCGCCUUCCAUACCAGAUGGCCAGUGUUUUUGCAUGGGCUCCUGCUUUCAUACAUCUCCUCAGUGUUUCAAACUGAGAUUCAAUCAUUGCUUCUAUUCUACCAAUAUUGUCCUUCACAUCGUUAUUACCACACUCAAUUUCAACUAGCCUUUUUAUCAAUGUCUUCGCUACAGCCUACGCUAUUGUAAAACUGCACAUUGCCCUGUCAAUACAACCCUUCAGUUUUCUAACACUAGUAACAUUACAAAAUGCAAUUGCAAAUUCAACAACAGUUCACACAAGUGCAUUUUACAUUACUUGUUCCUCCUCAAAUAUGCGAUUCCUCCUCAUUAUUCUCACACUUUCAUUAGUCUCAUACCUUCUCCAAAAUCUUAUCCUUGGCCCUCUUGGAAGGAACUUGUGAAACUCAUCCUCACCUUCGAUAUAGAAUCGUUCCAGAUAAUAAAUCUACAUGGAUAAAAUAUCCAUUAAUCAUUUAUAGUUCCUUUAUAUCAAAGGUAAUUGUUAUAGCAAUUUUUAGCGCUAUUUUAAAAGGUGUGUCUUCAUAUACCAUCAAGAAAAGUGCACAUCCCGCUAUUCUGUUGCCAUCUUCUUCACAGAUGCUCUUCACCAAGUUGUCUAGUAUGAAUUUUGACUAGUUCAGAUUUUCCAUAUUCUUUUCUUUGCCGACUACAGCCAUAGGCUCCCUGCUCACUGUGUCAUCCAAAGUUGGCGCUAACGCCCUACCAACAACAAACAGUACGAACUUCACUUUGAAUUCUAAGCCUUCAUUAUGCAAACUAUAUAGGUUGUCCCUCAAUUCCUCCGCUAUAAUUUUUCCUUAGCCGUGACGUGUAAACAUUAGCCAUGAACAUUCAAUGUCCUCCCAUCUAUAUCAAAGUUAUCCACUAGCCAGUUGAACAUCUCUUCAUCAACCUCAACUUCCUUCACAUUCAAAAUUGACCCAAACCCAAACUCUCCAAUAACCUGCCACUGCUCAUCCAAAACGUAGUCCAUCAUAUUCUUCAUUGGAUGAGUCGAGUUCUUUAAUAUUCUUUCCGUCGUUAGCCAGAACUGCUUCCUUUCACUACUACAACUAAAGUAAUUCAUUGCUAUUGCACUUUUAUGCAUUAGUGAGGGCCGAAUUUCGCUUUCUCCUUCACUAUCCCACUGCAUAUCUGAAACAUCUAUUUCGGCCACCAACUCCAUUAGGGAUACCAUUUUGCAUUCUUUGUGGGAAUUCCUAUUUGGUUUCGCGAACCUUCAUUUUAUAUGCGUAUAGUGUUCAUGUGACAACCCACCACCCCUAGGGCGUACCCAAAGGUUUGGCGGACCGUCUGCCUAACUCUUGCCAGGACUUACUUACUCACUCAAUCAACUCUCAAGAUUAAUCAUUCAAGCCUCCAAAAUAACAUUUAAGUUCUACAAUUCAACCAAAAUAAAACUUAUUUAUAAGCUAAAAGUCAAAUAUAUGAUACAACAUCAAAUGUCAAAAUACAUCCUAUCAACCGAGAGUACAAGUACAAGAGGGUUAUACACUCUAGGUCACACUUAAUUGCUCCAGACUUCUAUUCUUGUAAGGAAAAAAAAAACUAAAGGAAUGAGUUAAAAAUCUAGUGAGGUUCCUAAACAAGCAAUCAGGUAGGGAAACCAAGGAAACAUUAUAUUUAACAAUUUGCAUACUUUGCACAGUAAUAUCCAAACAUUCAAGAAAUAAACACUCAAUCAUUAGAAGGAUACGUACUCACUUGGAGUCAUUCAUUCAAGUCAUUCAUUCAUUCAUUCGCCAACCAUUUUCCUUAUCCCUCCGACAUUAGAAAACAUUUGCAAGUGAAAACUUCUUCAGUGAAUUUGUCAUUCAUUCAUUGAUAUCAUUGCAUUGAAUUCAUUGGCCAGUUCUCCACCAGAUUUCAUGGUAAUAUUCGAGUAUACCAAACAUUGUCCUAGAGUCACCAGUCACCCGACCGAGUCCGCUUCUGGCUCGAGUCGACUGGCAAUGAAGGGCAAGAGCCCAGUUCAGCCAAAAGGCUUACAUUCAUACACAAAUAAUAUUCAAUCAUUUAAUCAUUGAAAAUUUCACGUUCACUUAGAUCAAGUGCGAUAAAGUAUAUACUCGCCUGUCGAAAAUCUAUUUAACAAUCAUUUAAAAGCAUUUAACAUUCAAACAAUAACUCAUAGAUUUUCACAUAGUCAUUUAUUGCACAAACAUCAAAAGUACACACUCACCAGUUUAAGCAAAGUAACAUCAAAAGUUUCCUUCCAAAUUAUGCCCUUGAUCACCGACAAACCCUAAGAAUAACCAAGAGAAAAUAUUAUGGUUCAAUCAUCCAAAGUUUAGGUGAACUAAAGAAAAUCAGAGUAACUACUAGUACAAAGGUGCAAAUAUGAUUUUGGAGUGAAAAGAGAACAUUUAGACCCAAGGGACAUGAGUAACCAAGAAUUUCCUCAUUCCAAUUAUAAACUGAACUCAAAAUGGUUUAACAACUCCAACUUAAAGUUGGAAAUGAAAGUAAGGACAGUUUUAGAAAAAUAGAAUUUUUCCAGUUUUGUGCUAUUCUAUUUGAAAAAUCAUAUCUCAAGCUUCUUAAAUCCAAAAUUUAUAAACUUUAUACUAUUGAAAAAUAGAUUCAAAGGAUAAUUUCUCAGAAGACACCUUUGCAAGAUUCUAUCCACAAGUCAGUCAAAAUCCAAUCUCAAGUGGCUACUUUAUCUAGUAGAAAGACAGAACAGGAAUGAAAAUUCAGUAAAAUUUGAAAAAUCACAGAUAUUCAUAGGAAUUGAGAAAAAUUCUGAAAUUUUCAUGGUCAAAAGUACUCUGAAUCUAGUUUCAAAUGCCAUAAGCAGAACUUAAGUUAGAUUUUUCUACACCAAGAUAUGACAGAUUUCCCAAGACUGCUCAGAGUCUCCUGCGGGAAAAAUUUCAGCAGCACUUCCUUUGUAUUUACCAAUUUUUCCAGCCAUUUCAAGGCUACAUUUUCACCAGGAGACAGCUCCAAUCAAGUCCACAAGAUAUAGGAUACAUAGAAUACUUAUUUUAACCACAAAUAUAGCUAUAACCAACAUAUACCUAAGCUGGAAAUUAACCAAACCCUAGCAACAACUUCACCAAACCCUAGCAAAACCAUGAAAUUACCAUAAACGUACUUCCUCCAACUUCAAUCAUAACAUAUCUUGCAUAAAUCUCAACAAACAGGUAAAAAGAGAUGUUUUCUAGAAAUUUUACCUCAAAACCCCAAGAUAAUAAGCAACUCAAGAGCUUUCUUCUCCAAGUAACUCUACCAAAAGCUUCCCUCCAAGCUUAACUCAAGACUAAUCGAUAUGGAUUAGGGUUAGUGUUUGGAUUUUUCACAAAUCAAGCAAGGAAAUCAAGAUGGAAUUUGGAAGUUUUUUCUCUCUUCUUUCCUCUCUCAAUUUCGUCCAUGAGGAAGGAGAAAUGAAGGAAAAUUGUGGCUAGAGGAAAGAUAAGAAGAAAGAAAAUGUCUUGGUCAACAUUUGGUUUAAUGGUUGACAAGUGUCACCCAACUAUUUUGUCUUUCUUUUCCUUUUCCUUAGUCAAUAAUGGUGGCUGAUUUAAGGGUUAAUUUAGGAAAAAUUAAAUGAAAUAAAAACAAGGAUGUUAGGGUAAGAAAGUAUUGGUCAAGCAGUGUACUCAACCGGUAACAAAUGGCACACAUUGGUUCAAGCCUAUUUCCCUUAACUCUCUUGUACUAUUGUUUUAACUUAUGAUUACUAACUUAUUAUUAUCAUUUCUAGUCACACACUUCCUUUUACCUAAGACUCACUCUUAUUCACCAAAUUUAGUGUACACAUGUCACCAAUCGAUCACACUACCAAAAUGUACCAAAACCCUAACUUACUCUAACUUUAAAAGUAAAAGUAAAACGCUUUACUUAACUAAUGAAAUCACCAUGAAAUUUAGGGCUAGUAAAUAAUUAAAUAGUCAAAGUAAAGAAAUAUAGAGGGAAAUAUAAAUUAAUUUUUCAAAAAUGGGAGGAAAUUCUGAAGGAAUUUUUGGGUCCUCACAGAUCAACUUCUCUGGCAAGCUUCGUGCCUUUUCAAUGACCUUAAUUUCACUCAUGGCCCUCUGACUUUGGCAAUUGAUUAUUUUAGGCACUCCACCUUUUCCAUUUACACUUUUGAAUCCCUCAAGUUUUCCCGUGGCCCAUACAGUCAACUUCAACACCAACGGCUCUUCAAGUUGCGAGUCACAAAACACUUUUACACAUGGCCGUCCAAAACAUAUUCCCUAUGAUGUGUGGCUUCAAUCACUCAAUCCUUUUCCCCCACCUUUCGCUACCUCUUCUUUGACCAAUAAACAUACCUCAGCAACUUCCUUAGAUUUACUUGUUAGAAAGAGAUGAUACAAAGUGCUAACUCUAUAAAAGAUGAUUAUUUCAUCGUGAAAUAAAUAUUUGCAUUCAAAUAAAUGAGAAUUUUUAUUUUAAUCGAUUCAGUAUUUUCACAAAAUCACUGACUUGAGGGAGAAAAUAAGCUAAAUCAAAGACUUCGAGGAGAAUAAUAGCUUUGAAGAAGUAGUGUUAAAAUGACAAAAGCACAAAUCCACUUAAACGUGACAAGAAUUUUUUCUAAUAGUUGUUAUUUUAUGUUGCUCAACUUAUAAAUCUUUCAGUAUACAAGUAAAUUAGGUUUGGCCAUAAAAAGCCACACAUGACAAACUCAAAAUCUGCUAAAGGCGACAAAGAACUUUUCUCAACUUUAUUUCACACUAGGAAUGUAUGUAGAAAGGAUUCAUAUGUUACAAUUAAGAUGUAGGCAUAAAAAGUCAUCGCAGACUUAGAUUGAAAUUAAAUUUUAUGAACUUUUUUCUAAGAGAAGUAAAGUUAUUAUUUUAAGUGAAGGACAAAAAAAUUUAAAAUGUUGUGAGUGGAUUUAAAAUUAAUGUUAAUACUUUAUACAAGAUGGACUUUUUCUGUAGGUGUUCCUUAAUUUAUAUAUCCAGUAUAUUUAUAUAGUGUUCUUAGUUCAAAUGAAAUCAUAAUAUCUCAAGUGUUUAAGCUAUAAAGUAUAAACGUAAGGCACAGACGAAACAUUUAUUUCUUUGACUGUGUUUGAGCUCUAGACUGAUUUAUCUUAAUUAAAAUUGGCAGUUUCAUUAAUCAAAUUUAUGUCUUUCAGAAAAUAGUAUCUCAAGGAUUUGACACUUUAUAUAUUAUUGUUUAAAUAAAUAUAUACACUGAUAAUUCAUACACUAUCAUCAUUAGCUUCAUAAUACAUAAGCAAAAUUUGAACUUUAAAUUUAAAUUCAAAUUAGUUAUCAUGCAUUCAGUGGUGUGAUGAUGUUGUAUACACUAGUAGAGUAUAAAAGAUUAAUUAUUUUUUCCCCAAAAUAUUGACUUAUAGCGUGCAAAUGUUGAGCAUAAAUACACAGCUGCGCAUGGUUAUACAAUAUUCUAGGCCUAAAAGUACGCAAUUGCAAAGAAUUUCUUAGUCAAAUUAAACUCACUACUACUUACGUUCCAAUCAAAAUGUCAAUACUUUUUAUUUUGAAAAGUCGUAAAUUUUUUAUCCUCUCCUUUCACUAUAAUCCCCUUUAAUCAUAUAUAUGUUAUCAUUUAAUUUUAAACUUACUGGAGCAAGAUAAAAAAAAUACAAAUAUUACAAUCAAACUGCUUCUUAAAAAAUUAGACUUCCUUUGAUCGUAUGAGACGGAUGAAGUAUUAUAUUCCAAUUCCCGAGGCCUUUAUCCUCUCUUCCUCCUGGAUUUGUACAACCAAGGAGCUGAUAGACUAAUUUAGCUUUUUUUUUUUUUUUGGGAUAAGAAUAGACUAAUUUAACUAAAUCCAAACAAUAAAGCACCAUUUGUACAUAUUUUAUUCACUAAUGGCACAACUUUACAUAAUAAUCACGGAUUCCCAUCAAUUUUAAACAAAACCCUGUUGCAUUCACUAUACCUUAUACACUUUCACCGGUGGGAUUCCAUACACUGAAGACCCAAAGCACACUGGUUAUUGAACAACCCCACAAACCACCAAGAAAUGGCCGCCCAAACUCACCUGUUUCAUCCACUCCACUCGUUAUCUCUGCCACUGAAAACCCCAUCUAAAUCUCCUGAAUUUAAACCCAAGCUGAAACCCUCCACAUUCAUCAUCUCCAGCAAGCUCCGGGCAGCGGUGGUAGGAGGAGGUCCAGCUGGAUCCUCUGCAGCUGAAGCACUUGCUGCUGGUGGCAUAGAGACCUUCCUCUUCGAACGCAGCCCCU
rnacentral:lncRNA from 1 species